UCCUGCAUGGAUUAAUGUCUGAAACAAUAGUCAAGCAAUUUGGAGAUUUCAUUGGGAGUUCUGUUGCUUAUAUGCUAAAUCAAUUGCUAAUGGUGUUAGUAGCUAUAUAUGUAUUCGAGUGAGGGUGGAUGUGUGGCAUCUACUCGAAAGGAGGAAGAAAAUAGUGCUCUCGCAAUCAAAGCAGGUCAACGAAAAGAAAAUAGUGCUAAGGGAGGAAGGCAGUUUUCGAGGAGUGAUUUUAUGGAUAGGAUGAACUUAAAUCUUGGAAUUAAGGUAAUUCCAUCAGGUAAUGGAUGGAUAUCAGGUUGGGCCGAAUGGAUAUCGGUAAAGUAAUGUAUCAAAUAUGCCAUUUUGAUAAAUAAUCUUGUAGUGGGCCAAAUUUGUCUGGUCCGAGCAAACAAAAAACAAAACAAAAAAAAUCAAAAAAUAUUAUAAUAGUCCUUACAGUCCAAUUACAGAAACUAGAGGCCCAACUACAAGAACAGGCCCAACAGGCCUAUAGCUCAGUUACAUGACCCAAAUUCAAAAAAAAACCUAAUACAAGCCCAACCUCAAAAUUACAUCGGCCCAAAUGGCCCAAAAAUUUUAGAACAGAAACCCUAGCAGUUCCUGCUUGCGCCUCAGCCUCCCACGCGCGCCACCACCUCCGUACGAUGCCAGCGCCGUACGCUCCGUACCGUCCAGCAGCCACGCCCGCGCCAGCACAGCCCCGUACCCGAGCGCCAGCACAUCCGCACCUGCAGAGAAACAAACAAGCAACAACAGCAAAUACAAACAAAAGAAAAAUAUUGUAUGAUUAUUUUGUUAAAUUUCUUUUCUCUCUUUUUCGGCUAUAAGGCCGAGAUUUCAAUCCUUGUAAUCGGUUACGAACGAAAAUAUACGCACAGAGAAUACAAAAAAGCAGAGGUGACUUCUUUCUUCCUCGAAUCCUUUUAGUUUUCUAUGCAUCGUUUCGUUUCUAGUUUGGGUCAUUCACCAUUGCUGUUUUAAAGAAAAAUAAACAAAAGAACGGUGACAGAGGAGCCUUACCGUGCAAGCGAGCCAUGGUUUUCUUCUCCCUUCUUCGUCGAAAUCGAAGUUGAGGAGGGAUUUCGGGCUAAGAUUCCCUCAGGCUCGAAGAGUCCCACACGAUGAAGACGAAUCGGCAUUUAGCAAAUGGGAUUAGGGAUUUGAAAAUAGGCAGAAUGGGUGCUUGUUGAUUCGGUUGGUUUAGUCCAUAUAAGAGACUGGGAACGGCGCCGUUUUGACCAAUUUUAACGGUCUAGAUACGGCGUCGUGUGGUGGCUUUCACCCAAUGACCCGACCCACGCCUGGUUAAGACCCAUGUGUUAGGUCAGAAAGGGAUAUUUGCACCUUAAGUCCACUUGUUCGGCGUUGUGUCAUGAUUGAGUUCUACCAGCUUUUCCCUUUGUUUUUUUAAUUUAUACAUUUAAUUUACAAGUGAAAUCAAUUCGAUCCACCCUUCAACGCAGCACUCAGGGAUCUGGUAUAUUGCCAGUUUUAACCCCUAUGAGUCUGCACGCGUUAAGCUUUGGUCCUUCCUCUAAUUUCAGUAAUUUAUUGUAUUUAUUAAUUAUCCUUUUAGUUUCAUUUUUGUUUCAAUUGAGUUUCUUUUUAUUUACUCAUUACUCUCAGCAUAUUUUAUUCUUUGAAACCCUUUUAUUUUUGAAAAUUUACUUAUUAUUCACCUUUUAAUAUAUUAUUUUGGAGUAUUUUAUUAAGUUUUGCAUGGUUUUAGUUUGCUAUUCAUAUUUUCAUUUAUAUAUGUAAAUAUAUCUCUACAUGUAACUAUAUAUAUCUAUUUGUUUAUUUUCUUUUAAAUUUGUUUGUUUAAAAUGUUCUUUUAUAUAUACAUACAUAUACACUUUAUAAGAAGGUUAAUUCUUUUUAUGCAUUUUAUUAAUCUUAUAUUAUUUUACAUACAUAAUUCCUUUUAAAUUUAUUCUUAUAUAUUAUUACAUGAUCCUACAUAAUAUAUUUUUUAGGUUAUUAUUACGUAAGUACAUAUGUUUAUCGAUACCUAUAUUUGGUAUAUAUAUUACUAUUAAAUCUAUGUAUUUUACACACACAGUUUUCUUGAUAUACAUAUUUAUAUAAGCAUGUUCUUAAAUCCAUUACAUAGUUUAUUAUAAAAUUAACUUAAUCUCGUAUGUAUUUCUAUGUUUUUUUACGAAUGAUUAUUUUCAAAGUUAUUUAUGCAUAUAUUUUGUAAAUCUAUUUUGUGAAUUACAUCUCAUCAUGUAUUUUAUUAUCCUUUCAUAUUAUAUAUUAUUUGAAUUAUCAUAUAUUUUGUAAACUCUUAAAUGGACUUGUGUUUAAAUUAUUUUACAUGCAAUUUGAUUCAAACUUCUAUUCUAUAAUAUUUAUUUCGGUAAUUAUAUAUUCUUAGUUUCUACGCAAAUUUUUCAACUUAUGCAUUAUGUGUUUUAAAAAUGUUCAUUCUACAAUAUAUGUUUUGAUGAUUGCAUGUAUAUACCAAGUUUGUUUUUAUAAAUAGUUUCUAAUUUAUCAAUCCAUCAAUUCAUAUAGUGUGCAUUGCGUACUUACCAUUGUUUAAAAUAGUUUUAUACCAUAUUGCUUCUUCGAUUUGCAUUUUGUUUCGUGCGACUAAUAGUAAUCAUUUGUUAUUAUGCCAUGUAUGUUGUCGUUGCAUAUUAUUUAUUUAUUGUCAUAUUAAUUAUUCUCCAUGCAUGGUCGAAAUUGAGUUGUAUUUCCAAGUUAGCUAUACUUAGUUGCUUAAGUGCUUGUUAGUUGAUUAAAUAAAUUGCAUUACCUCCACUCUUCCAUUGUCGUAUUUUAUGCGUACAUAUAUUACCCCAUAUCAUCGUUUUCCACUUGGUUUUUGAAAUGUGGUUUUAUAAAAUCCCAAUUUUUAUGAUUAAUUUCGUCUUAUUUCAAAUCGAAUUAAUGCAUUUUAAACUAGUUUCACAAUUAUUUAAGAAUUCUUUAAAACGAAGGUAAUAUUCGAUAUUUGGCAAUUCGCGGAAUCGUGCCCUAACGUGUUGGGUUGCAAUUUCUCGUUUGCUCAAAGUAAUCGAAGGUUCCUUUAGAAUUUCACCCAUGUCUUUAAAAAAUCCUUUAAACGAAGGCGAUGUUCGAUAUUUGGCGAUUCGCGGAAUCGUGCCCUAUCGUGCUGGGUUUCAAUUUCUCGAUUGUUCAAAAUAAUCGAAGGUCCCUUUUGAAUUUCACUCAUGUCUUUAAAAAACUCUUCAAAACGAAGGUAAUACUCGAUGUUUGGCAAUUCGGGGAAUCGUGCCUUAUCGUGCUAGGUUGCGAUUUCCUGUUUGUUCAAAAUAAUCGAAUAUUCCUUUGGAAUUUCACUCGUGCUUCCUAAAGCAAGGCAAUGUUCAAUGUUUGAAAAUUCGAGGAAUCGUGCCCUACCGUGCUGGGCUUCGAUUUUUCGUUAGGACUGAAUAAUUGGGCAUCCUUUUAUACUUUUCAACGUAUAAACUUUCGGAAGUCAAAAUUUAUCGUUGUUUUCGGGGGUAUAAAGGAUAGUGUCCUACCGUGCUGGAUAUGGUGCUGCAUUCCUCCGAAAUAAGAGAAUUUUGGCAACCAACUCGAGCCAUUCAAAUAUUUCAAAAGGAAUCACCUUUCAAAAACUCUUUUUCAAAUCUUAGACAUAAGGACAGUAUUUAAUCGAUUUGGUACCAAUUUUGGGCGUAGUGAGGGUGCUAAUCCUUCCUCAUACGUAACCGACUCCCGAGCCUAUUUUCUCAUAUUUUCGUAAGACCAAAAUCGUUAUUUUAGUAAAAAGAAAUAUUUUAUUAAAAUAACUGAAUUUCUAGGUGAUACGAUCACACUUAAACAAAAAGGAUUGGUGGCGACUCCAUGUUUUAUUUUCAAAAAGUCGAUUUCCCAUUUUUUUAUUAAACUUAAAAUUUCGAAAGAUGGUUUCGACAAAUCUCAUGAGCAUACCAUAUACCAUUUGAGUUAUUAAUUUUUAAUUUUUAAUUUUUUUUAUUAUUGGAUUAAAAAGGGCCAAAAAGAACAUCUCUUUAUCUACAACAUCGGCAAUGUAUAAAAAACAGAUUGUGAUAGAGGUCAAGCUCUCGCUGCAAAUCGUAGCAUAUUAUUUCAUUAAAAACUUUGUUUAGAGUGCAAGAUACACUACAUAAAUCAUCAACCGCCAAAAAGGAUUAAUUACACUUUCCAAUAAUUACAUGGAUGAGGAUCUAUACAAUACAAAAGUUGCCAUUAAUUGAGGCACAACAGCGUUCAAGAGAACAAGAGGGCAAGAGAAAGAAAGAAAGAAUCAUGAAUGUCGACAGACAGGAGCACAAGGUAAGCAAAACCUAAACCACGACCCAAAAAAAUUUUGCGACACACGACACGCACAUAUAAAGGCAUGCAAACCAAACUUAACUCGUCGCUGUAGUACAUAGAAUACAUCGCAUCCGAGGACCACCAGCCUCGCUACCAUUGUCAUCCUCCUGCUCGUCCUCAUACUCAUACUCAUAUAACCCCUCAGAGGGACCUCCAGUCCCUUUUUUGUUGGUGCUAUUAGUUUCAGUAGAUUCCAUCAAGCAAGUCGUGUGAUAAGCAUGGCAGCAAAAGAACACGACGACUGAUACGUUUUGUAUCGAGAAAGGAUCAAAACACAUGCAACAUCUGCCACCUCCCCUUGUUUUAGAUUUAACCUCCAUAUUUCUUACACUAGGUGUUAUGACUUGAGAAGCUCUACUGGCAUCCCUCUUGGAUCGUGCAUCAUCUUCUUCAUUACUCAAGCAAACUGCUCGUUUCGCUUCAUUGUAGUAUUUUACCGACAGGUUAACACAAUCAGCCUGUAUAUUUCACAUUUACACCAAAUGUCACGUUUCUCAAAUCAGAAUUCCGAGUAUUACAACAAUUUGCUAAGAGUAAGAGGAACAGUAGUACCUUGAGUAUAUCGUUGCAGCCAUGUCUGAGAGAAGUUUCAGUUCUGUAAUCAGUAAUAAUUUUGACUAGACGAUCCCUCAGCCUAAAAAUAAAAUAGAUGAUUGAGUCAAAUUAAACUGAAAUAGAUUCAGUAAGCAGAUAAGGUGAUUCAGCUUAGAUCUCUGCAAUUUGAAGUUCCAAGUUUUAUGCAUCCAAUAAGAUGCUCCUUAUGGAAUGCCUGGGGACAUGAAUUAAGGUCAAAAUCAUGAAAUAUCAGGGUACUACAGUAGUAGAAUUAUACUGCAGUCAUUCAGUGACCUUCAGUUUUCUGAUUCAUUUUCUCUUUCUUGGUUUGCAUAAAGAAAUAGUUUAUAGCAACAUAAAAAUGGAUGAUAGAACAGAUUUCAUUAUGGUUCAUUAAGAAAAAUCAUGAGAUGCCAGGCAUAUUUGGAGGCAUAAAAAGGACAAUUAAAUGAAAUAUUACUAGAAGAUAUAUAGUUGGCAUCACAUACAUGGAAUAUGGGACAGAUCAGUACGGCAGCAUGAAUAUCUAUAAAAAGGCUCACUUAAAGACAAUUAUUGUGUUGCAACACAAGCAACUGAUGAUAUAGAAAGAAAGAAUGCAAAACCUCGGGCUUUUCUUCCUAGAUUUGGCACCAAAUGCUUAAACAACAAUAAAGUCACUUUAUUAAACAACAGCUCCAACUAAAUUUGAGCUUGAUCCAAGUAUGAAUUACAGCAUUGUCAGUUAACUAUCAGAUAAAUGCUGUUCUUGAAACCCGCUAAGGUUUUUCCUUUCUCCCUUUUUAAUUUUCUUUUCCUUUUUUCUUUUUAAACUGAGAAACCUCUAUAAUAUUGUAGAUGAAAAUUACUUGGAAAUAGAAAAUUCUACUCAACUGCAAUUCACAAACUUCCCUUGAGAAAAGAGGAUACUAACCGAGGUAUCUCUAGGCCAUUGGGCACCAUAUUUACAAUAUAGAGAGGAUCAAGAUUGCCAACAGUGUGUUCCAAUAAGACGCCCACCUGCCAAUCAGUGAGAGAGAGCUAAGAAAAAGAGAAAUACGGCUAAUCAUUAGACAACAUCUCCAUAUUUCCAGUCUGCAUUUUCCAUCAUUACCAUUUCUGGUUUAUGGAGGCAUUGAUGAAUUAGUUCUUCCCAAAGAUCGUCAUCAUGCUGCAUGGUCACAAAUUCUACAGCCUGUGGAUAAUAAAUAGACCUUUAUUGUUAGUACCAAUCCUUCCAAGGAACAACAGCAAUAGCUUGUUUUGAACAAAACAGAAACUCGGGAACAAGAGCUGAAAGCGGCAGAAGCUCCAACUGAAAACAACCAACGUACCUCUUCUAUAUCUCCUAAUUCAUUUAUGAUGACAGCAAGAGCUUGUUUUGAAUUCCCCAUUCUUCCAAGGAUGAAUACUUGCUCCCUUAAAAGAUCUCUUCUGUCACAGAUCUCAUACGCCUGAAGUUGAAAUUCAGCAGUGUCAUUUUGGAAUGUUAUGAUGCCAUUAUUACAUAAAAACUACUAUUUAGACUAUCCAAACCUUCUCCAAUGUGUAAUGUUGACUACUGCGAAGAAAAGGGAGUAGCAUCUUUGGCUCAUACUCAACAUAAAGCUCCACCUAUCACAGCAAGAAAAGGACAACACAUAGUCAGAAAUGCAAUUAACAUGAGAAGCUCCUUGCCCACAUGCGAUAUCCAGUAAACAGCCAUAAGUAUUGAGUUAGACAAGAGCAUGCUCACAGGCAAUAACUAACCUGUUGACAAGGCAUCAAAUGUAGCACAGAAAUAACAAGAAACAUCAACUGACCGGAAAAAAUUCCAAGGUUGUUAAUAUCAUACUCAACAGGUCAUUCAUUUCCCUAAGAAAAAGGGGGUACAUAUUGGUGCCAGUUGUUUCAAUAUAUCGUUUUCAGGGUUUUCAAUGUUAUAUAUAACAACCUAAAAUAUAUAUCUAAAUACAGAAUAUCACUAACAGUCAGAAGCAUUUAAGAUUUACAUCAUUCAUAGAUCCAAAUACCUUUAAACACCAAUUAAAUGAAUUCACUAUAUAACAUAUAAACAGAACGUAACAUCCAACAAACGUAUCAAAACUAAAGAAAAUCAUGCAUAUCACUUAUUCUUUUAUCAGAAAGUUAAGAGAAAAAAGAGAUAAACUUCGGAACCCAUAAAAACUGUUUAAAGUACAGCUGACAUGGCUGGCCUUAUUUAGUCAAAACCAUGUAAUUUUGGAACCUACUGCCAAUUUGUUUCUUCAAACUUUGACCACACACAGACAAGGUGUAAAGCAUUUGACCUCCACAGAAAUGUAUGAAAUCUAGAAAGUAACAAUGAACAUAAAAAAUUGAAAUUUUGAAGGUAACUGAUGCCUACAAUAUUUACAUAAAAGCUAUUAAAACACUAACGUAGCUGUCUUAUCCAUACCUGCAUAUCAUGAAAAUCCUUGCCAGCAUGCGGGUUUACUUCAAACAAGGAAUGCAGAUAUAAAUGCAAGAAAUAUCUCGAAUCACACUUAUUUCUAGUAUUCAGAAGCUGUGAAACAACUUCAGAUGGUGCAAUUAAGUCCCUAUUUUGGAUCAACGAAUUAACCGCUUGCUUACAAUCAACCAUCAUCAACUGCACAACCUGCAUCAUGCACAUAGUAUUUUUGGCAUUAAAAAUUAUAUUUUGCUGGUAUCAUUCAAUGUUAAGAAAGGAAAUGAGAGAAAAUUUCUUUUUUAAUUAUAUUUUGCUCUUCUUUCCCCCACAGCUCUAUUGAAUAGAAAGAGCUAAUUUCUGCCCCUAUAAUUUUGGUUGCAUUGUGAAAUGUAUCUAUCUAAUGUAAAUAAAAGUGUCAACCUAAGUGGUGAAAUAUUGUAAUUUUGUAAAGAAUCAGUUUCAGAAUUUACCAUAUCGGCCUCAUAUGAACAGGUAUUGACAUUCUCUACAAAAAACAAUAAUUUUUAAGAAAGCAAAGUAUCCCAUAAUAAUACCUUUUCACGAAUAGAAUCAUGCAAGUUGUGCUUUUCAAUGAAGUCAAAUAUAUCUGGCUUCAUGAGCUGAAAUCACAGACAAGUUACAUCAACAAAGAAGCAAAGAAAUGUCCAACUAGAGAAUGGAUGAAAACCUAUUUUCCAUAAGCAAUUUGUAUCAUACAUAAUUUUAAGUUUGAAAAAAUAAAUUAGUCUGAGCACAAAUACAUUAAAUACUUACAUCAGCAUACAGUGAAAAAGCUUUCUCAUACUGCCCAUUAAUAACAUACAACUCUGCAAGUGCCUAUCAAGAAAAAAGGAUAGGAUCAUUCAACAUAUGUAGCAUCAACAGAUUCAAUUCACAUCAGACAUCUAGAAACAGUCUUAUGGACCUCUUUAAGGGCAUCAGUCAUUGACGAAGUAUUUAGCUGGGGCUCAAUUGCAGAAAUGACAGGCAAUGCGGAAUAAAUGACACGUGGCCAUGAUUUAACAGUUGACAAAAGAUCCUUAUGAAAUGAUGGAUUUGUUGCCAGAGCCACAAGAGCAACCUGCAGCAUAGCAAACAGGUGGUUUUCAUUCCAAGUUUGACAAAUGAAAAACUAUAAAAGAAGACUACAUGUACAUCAGCAGACAAUUGCCGUCCUGACGAACCUCAUAAGCAGUAUCACGCAGCCUGGGGUUUUCUGUUGGCAUAUAUGGAACCAAUACAGGAAGCUGACGGAGAUGAGCAAAAUGGAAUACCCAUCUGUCAAAGCAAUUGCAUUUGAUUAACAGGAAAUGCAUAGAAAGAGUUGCAUAUAAUGAUUUUCAGUACCUUUCCCAAGCUGUAGCAGAUCCUCGCAACAAUUUAGGACACAAGGAUGCAGCCUCAGCAUAUUUCCUUUCCACAAUCAAAUGAUCAAGGUAUCUAGAUCCCACCUACACAUAAGGUGAACAGAAAUGAAGAAAGCAACAACUAACUUUAAGAAUUACAUAGAUAAAGAAAUAGCAAUUACUUAGUGCAACAAGUGGAAUCAGCAAGAAUCUUUUAAAUAAAGCAAGGAUUAUAUAUUAAGCCAGUAAAUUUACAUGAUAAGUCAUCUCAAUUAUCAAGCCAUUACAAAUACAUUAUAUCAAAAUAAAAAAAGAAGAAAAAUACUUCAUCAAGAAGUUCACUUCGUCCCUGCCCAGCCUCAACUGCUGCUAAAGCUUUUUCAUGCCAUCCAUGUUGAAGAAGCCAUGAAAUGUGAUCCUCAGCAUCCCUAAAGUGUCAAAAAUGCAUAGGUUGAAAAUCAAGAAUUUGCAAGAAUAAUUUUAAAAAAGUACCACAUAAUAUAUCAGACAAAUUUAAUAAAACAAACACAAAUACAGUAUUAUUACAAGUCGUCAAAGACCAUAUUAGGAGAAUCUUAACACCAAAAUUCAAACAAACCUCACUAUGUCCCGCAAAACACACCACAUAAUAUGCAUUUAAUGGCAACUUACAGCAGUUAUUCACUAUUAUAAACAUUUUGCAUGUUCUAUAAGAAUUUGCAACAUAAUUGUUCAUCUUAAGAAAAUUUAAAAGUAUUUAUUUGACUAUUAUAACUGUUUUGCCCGGCUGCAAAUCUAUAAUAGUACUACAGAGACCUUAAAUCAAGCCCAAUGGAAGCUUGUUUGGCAUCAGCUUAAAGGGAUAUGAUACAUCAACAGAUGUACUUAUAGUCCCAAGACAGAAAGUAAAUUCGAAGUAUAGAAGUCAUGGUGCAAAAAUUAAUAUCCAGGAAGAGAGUUAUUCAGAAAAUCCAAAUCCAUUUAGGGCAAAUAAGCAACCAGAGCCAAAUCGACACAGCUACAUUUCAUAACAAUUAAGUAUAUAUUACUGCAUGUUACUACAGAAACCACAAUCCUUUUCUCAAUUUUUCUUUUUUAUGAAAAGCAAUAUUUAUCUUUCAGAAGCAACAAAAAUAGGAAGAAUCGGAAGUAACCUAGGUUUUGCUAUGACAACAUCCUUUGGCGAUACAAUAUAAUAUAUUGGUUCAUCACCAGCAGCCCACUGUCCACCGGCAUAACUGCUGCCUACAUUCAUAUGAGAAGAGCACUAUAACUAUUGCCUGAAAAUUCUGUCUAAUAACCAUAACAUCAAAAACAGAGAUAUCAACCUGAGAAGGGAGCAUGGGCCAAGGAAUAGUCCUUUGCUUUAUAGUGCUCAAAGCCAUGUACAGGUAGAGCAUCAGUUGCCAAUUCAUCAUUGUUCCAAGACACUAUACGUACCUCUGGUCUCUGUGCAUUUCCCUGCUACAGUGGAUUAUACAUGGGCAAAUGGAAUUUAUUAUAACAAGGAUGGCAUAGCAACCACAGUCAGACCAUCCAGAAAUAUUGGCAAUUUUGUAUUAAUGGGAGCUGGUGAUGUACCAAAGAUAGCAAAUAAAAAACUCAAAAUAGAGGGUAUAAAUCAUGACAAGAACUUGGUUUUUUUCAUAACUGUAAAGGACACAUACCUGUCUUGAUGGCAUUGCACUGCUAAAUUCCUUCUCUCCAUCUUCACUAGGAAUAUAGGCUAGAACAACCAAAGCAUCAGCAAAAGGCGCAAUCCCUGAUAUAUAAUAGCUGGUUUGAAACGAUGCCACAAUAUCUACUUGGUUCGUGUUAGACAUAACACGCUUAUAUGUUCCAUUUGUUCCCUUGUUCAGAUUUGUUCUUAUUGCAGCAAUUUUAACAGAAGUACCCCAGCCAAUCACCAAUAAAGUAUCAUCCUGAAUAGAUUCAGACAAUGAGCAACAGAAAAAAAUGAUUGAACAACCUAUGCAUCACAAAGGCCCGGGCCUAGGAGAAGUGAAAACUCCAAAAGAAUGAAUAAUAACAAAUAACAUUGCAGUUUAGACAACAUAAGAAAGUUUGGAACAACCUCAGACAUUUUCCAUUUUAAUCUUUUGACUCAUCCUGAAGAGGUUCAGACAAUGAGCAAUGGCAAACAACCUAUGCCUCACAAAGACUAGGGCAUAGGAGAAGUGAAAACUUCAAAAGAACGAAAAAUAUUGCAAAUGAUAUUGCAGUUGUUUAGACAACAUAAGAAAGCCUGGAACAACCUCAGAUGUUUUCUAUUUUAAUCAUUUGACUAACCUGCCAAACUAAAUGAGGGAGCAAGAUUUCAGGAUGAGGAGUCCCUCUUGGUCUUUCUAUAAAUGUAAUCCGCUGAUCAUUUGCAGCAUCAUAAACUUUUACUCCCGCAUCAUUAGCCCAAGCAAUGAGACUCGUUCUCCAUUUCACUGCAUGGAUUGGACCUUCACCUGAGUGCAAAACCUAAAAACACAUUAAAAUAGACAACAUUCAAAAUUCAUGAACAUCUCAAUUUUCAAAUAAAUUAAAGUCAGGCAAGUAUCACGAACCUGAUCCUUAUAGCCAAGCCACUUUUUGGUAUUAAAAUACAAGUGACCAGCUAAACCACCAGUUACAAAUCUCCUAGACGUUUUUCUUGCAUAAUCAGGGUCAAGUGCAAUGGCUUUCAUAGGACGAUGAUACUCAAAUUUCAAUUUCUCGUCGGUGAAAAGACUAUUUAGUACAACAGAGCCAUCAUCUGAACAGCUUCCAAUAUAUUCACCUUCUAUAUCAAAACUAAGGUCAUUCACUGCAGCUGAAUGAGCAGCAAAUUCCUUAACCUAGAAAACAGCAGAACACAACUUUAAUAUAACAAAAUACAUUUUCCCUUCUGAAAACUAAUUAAUAACUGAACGCAGCAAAAAGUUUAACUUAACUAACUUAUUCGAAAUUACUUGCUUAUCCAAAAAAAAAAACAUUCAUUCAAAAAUCGAAUUAUAAGAAAAAGAAUGUUGGAACCCAAAAACAUAAAAAAUAAAAUGAGAAAUUAAGAAUUGAAACGAAACAUAAGAUCUAAAGUGCUGAAAUGAGAUAAAAUUUCACCUGAUUUCCCAAAAAGUCGAGGAUAUGAACGGUUCCAUCGUGCGUUCCGAGUGCGAUCAUGCGUUCGGCGACGGAGAUACAGGAGGCGGCCUCGCCUGAGAGCAGGGAAGGGAUGCUACCUCCCAUUCUUUGAUACUUAAGCCUGGGCUCCUCUUCGUCCUCCUCCGCUUCUUCUUCUUCUUCUUCAUCAUCAUCUACAUCUUCGUCUUCUUCUUCUUCUCUCUCGUCGUCUCCUUCGACGCCGUUUUCGGAUGGGAAGGGAGACAUUUGCAGGGUUCCUGGAAUUGAGAAAGGAAAGGGAAGGAUCUGAGUCGGGUUUUGGAUUUGGUUUUGGUUUGGUUUAAGUUAAUAAAAUCAGUUAAUCUGAAUUAUUUAUUAGCUAGGCAACAAAGGCACGGUGACGAAUGUUGGGUAUGCGUGCCAUCCGUCAUGUUACUCUGUUUUUCUUUUUCUGAUUUUCUCUUUUUUGUUUGGGAUUUUCCAUAUGGAUGGACCCUGAUUAAUAUAAUAUAUAGAUGUGUUGAAUUAGUUAAACCAAUUCGAAUUAGUAUUAAUUAAAUUAAUUUUUGAUUAAUUAUUAAAUUAAUUAAAAUUUAUAUAUUUUUUAUUAAAAUAAGAAUAAAACAUAUCAAAAAUUAAUUAAAUUUAAUAUAUGUAAAAUGUAAAUAAAAAAUAUAAAUUUUCGAUUAAUUAACCGAUUUCAAACCGAAUUAAUUGUUACCUGAACUUCCAAAAGAUUUUAACCAAUUUCGACUGAAUUAAUUUGGUUAAUUGACUGAUUAACUGAAUUAAUUUGAUUCAGUUGAUUAAACCGGUUUUACUCGAAAUUUGUACACCCCUGUUAAUCUCUAUAUAACAAUCCCAUAUUGUAAAGCAAAAACACUAUUUGAAAUAUAAAUCAUAUUUUAAAAUUUAAAAUUAAAAUAUAUUAUUAAUAUUAUUAAUUUGUUAGAUUUAGAUUUUGUUUCUAAUAAAAUUUUAUAAAUAUAACUUCAUUUAUUAAAAAUUAUUUCUAUUUUAUAAAAUACUAUUAAUAUAUUUUUAUAUAAAUUUUAAACAUUUUAUUGAAAUAGUAUCUUAACUAAAAUUAUUAUGUUUAUUUCGUUUAGAACUAAAAUUAAUUUUAUUAAAAUUUAAGAUGAAAAGGUUGUUAUAAAGAACUUUAGUUAAUAAUGCACUUUAUAUUUUAUGGCUAAAUCGGAACAAUAGUUUUGGGACUCUAAAUUUGAAAUUGAAAAUUUUAUUUUAUUAUUAUAUUGAGGUCUAAAGUAUGAUAGUAUGAUUGUGUGAAAAUUUCGUUAUGAAAUUUUAUCGUUUGAAUGCUCAAUUUGAUAAAAAGAACUAAAUCGCGUAAAGUGCAAAAGUGGUGUUCUAAUAGCUAAAGGUGUCUAAUAGCUAUGGAACCUUAAAUUAGAGGUCCUUAUGUUGUAAUUAAAGCAUUGUUAAUAUGAGUGGACAUUCUUGGACAUGAUUAAAUGAAUUUUAAUGAUUUAUAACAAAGGUUAAAUAAUUAAAUUAAUAAUUAAAGUAAAUUAAAAUAAACAAAAACAAUGUAUCGUCUUCCUAAUUGUCAUCUUCCACUAAAAAUUCAUAUUGGAGAAGCCAUAGCUAGAGUUUGAAGCUUCGGUCACUUGCUUAGCUUGCAUGUAAGUGAAAUUUCAUUCGUUUUUAAUAAUUUCUAUGUUUUUGGAGUCGUUGUAACUUAAAUUGCUAGCCUAGGGACUAAUUUGAAAUUUUUUUUAAAGGUUUAGGGUUUUUCCAUUGAUGAAUAUGUGUGUAUUUUGAUGUUUGAUGAUAGAAAAUGAAUGGCUGUUGUUAGAUAAACAACAUUUGUUAAGUGAUUUUUGAGAAAAUUGUCAAUAAGGAUUAAAUUGAUAAAUGUGAAAAUUUCAAGGUUAAAUUGUGAAAUAAAUAAAAAAAUAUGGGCUGCUAUGUUAAUAAGGGAAAUUCGGCUAGCAUGAUUAGGGACCUAAUUGCAUGAAUUUGUAUUUUUAUAAGCUAGGGACUAAUUUGUAAAUAUGUUGAAAUAUUAGGGGGAAAAGUGUAAUUUUUCCAAAAUAUGAUUUUUGGGCUAAAUUGAAUAGAAUGAUAAUUGAAUAAGUUAAAUUUGAUAUUAUAUAGAUGAAAAAAAUGAAGUUCGAAUCUAGAUCAGGGGAAAAACAAAGUAUUGGACUAGUCAAUCCAUAUCGUCGUUUUUAUGAUCGAGGUAAGUUCAUAUGUUAAUAAGCAUUAAUAUAAUUAUAUUUUAAAUGCUUCAUUAUUGAAUUAAUUGUGAAUAUGACCUUACGGAUAUAUUCGACAAAGAUUCGACAAUGUGAAAUCCCAGUUGAACCAUAGGACUAGAUUAGGAUACGAAUGACAUGCCAUUAGGGCUUAUGUGUUUGGGUGCUGGUCCAUACGUCCUAUCGGUGGCUGAGUUAUUCGGCAUGUGUUGCGGAUUCUUAUCAUCUUGUGUGAGCAACACCGUGUAGCUACAUCAUGACCGUCAGCUUGUGUGAGCAGAUCCAUUGAUAGCUCGAGAGUGAACAUUAUAUGAGAUAUGAAAUUGAGAUAGCUUCGGCUAUGUAUUGGCACUUAUGGUGCGAGAUUCUCGAGUACCCGAUAUUAUUUUGAAUGGUUCAAUGGGUAUAUCAAGGAUAUGGAUGAGUAUGAGAUUGAUACGAGUUGAUACAGGCAUGUACAUGAAUCAUACAAGCAUUGAAUCGAAGAAACUUGUGAAUUUCAUAUCUAACCUUAUGAAUGAAUAUAUGAUAGGUUUGUGGAUCGAUAUGAGUUAUACUAUGAUAUGUUUAAUUGCUUAAAUUGUGUAUAUAUGGUAAGUUGAGUUUAUUUCUAUACGAACUUACUAAGCUUUAUAGGUUACUCUGUUUACUUUUCUGUGUUUUAUAGUGAUUAUCGAAGCUUGCUCGAAUUUGGGAGUCGUCGGAGAUCUCAUCAAACUAUCAAGCUUUCAUUUUGGUACUUUUGAACUUAUAUAUUUGGUUAUAUGGCAUGUAUAGGAGUUGUGGUGAAUUUGGUCUAUAGUUUGGUAAUGGAUUUAACCAUUUGAUUUGGCUUGUAAAUUAUGAAUGUUUAGUUAUAAAUAUAGCCAUGUGAUUUGGCUUACUUUGGGCAUGCUUGGUGAUGUGUAUAUAUAUGUGCAAAUGGCAUUUUGGUAUGUUGUGCAUAAUGGUUAAGUUAAUGCUUGUUGUGAAUUGGUAUUUUAAGUACCAAAUGGUUGAAAUUUGAGAUUGGUAUGCUUGUGAUUUUAGGUAAAAUAAUUCAUAAUUGAAAGUGAUCAAUUAAGUGAUUUUGAGAUGUGAAAUUGGUAUUAAAUGGAAUGGAUAAUUGUGAUUCUUGUGGGUCUUGUGGUUGUUAAUAUUGAGAUGGCAUGAAUUAGACAUGUUUGAGAUUGGUUUGAAUGCCUAUUUAUGCCAUGUUAUAUGUCAUUUGAAUUGUGUAGGUGAAUGCAAAUUUGGGUGAGCAAGAUGGCUUGGUAAAUAGCCUAUUUUUGUCCAUACAGACAGAGACACGAGCAUGUGUCUCAGCCGUGUGUCCCCUGGUGUUUAAUUAGAAACCAAGUCAGUAUAGUCUACACGGCCUAGCACACGGGCGUGUAACUUGGCCAUGUGGUAUAAGUCAGUAAACCUUACAGUUUUGGCACGGCCUAGCACAUGGUCUGGCACACAGGCGUGUGAGGCCAUUUCGAAGGGUACAUGGGCUAGUCACACGGGCGUGUGGUUGGCCGAAUGACCCAAGUCAGAGAGUUACACAGGGUUGGGCACGAGCUGGGAUAUGGUCAUGUGAUCCCAUUUCGAAUGUCCAUACGGCUUGUGACACGGACGUGUCUUUGGUCGUGUGUCCACACGGGCAUGUGUCCCCUGUAUUUUAUAAAAUUUUCUAUGUUUUCCAAAAAAAUUUACUGAGUUAUUAGUUUAGUCCUGAACCACUUCUAAUGCAUGAUUUGGGCCUCGUAGGCUUGUAUUAGGGACAACGUGAUUGAUUAUGAAUGAUUUAUAUUUGGAAAUGGAUAUUGUAUGUGAAUUGUAUGAUUAUUUAUGAAAUAAGUCUGGUAAUGCUCCGUAACGUUAUUCUGGCAACGGAUACGGGUUAGAGAUGUUACAAUAGCUAUUACAGAUGAAAAGUUAUUAUAGAGAAUAAAAAUAAAACAUAAAAGAAAUCAAUUCUAGAAUAAACUUGAUUGUUAUUGUUGUGAUUGAUCUCAUGGCUCUUCUCGAUGGCACAACCAUUACCAUAAACAAUGAAGUUAUCCCCAAAGAAAAAUACAAACUCUAAUUCAAACAAAAUCAAUUAAUGCAUAAUGCAUUACUAGCCUGAGUUGAUCCUACCAUAACUUCCACACUUUGUAUGCAAACAAAUCACAUACAUGCAUUUUAAGUUUUUGCAACCAUCUAUAAGUCAUUACAAAAGGCUCGAAGACAAUUAUAGAAUAUCUUUGAGAGAUCCAUACAAUUGCAGAUGAACUUGCAACUAUCAGUUCUCCAAUAAUUGAUGAAAAUUUGGUUUUAAAAAUCCUAAGUGGUCUUGAUCUCUAGUAUGAUUCUAUCACAGCAGCUAUUCAGGCUCAAAAUGAAGCCAAUUCAUAAAAGAGCUAUUUGGUAAGCUUAUUAAUCGUGAGAUAUUCCUUCAAAACUCUACUCCUUUACAAACCAACAAUUUCCAUUACUAUCACUAAUGCUCAAAGGUCCACUCCCAGCUUAUCUUCGUUUCACCUUAAAAAUAGAAAAAAUCAAUCACAACAAUAACAACCAUGGUAUUCAUAGUAGAACCGCCUUACAUCGCAAUGGCAUCCCUCUUAGCAACAACCCCCUAAGAUUUAAUGUCAACUAUGUGAUCGCUAUGGCUACACUGCUUGGGUUUGCAGAUCUAGAUCUCAUAACGAUCAAGAAGCAAAGGUUAACUUUGCAUCAAACAAGAUGCCUAACAUCAUCAUGGAUCUUCAACACUAGUGCAGCCUAUCAUAUCACAGAUGAUCCUUAAAAUUUCCAACUUGCAGAAAUAUACCCAAGCACGAAAGAAGUUUAUGUGGGGGAUGGUAAUAUGGCUCCAAUUACACAGAUAAGUUUUACUAAAUUAAAUGCAUUAAACUCAUCUUUUACACUUUCUAUCACCUUUUUUGCAUCACCUAUUAAGCAAAAUCUUAUUUCAAUUUCACAAUUUUGUCAACAAAAUUUAGUGUCUAUUGAGUUUUUUUUUUCCUUUUCAUUUUUGUAUGAAGGAUUUGAAUACAUGAACUCUAAUGGUUUAUGAUCGGAGUAAAGAUGGGCUUUAUGUUUUUUAGAGAUGUCAAUUUUUUUUAAAACAUUUUUCUUUUUGAAAAUAUUUUCUCUAAAAUUAAGAAAAAGAAUUCCAAAUAUUGAUUGGGAUUUUAAUUCCUUAUCUAAAAGUCUCCCUUCAACAAUAUCUAGCUCUAAUAUCGAUUUCUCUCUAUUUGUUUUGCUAGAUAUUCCAAAUUUCAUCAUCAUUCCUUCAAGCACACAAACUUUAGAAAGACACCAAACUUCAUUAGCUCUUGUCGCGCAUAGAGAAAGUUUUUCAAAUUUAGGUAUUUCACACUUAAAUUUAAACUCUUCUUCUUCCCAUCAAUCUUUCAACCCUACCUAUGAAACUCACCCAUCUUUGCUACAAACUUCUAUUAUCACCUAUUCUUGAUGAAAUAAAACUAACCCAUUUUUUCCUACAUCUAGUCACUGUUUAUCUAUUCAAGCUACUAUAUCUAAUCUUAUUUUUGCCACUCAAACUUAUUUACCUUCUACCUCAAAUCCUAUCUUAACAUGCCAACACCAAACCCUUACCAUGUCGUUAACCAAUCCACCAGCUCAAAACAUCUGCCAACCUGAACUAUCUCCACUAGUUAUCAUUCUCUCUACCCGGCCAAAUUGUGUCAUCACUCGUUUUCAAAACCAAACUUUCAAGUCUAAUUUUUUUUUGAUUUUCUAGCACGCCUUUCUCCCAUACCCAUAUCUUUCAAACAAGCUACUAAGUAUCCAUACUGACAAGCAUCUAUACAAAAGCAGUUUGAUUCCUUAAUAAGCAAUAAAACCUGAACCCUUGUUCCCUAAGAUUCAAAUGCUAAUGUAAAUUACUAUAAGUGGAUUUUUAUAAUCAAGUAGAAAUCAGAUGGGUCAAUUAAGUGUUACAAAGCUCAAGUUGUUGCAAAAGGGUACACUCAACAGGAAUGUGUGGACUAUCAUUCUAGUUUUAGUCUUGUCAUUAAAACAAUAACCAUUUGCCUUGUACUAUCAAUUGUUGUUCAAAAUCAGUUGUCAUUAUAGCAGAUUGAUGUAAGCAAUGCCUUACUACAAAGCUAUCUUGAUGAGCCGGUUUAUAUGUGGCAACCACUGGGUUGUGAAGACCUAAAUCAUCUUGACUAUGUUUGUUAGUUAAAAAGGCGAUAUAUGGACUCAAGCAAGCACAUCAAAAAUAGAACAAAGAACUCACUGAAUUUUUAUUGAAAACUGGCAUCAAACAAUCUGCUUGUGAUACAUCCUUAUUUAUCCGUGAUGAAUCUAGUAUUUUUUAAAUUUAUCUACUUGUUUAUAUCGAUGUCAUUAUCAUGACUAGCAGUAAUUUAAAAGUUGCUUGAUAGGUUAUUACUUUUAUUUUACAAAAAAAAAAUUCAUUUAAAGAACUUGGUUCAUUAAAAUUUUUUCUUGGGAUUGAAGUAAUACCAACUACAGAUGGCCUAUUUUUAUCUCAAAGUAAAUACAUCCAAGAUAUUUUAAAUAACAUAAGGAUGUAAGAUAGUAAAGGGGCUCUUACUCCUAUAGGCUUAUUGUAACAGUCCAAACACGGCCUAGACGUUAUGGCCAAAUUUGUCGAUGUCACAUGGAAUGAGAUUGGAAAACGAGUUUGUCAAAUUAAAACCGUUCCAGUUAUUUAACCUUUAUCUUAAUUCGGAGUAAAAUACAAGUUCUUUGUUAUGUCUAAAAUUGUAUCUUUUUAGCGGAAGCGUUGGAAACGUUUAUUUUUGGAAAUCUGUUCGUGUUGAGGGAAACCUUUAUUUUUUGCAAAAAUCGAGUUUUUACCUUCUAGCUGUAAUAAAGCCGUAAUGCAGUUAAAAAUCCAAAAUUUAAAAACCAAUCGGUCCAAAGUCCCAAAAUUACACAACAAUACCCAAAAAUAAUGUAAAUUCAAAAACUGAAUUAAAGUAGCACGAAACAGUGGUGGUCACAAUCGAGUCCUUCACCGUAUCGGUCCAUCUAAGACUAAGGAUUACCUGUACAGAUCAACAGAAAAAAAGGUGAGUUUUCGUAAACUUAGAGACUAAGGAUUACCUGUACAGAUCAACAGAAAAAAAGGUGAGUUUUCGUAAACUUAGUGUGUAAUCCCCACAGAAAACAUGCAUACAGAUACAAUCAGAAUACAGUCAAAUACAGUCUGGACCUGAGCCCAUUACAGAUUCAGUUUGGGUCUUAGCCCAAUUAGAUACAGUCUCAGAUAUAAAUAUGGCCUCGGCCCAUCUCAGAUACAGUAUGCGAUAAUAGAAAUCAGAAAUCAAAAUCCUACCCACUAGCCUCUACACACCAUCUCCGACCAUCCUUACACACCAUGUGGGGUUUAAAAUACCCACCCAUCCUUACACACCAUGCUGUACCGAAAUGUGACACACAAUCAGAAAUUUGCAAAUGAGCUGCCAAAUAACCAGCUUAAGAGCCUUUUAGAACACUUCCUCCAAAUAUCAUCAACCCACCCCGAUGCAAUGCAACAUACAAGAGAUGUCAUGUUAUUAUGCAGUUAACAGUCAAUACAUUCAUAUCAGUAUACAUGUUCAGUUUAGAUGUCGUAUAGACAGUUCACACAAUUAGGGGUCUAAGUAAUGCUUACUGACCCUAUAGUAGGUUUAUAGUCGACUUGGACGACCCGUGCAAACUUAGGAAACUUUUUAGAAACAUAGGCUCAUACACCCAUGUAGCCUGCCCGUGUGGGCCAACACGGCCCAAAUUAGCCUUGGCUGUAUAGGUUGCAUGACCUGGCCCAGAAUCCCACAUGCCAGUGUGGACUACCCGUGUGGACCCACACACUCGUAUGGCCCACACGGCCCAAUUCAGUCUAGCCCGUGUUUCGCACACGGCCUACCUGGCCAUCACAUGGUCGUGCCUUACGCGCACAGCCUGGCUCGUCGAUCACACGGCCAUGUCCCUCCAUAUAGCCUACCAUACGAGCAACCACAUGCCCAUGUGACGUUGACAGAAUGAUUUUUCGACUUUCGUUGAAUCUUGUUUUCUGAGUUAUCGAGUACACACCUGUCUCGAUUUUGUAGCACAUGCAACUCCAACACCACCAGAACCUACAUUUGACCAAUGAAUCACCAAUUUAGUCACUUAUAUCCAUACUCAAAUGAAAACACACGAGAUGAUCAAAAAUUAAACUAACAAAAACAUUACCUUUGGUUGAACAAUAGGGAUUUCGCAGACUUGAAACAUCAAUUAAAGAUCUCUAGCCCUUUGAUUGUCUCCUAAACACCAAACAAACCCUUCUUAACACUUAACCAAACCUAAUUAAAUUUUAGCCAAACUAAACUUACCGAAUGUGUGUAGUCCACAAAGUACAACGGGAUUGAAAGAAAAGAAUCGAAAAAGGAAAAGAUGAGGGAAAAAUCAGGAGGAAAUUUGGCAGCAAAAGGGAAGCACCAACGCCAAAAAGAAAGGGAAAAAGAGUUUUUUUAGGGGAAAAAAGUGAACAGAAAUCUAUCAGAUUACUCCCCACUACUUACCACACACAAAAUCCCUAAUAUCUCUCCCUCAAUUCCUACUACACAACCACUACUCAGAACCCUAGUUCAGCACUAGCUGAAAUUAGGAGCAAAAAUACUAUCCAUUGCCUAUAUAGAGAUUUGAACACAGGACCUUCAGCACACCAAUACUCUACUUAACCACUAGACUAGCAAACCCAUUUUGACAUGUUUUCAUAAAUAAUUGAAUAAAAUCUACUGAACAGAGAUAGGGCUUUAUUCAUAAAAUAGCAAAAUUUAACUCAAUUAAGGCUUGAACUUGGGACCUCACAUACACACCCAGAAUACAUAACCACUGAAGCAGAUACACAUUUAUACCACAAUUUCACAAAACCAAUAUAUAAAUUUUUGGGGCGUUACACUUAUCUCACCAUUACAAAUUUCAAGAUGAGUCUGACCCUACUUGUGACAUUCCAUACUCAACCUAACUGUCGAAUUCGAAAGUGUAACAUCAUAUUACAUUGCUGAAGCAACUCAGACUAACUCACUUCAUUUAUUACGAAUUUAAUUUGAAAUUUGCAAUCAUAUCAAAUUAAUCAUUAUUCAUUACCACAUACAUGCAUUAUAAAUGUUGAAUAUCUUUAAUUAUUGAAUCUUAGAGUUACAUGAGUUCAAACUCAGAUUAGACUUGAAUCCAACUCAAAAUACCAAAAUUCAGUAACGUGUUUCGAGACAAUAGAAUCUUAUCUUAAAAUUGAUCUUCCUUAUUUAAUAUUUAUGCUUUGAAGUAAUUAUGUCUUGAAACACAGGGCUAAUGUUUCAAUACUAAGCUUUUCAUUUCUUGAUACCAGUCUCAAGACAUGCCUUCCAUGUUUUUUUAAUUUUAGCUUUGAUGUUAGGAUGUCUCAAGACAAGGUAUUUGUCUCCAUACCUAAAACAAGGAAAAACUAAUUUAGGUUUAAUUUUUACUGGUCUGGAGACCAUGAAGUACAUGUUUUGAGACCUACCUGUCAACAUGUCUCAAGACUUCUACACAUAAAUGCAUGAUCUGGUCAUUUUUCUUCAUAGUGUCUCAAGACGUAACCAAAGUGUCUCGAGACUAACAUACCAAAUGGUCUAAAAUGCAAUAUCACAAGCAUGAAAAUGAUGCCUAAUGGUCUUUUAAAUCAUGGUUUUAUUAUAACUCACUAUUGCAUACUCAUUUAACUUAUGAAACCAUAUUCUAGCCACUUAUGGUCAUGGCAUUGAAGCAUCAAUUUAUCUCAAUUAUGAUAGGAUAGCAAAACAAGCUAAAACAUACUUUUAACCAACCAAAUUAAGCAUAUAAGUCCACCACAUUACCAACACAUCCACCAUAACAUAUUCAUAACUUAAAACAUUAUAAAGACUUUCAAAAUACUCAACCUAGGUACAUGUCAUACAUAAACUAAUCAAAAUAAGAUUAUUAUGAGGAUUGGUUGAGCUAAGAGUUGGAGAUUUGGAUGCUGACGGAUUUCCAACCUCCUCGAACACUUAUAUAAAGCCUAUACAUGAAAACAAACAAAUCCAUAAGUUGAGUGUUGUAUACUCAGUGGUACUAACAUAAUUUGAAUUCAUAUAAUAAAACUAUUAAGAUAAUAAGCAUAUAACUAAUACAUUAAAUCAAAGUAUUAAUAAUCUAAUGACAUUAUUUCAUUAUAUCAAUUUCAUUAACCAAAUUUAUUUCAUAAUCAAUUCAACAUGAUUGUUACCAUAUAUUAAGCUCAGAAUGACCUUUUAUAAAUAGGAUCAUAAUAGUAUUCAAUUAUUAGGAUCAGAACGACAUUUUAUCAACAAAUCAGAUUAACUUGUCAUUUUUCAGAAUCAUGAUGGAAUAUUAAACUUUUAUUUUUACCCCUAUUAACUAGAUGUAGACACGAGUACUGGUACACAAAUUUAACCCUUAACACUCUAAAAUAAGUACCAAGUGUUGAUUUGGCAUAAAUGCACUAAUCCCCUUAAUGCUCUAUAGAAUGAAUUGCACCGUAGGGCUAGAAUGUUCCCACCAAUAGCAUAUACAAAUCCUAUAGCAUGUCAACUCUACCCUGACUAUGUCUAGCAUCGUUUAAUAGGGCGAUUACGAAAAUUAAUAUAGUAGUUACAAGUAAUAUGGUUUGUAUUAUCAAAUCACCAUAUAUCAUUUUUCUCAUGAUCAUUCAUUAACAUAAAUUCAAUAAACACAUAUUAUGCCACUUACUUCUCAUCAAGAUAACAUAAUAAUCAAACAUCAUAAUAUCGUAGUGGAUUUUGUAUAUACUUACCUAUCAAUUUACCAUUUAUACUAAAAUUCGACAUGGAAUAGUCAAACACAUUCAUCGUGCCAUCAUCACUACAAUUCAAUAAGCUUAGCUGCUUAAUUAAAUUCACAAAAAAGAAAAAACAAUUUAUGAAAGUACAAAUUGAUAUCGCUAAUCCUCGACGGCUUUCGCUUUCCCUUUAUCUGUUGACAAACCAACUUCGUCUACGUAUAACAAAUCUGAUUGUAAACAUGAUAUUAGUUUCACACAAUCAUAAGAAAACACAUCAAUUGAACAUAAAUUACAUCUUAUUUAGUUUAGUCACUAUAAGCCUUAAUAGUCAAAAUGUUCGUAUCUUUCGAUAUUUAAUAUCAAAUCAAAAUCCAAUUUCAUAUUCUUUCAUUAGGAACCCCAAGCUUUCAAUCUAUAACAUAUUUUUUAAUAGCUUACAUUGUUUUCAAUUUAGUCCCUAAUGCCAUAAAAUUAACUAACAAGCUUAGUUAAAUUUCUAAUCAAAUCCAACACCUUUCACCACUUUCUAAAUUAGUCCUAACAUAUUCUGAACUCAUAAUUCAUAAAUUUAUCUCUACCAAGUUUAAUCUUAUCAAUUAUCCAUUAAUAGCAACUUGUAUUUAACUUAGCAAUUUGGAAAUCUAAAACAUCGGUAUGUGAGACUAAGCUUAGAUGAUCAAAUAUAUGUAAAAAUCACAAAGAAAAAGCUUAAUUGCCUUAUUCAAUUUGAUGCCCGAAUGGUUGUAGAAACUUAGAAUUUCUUUCUUUCUUUUUCUUUAGCUUGGACGAAAAAUUGGGAAAGAAGAAUUAAUAUUCUCUUCUCUCUCCCACUCACUUGUUAUAUAUACUUAGAUUAAUAGAAUAAUUAAACUUAAAUAAGACACUAGUAUUAAUUAACUAAAUGAAUUAUCAUUAUUUAUUAUACAUAGUGGAAAUGGAUUGAGUAGAUUGUUCCAUCCACUAACUCAUGAAACAUUAAUGGUUAAAUAAUCAUUAUAUCCUUUGCAUAAUUACUAAUUAGACCCUCAAGCAUUUUCUAAAUUAAAACCUAACUACGAUUUCACUUUUGCAAUUUAGUCCUUGUACUAUAAUUAACGACUUCCUCGAUUUAAUAAUUCGAUAAUUCUAUAAUAUAUUAUUGUACUAAAUACAUAAGCUCUUCUAUCCAUAAUUUUACUAACUCAAUUUAUGGAACUCGACUUUGAAAUCGCGUUUUUUAAUACUAGUCAAAAUUGAGUCAUUACACUACUAAUGCCAUUAUAUAUCGAAGAACUAUUGGUAAAAUCCAAUAUCUUUCAUUUACAAGACUUUAUAUUUGUUUAAUAUGAACAAACUUUCUUAGUUUAUGCAUGCUCCAUCAUUCGUACAUUGGAAAGCAAUGAAACACACUCUUCAAUACUUGAAACAAACCUCCAGCUAUAGUUUUCGAUUCAUUCGCCAUUUGGAUCCAAAUCUUUAUAUGUGCUUAGACACUAAUUGGGCAAGUAAUCAUACUAACCGUAAUUCGGCAACUGGUUUUAUUAUUUAUUUUGGUCCAAACAUAAUAAGUUGGUCCUCAAAGAAACAACCUACCAUUGCCCAGUCCUCCACUAAAGCUAAAUAUUGAGAAAUCACAAUUGCUACCUCUAAAACUCUUUGUUAUGAAAUUGAAAAAAGAGCUCAACUUUCCACUAUCUCAUCCUCCGAAAACGUUUUGUGGCAAUCAAGGUGCAACAUCUUAUAGUCAACACCUAGUUUUGCAUAGUAAAAUAAAAUAUUUUGAGGUGGAUUUACAUUUCAUACAUGAUCAUGUUCAAAAAAAAUUUUGGAUGCCACUCAUAUUUCUACGACUGAUCAAAUUGAUGACACAUUUACCAAAGCACUACCUAAAAUUGCCAUCAUGCAUAACUUCAACAAGCUAGGUGUUGCUCUACAACCUCAAACUCGAGGGGGCAUACUGGCUAACCAAGUCAUAUUACACUUAGACUUCUUUUUAAACUUUGAAUUUAUUUAAAGUAACUUCUCUUAUUUAGGAGUUUUGUUAAUAGUUUAUGUGUAUAAAUAAAUGCUCAUCUCAGGAAUAAAACACAACUCACUUUCAUCUUUUUCAUAAGCUUCUUUAUUUCUUUAUGAACACUAUUUGUGAAUUUUUUUAUUCCAUUGGUAGUGAAUUGAAUGUAUAUAUAUUGAGGAUAUUUAAAGGCAUAUUAAUUACAUCUUUAAGGGUUAAUUUUAGGUAGGGAUAGCAUCUCUCAUCCUUGACCUUGAUUUUAUUUAAAAUUUUAAUAUUUGAAUUCAAUAAAAAAAUCUCUAAAUUUUAGUCUAUUCUUCUUAAAACAUUAAAUAAUUUUUAUAUUUUAAUUCUUACAAAAUUAAAUAAAAUAUACAUUAUAAAAUCAAAUGAAAAUUAAAAAUGCCUAACUAAACUAUAUUUUAAAAGUUAAAAUGUUAUAAAAUUUUACAAAAGUUAAAAAUGAUUAAAAUAUAUAAAAAUUAGUUAUAAAAUUACAAAUGAGGUAUUAGGGUAAAAAAAAUUUGGGCAUGGUAGUACUAAUUUCAUCAAAAUCUGUCCCCAACCUAAACCUAAAAAAACAUAUUUGAAAAUCCUCCCGGCCUUGCCUCAAACUUGACAUUUAAGGGUAAAAAAUCCAUCCUUAUAAGUCAGAUCUGGGUUUUUUGUCCUUAAUUUUAAGUUAAAAAUUUCAAAUCAUUUUACGGAAGUAGCUUUUAGAAUGAAAUACAAAUAUUAAUUUUUAUUAUACCCUUCAAACAUCAUAAAGCAUAAUUUAUUUGGACAAGAAACAUUUCAUUCUCUUUAACCAAUUAGUAUCAAUUGUAUUCAAAUGAAAUCACUAUUCAAUGUACAAACUUCUAAUCAAGAAAAAUAAUCAAGCUAUACUGAAAGUUUACAGAGGGUAAUGAAAUACUACAACUUCAUAAUUAGACUAGACAAAUACUGUCACUUCAAUGAGGACACGGAAGAUCAUCCUUAUUGAGAAUGAGUGUCAUCGAGGAUGGACGUUUGUUAACCUAGCCUUCAAGCUCUAAUCUAUCCUUGUUGCAUUUUACUAGUAAAUCAACAACUUUGUUAGAAAAUCUUCUGACAAGAGAAAUACACACUUGUGCACAUUUCUUCUUCAAGCAAUUGAAGUUAUCCAAAACAGGACUAAUACUCCAUUUUCUAUUAGAAAGCUACUUUUUAAAUUCCUCCACUAUCAUGUUAGAAUUACAUCCCAAUAACAGAUGUUAAAAAAAAUUUCGUAUAGCAAUGCAUCUUCCACAUAAACCUAUUUCUUUCUUCAAUCAUCACUUCCUUCAAAACAUACCUUUCCACAACCCAAUGACCUCUCUUUUGAUAGGCCUUUUGUAUGCACCAUCACAAUUAAUUUUGGCCUAACUUUCCUCAAGUAGAGAUUAACUUACUUGAUCCACCUCAGCAGCCUUAGUUGCCUAAACCUGUUUUUAGGUGCUUUCUCUCUCAUAUUCAAGAUUUCAUUCAUGGACUUCUUAAGCCUACUUAUAGUUCCAAUUACAUUUAAUUCUUUAGUAACAUGAACAAAUUCACACCUCCCUUACCCUAUGUACAAGCAAACUAUAGCCAUAUUAAUUUUAUCACAUAUUAUUGCUCUUUACUGUUGGUGUAAUAUCCCGAAUUAGGGCCUAAUCGGAAUAGUGGUUUCGUGACCAUAAAUCCGAGAUAGAAAUAAUUAUUUUAUAAUUAUUUUUAGGUUUAUGAUAUGAUUGCAUGAUUGUGUGAAAAUUUCGUGAUGAAAUUCUAUGCCUAAAGUGCUUAAAUUGAAAGUAGGGACUAAAUCGAAUAAGUUGCAAAACUUGCAUUCUAGAAGUUUUUAGUAUGAAAUUGUUUUGGAAUAUUAAUGAGGAGGUAUUAAAUAGCAAUUUGACCAAUUUUAAGUUCAUGGACAAAAUUAGGACAUGGAAGGAAUUUUUGGAAAGUUUAGUAGUAAGGGUAUUUUGGUCAUUUAGUUAUUAAAAUGAAUUAAAAACAAAAUUAAAAGCCAAUUUUUGUCCAUCUUCUUCAUUAGGCCGAAAUUUCAAGGGUUCUCCAUAGCUAGGGUUUGUUUCAAGCUUCCAAGCUCCAUAGUAAGUGAUUCCAAGCCCCGUUUUUAAUGAUUUUUACGAUUUUGAGAUCCGGUAACUCGAUAAAGCUUAUGUUAGCAAUAAUUUAACCUAGGGUUUAUAUUUGGAAAAAUACCCAUAGGUGAAAUUUGUGUAUUUUGAUGUUUUAUGAUAGAAUAUGAAGUUUUAAAUUAUGUUAGACAACUUGUACUACUCGAUUUUAAGCAAAAACGAGUAAAAGGGCUUAAUCGGUAAAAAUACUUAAUAGUCACAAGUACAUGUUAGAAUGAGAAUUUGAUGUUGCCAUAGAAGAGAAAAGUGAUCAGCAUGUUGUAAAACAUAAGAAUAAGGAAUAAAUUUUAAUCCCGAGCCUAGGGGCAAAAAUGUAAGUAUGCAAAAGUUUAGGGGUAAAUUUGUAAUUUUGCCAAAAUUUGAGUUAAGGAUUAAUUUGAUAAUGUGAGUAUUAAAUAAGCUAAAUGUGUUAUUUUAGAUCAAGAAAGACGUGGAAUCGACCUCAAUCGAGGAAAAGAAAAGAUUGUGGACUAAAUUGCAAAAUCUUUGUAUUUUGGUACCAAGGUAAUUUCAUGUGUAAAUAAUGUAUCAUAAUGGUUAUUUUUAAGUUAUUGAUGUUAAUUAUAUGUUAUGCUGAAUUGUUAAAUAUAAUUGUGAACUACUUGUUAAAUAUAAUUGUUACCGAGUAUUGAUUUCGGCAUUCUACGGAAGACGGCAAGGAUAAGUGUUCGAGGAAAAAUCCCGUUUGAACCUUAGGAAUAGAUUAGGAUACAAGUGACAUGUCACUAGGAUGAUUGAGCAUCCGAACUCGUUGAGUUGAGUCCGAGUUCACUUAUGGAUGCGAAUGUCCGAACUCGUUGAGUUGAGUCCGAGUUCGUGAGAUGUAACUAGGCAUCCGAACUCGUUGAGUUGAGUCCGAGUUCACUUAUGGAUGCGAACGCCUGAGCUCGUUGAGUUGAGUCCGAGUUCGCUUAUGGGCGGGUUACAUGAUUGCUUGAUUGCAUAUAUGGCACUUAUGUGCAAGUUAUCCAUGUAUCCGAAUUAUAUUCCGAUGUGUUCAACGGGUAAAGUUCUACUCAAUGGAGGAAUAUUCGAGAUGUAAAGAGAAGUAUUGGUGAGUGAUGUGAAAUGGUUAUUUUGGACAGGUAUGUAUUUAACCCUCGGGUUGAGUAUUGAUACAACCACGAUAAGGUAAUAAGAUGAUGAAAAAUGAUUAAAAAUGUGAUAUGUGUUUUAGUGAUACAUGCUAAUGUUGAUUGGUAUGACUGUUUGUUAUGUUACUUAUUAUUUGCAUAUGAACUUACUGAGAAUUUAUGCUUACUCCCUCCUUCUUACUCAUUGUAGUUUUGGACAAGCCAGCUCAGGAGUUGGGAUAGGUCGAAGGCUCAGUCACACUAUCCGGAAGACUUUUGGUAAUGGCUUGUAAAUUUAAGUAUGGCAUGUAUAGCAAUAUAAUUUUUUUGUGUAAAUGAUCUUAUAGUAUGGUGAUGGAAUGGUUGAGGUAAUGCUUGAUAAUGAUAAAUUAUGAAAAUAUUUAGUUUAGAUUAUAUUUGAUGUUAAGGAAAAUUAUUAAGAUACUUAGUGCAUAAAAACUCAUAAAAGGGAUGAAAUUUGCCAUAAACAGAAUACUGCAGCAACACUGACGCGAGUUUAAAAAUUUACUAAAAAUCAUAGAAAUUGAACUUGGUGAUGGAAUACAUAUCAAAUUGAAGCUUAUUAUGUCUAGUUUCACAUGAAAUAAAUGAAACAGGUAAAGGAAUUAUAUGUUACAAGAUAUUUGAAUUUUAGUGAAACAGGAUCAUAGCAGUUUCUGAAUCCCCUGUUCCAACUUUAGAAAUUCACCAUAAAUUGUAAAGAUAUAAUUAGGUAGUGUAUUUUAUAUUCUCAGAAUCCUUAUUGAGUCUAGUUUCAUUAGAAACAAACCUCAUAGUCAUAUGGAUUUUUUUUAUAGAGAGAAAUGUGGUUCGUAGUAAACAGAGGUCAGACCAGUCAAGUCUUGAAACAGGGGUAACUUUAACUAAUAAACUGUACUAAUUGGCCCAACCAAAAAUUCUAGAAAAAAUUAGUAGAUAGGUAUAUGAGUCUAGAUUUAGGGAAAAUUUACGGAUCUUGAUUUCGAGUUUCGUAACUCGAGAUAUGAUUUUUCUUGUGACUGUGAUGCAAGUAGCUUAAAAGCUGUGAAUGUAGAAAUAAAUAAUCCAAAGUUCUAAAUAUGUUAAAUUAAGCUUAGUAACACCUCAUACUCGACUCCGGCGACGGUCUCGGGCGUGGGGGCGUUACAGUUGGUAUUAUAAAAUGCACCAUAUUAUCCUUCACAACCUUUAAUCCAUGUCAUCCUCCAAACCAAACACCACUUGUUGGAUCACACCUCAAAACCAUAUGCUCAACACCUUUUCCUUCUUCUAUAUUGCAAAUUGGGCAAAUAAAAAUAUUAGAUAUUUUUGUUUUGAAGAGCUCAUUAAUAAUAAGAGAGUUAGUACAUAACCUCCAAACAAUGUGCUUGAUUUUGUUAGGCAUAUUAAGACUCUACAAUAUCCUCCAUAUCAUUCUAUCAACCAACUCAAAAUUAGAAUGACCUGGUUCCACCUUGUCUAGUAUUUUCUUUUUCAUAAUCAGUUUAUAACCUCAUCUAACACUCACCUAAUCAAUUUAUUAAUCAAUAGCUCAUUGAGUUAAUGUUGGCUUCUAUAUAUUAAUUUAGAUAAUGUGGAAGAGUUGUUAAUAUUAAGGUAGUUUGCUUUUUGAAUUUGCUUAAAAGUACUUAAUUGAUAUUUGAACUUUUUCUUUACCUAAUUGGUACCUGGAACUUGUAUUUUUUCACUAAGGUUGGUACCCCCACAUUAAUGCCGUUAGUUUGUGCUGACAUGGUACUGAUGGCCAAUCCUAUAGUGACACGUGGUAGCCUCUCAGUAUGACAUGUGGAUGACAUAAACUAAAAUAAAUUAAAAAUCAAUAAAAAAUGUAAAUUAAUUUAAGAAGUAUAAUAUUUUGGACAAGUUCAGGUACCAAUUAGGCAUUUUUGGACAAGUUCAAUAGGCAAACUACAUGUUAACCCUUAAAAAAUUAACGUUGUUAACAAAUUGGGUAAUGUGUACGACAGAACAUAAAUUCAGGUACCAACUAAGUCUUCAUUUGUUGCACUGAAAAUGGAUUCUAGAAAAUAAUUUCUGGAAAAUGACUAAUUACUUACUUUUUUGGAAAAGCUAAUAUUUUUUGGUGUUUGGAUGAAUUUGUGUAAAAUAUUUUCUGUUGUGUGACAAAUUUCUUGAAAAUAUUUCAUAAAAGUUAUUUUCAAUGAAACAAGCAUACAUUUGAGAUUUAUGAUAAGUAGUGAAUUCAUUACAAAGUCAUGUUAAUGUGAAACUAUAGUAAAUAAUGAAUCUUCAUGAUGUUAAGGAUUAAAUUGUAAACUUUAUGAAAUUUAUAAUUGAAACAAAAGAAAUUACAUGCAUGAAAAUUUGUUAUGUGAAAUAAGAUAUUAUAAUGAAUUAUUUGAUUAAAGUGCUUAUAUGGUGAAAAAAUUACAUGGAAAUAGGUACUAAAUUGAAAAAAGAAAAAAAAGUUUAAGUGUGAAUAUGUGAAUAAGGAAAUUAUGAUAAAAGUUUAAUGAAUGUGUUAUGAGACGAUGAAAUAUGCAUAAAGUAUUGUAAAAGUGAAAUUGUGGAAAAAUAUGGAUUUUUUUAUGAUGACAAGGACUAAUUGUAAACUUGAGAAAAUAUGUGGAUGAAAUAAUAGAAGUGAAAUACAUAGAAAUUUGAUAUGUGAAACAAGAUAUUGACAUAAAUUAUGUGAUUAAAGUGUAACGAGAAAGAAAAUUAGUUUAAUAUGAUCAAUUAGUGAAUGUUGAACUUUUAUGACAAAAAUAGGCUAAAUUGAAAAUUUAUGAAAGUUUAUAAGAAAAUAUUUGAUAAGUGAAGAAUGUAGUAGAGAGUGUAACAUCCCGAUGCUUUGACCCGAUGCUCGGGUCAAGUAUGGAGGUAUUACAGUGAUUAGAGCCUUAUUAAUUUGGAAAAUGUCUUAUGGAAAAAAAAAAUUAGUAAGACAUUUUACAGGAGUAUAAAAAAACUUUUUCGAUAUCAUCUAAGUACUUUUGGACAAAUUCAGAAAAUAAACUACGCAUUAAUCGUUAAUAUAAUUAUAGGUGAUUUAUAAAUAUGAUUUGAUUUUUUUAUAAAAAUGUGCCAUACUAAAAACAAUUACUCUUCAAAGGCAAAAAGUUAUAAAUAAAUAAAUAAUGUACAGUAAUUGAUUAAUAAAUAUGAUUGAAUUUGAUGUAGUAUACUCCAUCGCAUAGAGACAUGGGAAGUUUAAAUAUUGGACAAAAGCAUAGAGACAUGAUGCAUGUACUCCAUUGGAAUGGAAAGUUCAAAGAACAUGCCCCCACCCUAUUGCUCGUGACCUUUGCCAAAGCUUUGGCUGCUGUCUAGUGGCUUGUAGUGUCAAAGCACUUUAUUUGUUGGCCUAUCUAUUUCUGUCAUCUUUUCACUUUGAAACACUUUGUUUUAAAGCUUUCAAUAUUAAUGGCAGCUAUUUUACAUUCGCUACUCUUUGUACUUAUCAUCGUUAAAACCUUUUAUUGAUUUUAUAAAUGCUUAAUCAUAAAUUUGGUUAUUAACAAUUACAUGUUUUUGUUAAAAUAGCCUAAAUUAUAUUUUUGAGUAUUUUUUUAUUAUCAAUCUUUAUUCUUUUUUUUUUCAAAUUAUUUUUUAAUAGAUUUGAUGAAAGUACUAUUAAAAAAUUAACAGGAUGAUAUGGAAUUUCAUAUAUAAAAUAUUUUUAAUAAGAUGUAAUUUAUUACUUAGAUAACUUAAUAUAGUAAUUACAUUAGAAAAUAAUAAAAUAAAUAAAUAAUUAAUGAAAUUAAAAAAUAAAUCUUAAUUUAAAGAAAAUAAACGUAAUUAUCUAAAAAAAAGUUUCAAAAUGAAUGCACACAUUCAGUAUUUUCAGUUUGAUUUAUUAAUUAUCUUUUUGAAACCUUUUAGUAAGCAAAUGUAUGAAUUCAUUUCAAAACCUUUUUCUAGAUAAUUACGUUUAUUUUCUUUAAAUUAAGAUUUAUUUUUUUUAAUUUCAUGUAUGAUUUGUAAUGGCCCAAAUUUCAGUGAUAUCGGAACAGUGAUUCGAGAUCACUAAAUCUGAUAUGUGAGUUUAGAUAUUAGUAAGUAAAUGCUAUGUGUGGUUUUAGAAAUAAUUUUGAAUUAGUGAAAUUAUGAAUUAAAAGAAAUUUGUAGAUUAAAUAAGAUAAAAAUGAGGUAUCGAGACCUCAAAUUCAUGAACAGAGCCAUAAGUAUUUUUAGAAAUAUUUAUGGAGUGUUAGUAAGUUAGUAUUAAAGUUUCGUCAAGAAAUUUUAAGGUUUCGAUAGUCAAUUGGGUAAAAAGGACUAAAUUGAAUUAAGUGUAAAAUUAUGAAAUAUGAUUAAAUAACUCUAGUAAUAAUUAAAGGAGGACUAAAUAGGCAAUUAAACACCUAUUGUUGGGCUAGACGGCAUGAGUGUGCAGGAAAAAUAACAAUCAAGUAUGAACAAGGGGCAAAUUUGGAAAUAGGGUAAAAAUUAAAUUGUAAAAUAUGAUAUAUUAGAUAAAAUCUAGAGUUUUCUUCAUUUUUCUUCAUCUUCUCCAGAAAAAACACCAUUGAAGGGUUCUUUUAAGUUUGUAUUUCAUAUUUUAUUACAUGUAAGCUCAAUUCUUGAUUAUUUCUUGUAAUUUUUGUGAUUUUGAGACUUUUACAACUAGGUCCUAAUAUAUAAUUCAUUAGUUUUUGCUUUUAUGAAUAUUUUAGAAAGUUACUAUGAGUAAGAUCUGAAAUUUUAUGAUAAAUUAUCAUGGAAUUGAAGUUUUAAUUUUAUUAUAUGAUGAUUUUGUGAAGAGAUUUUCAUAGAAAUUAAUUUUAGGACCUAAUUGUGAAAGUUGUUGAAAUUAGGGUUUUGUGUUGAAGCUUGGAAUGUCAAAUACUGUGAAGUUGUUUGUAGAGUUUAGAUAAAAUGAUAUUUGAAAGGAAUUAGUUUAAUUGAUGAAUGAAUUGAGCAGGGACUAAAUUGUAAAAAUUGAAAAGUUUGGGGUAAUUACGUAAUUUAAAAAAUUUAAGGGCAUAAAUUGUGAAAUAGAAUGGAAUUGAAAUAGAUGCUAAUGAAGGAAUGAUUUUAUAAUUAUAGAUCAAGAAAACAAAGUGAAUCGUGGAAAGGAGAAAAUUUAAGAAUAGUCCCUGAAUUUCUACGACUUUUGCAAAUUAGCCCAGGUAAGUUCAUAUGGCAAAGUUCAAUUUUUGAUAUGAAAAUCUUAUGAUUGUUAAAGUAUUUUAUUGUAGAUGAAUACUAUCAAAUUGUAUUAACUAAUGAAUAAUGUGUAACUAAAAGAACAAAUUAGUUGGAACAAUGGUUUGAGUGCUUUCAUUUUAUGACCAUAAUGAAUUAACGGAAAAGAUGUGAUAUGUGCUUCCGUAUAAGACCAUAGCUGGGUUAUGGCAUCGGUACAAUGUGAUUCGUGUUCCUGUAUAAGACCAUAGCUGGGCUAUGGCAUCGGUGUGAUGUGAUAAUAUGAUUCCGUAUAAGACCAUAUUUGGGAUAUGGCAUCGGUAUGAUAUGUGAUCCGUGUAAGACUAUGCCAGGGCUAUGGAUUCUGUGUGUGAUGUGUGACAAUGUGAAAGUCCAUAGUUUACUAUGGCAAUGUGAUAAUAAAGCACUCAAUUCCCUUAUUGUUCCCUAAUUUGAAAAUGGAAAUAAAUGAGAAAUGGGCCCAAAGGAGUUAAAUUUGUGAAUAGCAACAUGGAAAUUAUGCAAAUGAGUUUAUUAAUGAAAUUGUGAUUUGUAGGAUGAAUUAGUUAAACUAAUAGAUAUAUAAUUGUGUUCAAUAUUUGGUAAGAUUUGUGUUUUUAUGCCUAUGAGCUUACUAAGCUUUUAUAAGCUUAGUUGUGUAUGAUAUUUGUUUUGUAGAUUGACUUAUAUACAUACGGAGGAUCGGAUCUACAUCAAGGAUCACACUAUCCAAAUUUACUCCGGUAGAUUUUGUUAAAUAACUUUUUGAUUUAUAUGGCAUGUAUAGGAGUUGAUUUGAUAAUGUAAUUGUGUGAAUGAUUAAGUAUGCAAAGCAUGUUGAAUGUGAUGUUUUAUGUUAGAAAAUGAAAUAUACAUGUUUUGGUUUGAAAUAAUUGAUUGGUUGGAUUCUAUUAGUGUAUAGUUGUGUUUAAGUAUAGGAAAUGGAUAGAUGAAUGUUAUUUGAUCAAGAUUUUAUAUGUCAAUGUUUUGGGCAUGAUCUAGUGUGUUUGACAUGUGAAAAUAGCUUUAAAAUGGUGAAAAAUGAGGUUUUCACACGGCCAAGUCACAUAGGCGUGUGCCCAGGCCGUGUGGCAAAGUCAGGAUUGCCCACGGGCUAAUCCCACAGCCGUGUGAAGAUCUGCCCACGGGCUGGCCCCACGGCCAUGGGAGCCCCACGGCCAGGCCACACGGGCAUGUCCCAAGGCACACGGAUGUGUGCCCCUAUUCUCAAGGAAAAGUUUCCAAAGUUUCCGGUUUAGUCCCAAAUCAUUUCCUAAGCAUAUUUUGGGCCUUGUAGGUCUAUAUUAGGGACUUAAAGAUGAAAUUUGAGAAAUUUUAAAUUGAAAUACAGAUUUAUCACUCAAUUUUGUUCGUUAAUUAUUGUUUAAUUCAGGUAGCACCUCGAACCCUACUUUGGAGUCGGAUACGGGCGAGGGGUGUUACAUGAUUUAUUUAUUUUAUUAUUUUCAGAUGUAAUUAUCUUAUUGGGUUACCUAUGUAAUAAAUUACGCCUUAUUAAAAAUAUUCCACAUCAUCCCCGUUAAUUUUUUUAACAGUACUUUCAUCAAAUCUAUUAGAAAAAAUAGUUUGAAAACUAAACAAACAUCGAUGGCCGAAAAAGGCUCAAAAAUACAAUUAGAACUAUUCUGACAAAACAUGUAAACGUUAGUGGCCAAAUUUGUCAUCAAGCCUUUUAUAAAAGACAUUAUGACCUACAAAAUAAACACAAACUUUUAAAGGUUAGUUAUCACAUCCCAAAAAUUAGGUUAGAAGAAAUUGAGUUAGUAAACUAGAAGUUUACUUGUUCCAACUUUUAAAGUUAUGUUUCAACAAUUAUGGAAAAAAUGAGUUAUUGGUCUGGUGGUUAAGAGUUAGUGAGUUCAUCUUUGAAACCCAAGUUCGAUUCCCUCGCAUCAUUCUUAUUCAGUUGAGCUUUGAAUGCCGCCCCAAACAUUGUGUCUCUCUCCAUUGUUGUGUCGUCACUUUGCCUAUUAUUUUUGCUGCCAUUUUUCCAACCAUAUUACUAAUAUUUUUAAUCAUUAAGCCUUAAAACCCUCCUUUGUGUCGCCCAAAAUUAGCCUCUUCUUGAUGCCAUUAAACCUCUAUUGUCGCCAUUCUCCUCUACUCAUAAUGGUGCUUGUUUGUUCCAUUUUCCCUCUCCUUUCUUUUUCUUCUGUUGUCAAUUAUUAAUGAUGUUUUUACAGAAAAUUUAUUACUGUUUACAGCCUCUAAAAGUCAUCCCUAUUGCUACCAAAAAUCCUUCCUUAUGCCGAUCCUAAAUCGGUCCCUUUGUUGCCGCCGUUGGAAGCGUUGCUACCCUUGGAGCACCAUUGUUUUGGUUGUUGUUUUUCUUUCCAUUUGUUGCACAUCCUUGUUGUCAUUUUUUUCACUUUUUCCUUGUUUAAAAAGCCUAUUACCUUGUUGUUUUAGUGCGCAUUCGAUUUCAUUUAAAUCGUCAUCAUAGAUCUAGUCUUCGAGAAGCGUAAGUGUUAUUUUUUGGUUAAAUAUUGUGUCAUUUUUCUCCUCUAUUAUGUUAUAUUAUGGCCGAUUUUCAUUAGUAUCAUAUGAUUUUUGAUGAUUUUUAUGUUGAAGGAUCAAAUCUAAACUCCUUUGGUCAGCAAUGAUGACAAAUCUAAUUCACAUUUUUGUUUAGUAGCGAAAAAGUGUAAGUUGAUCUAUCGAAGUUGGAUCCAAAGUGUCGCUUAUGUCGUAUUGAUUGGACGAACCCCAUAAAGGUGUUUUAGGCUGAUUCUAACAUUGACUUGUCCAUGUGUGUGUUUAGAUUCGUUCGUUUUGAGUCAUGGGAAAUGGCGGAUUCACAAUUGGCACUGCGGACUUGUGUAAUUUAGGUGUGGGACUUAGUUAAAUGUGAAUUGUGAAUGUGAGUACUUUUUGUCUAAUUUGGCCAAAUGUUAAAGGCCCUAUUUAGGAUCGCCUGAAUGUGAAAUUGUCAUAUGUGAUUGACAGAUGGUUUGUUAUUAUUAAGGUUAAUCAUUUGUGUUUGUGACGUGCACUGCAUUGUAUAUUAUGAAAAUUGUUAAUAUUCAUUAGAUGCAUGUAUAACAUGAGACUCUAUGUGACACUGCUUGAAUUGAAUAAUAAGUAUGCCCUGACUGUAUUGUAUAUUGUCUGUUUGUUACAUGUUAUGGAUGCCAUUGAUUGAUUGAUUAAAAGUGUACAAGUCAUACACUGAAAUUUUUAUCGAAAACAUGUUAAACAUGCCAUUGUUUUGCACUAUAACUAUUUUUGUCAUGCAAGAUUGUGUUUCAUUCAUGGCAUAUCAUAUUGCAUUGCAUGAGAAUUGGGAUUGAUGGAUGAUAGAAGAGUUCUAUGGAGUUUUUGUAGCAUUUAAAGUUCGCAAUAUUGUUGUUAGUGCACUGCACCGGAGUAUUGUAGGAGGUAUUGGAUAUUGGAGGCUUGACCACAUCAUUGACAACAUAAUCUGCAUCUUAUUGACAGCUUGUUUGCAUUAUUGGUGGUUUACCGCAAUUUGUUAUUCACAAUUUAUUUGCAUAUCUGGUGGCUCAUCCACAUUACCGAUAGCUUGUCUACAAACUGUUAUUGGUGGUUUAUCCACAGUAAGCUAUAGCUCCUAAUUAUUUUGGUGAUUUGGUAGACGGGUUAAGAGGAACUUAUUGUGUGUAGCUGAUGGAUGGGUAAAACCUUAUUGUAUUGUCAUUCUUUAGCAUGCUUAUGCAUAACGAUUGAAGGCAUCAUGAUUCUGUGAAUACUGUGUACUACUUUGAUUACCGAUAAUCUCUUAGCUUUUGUUCUCAAUUGUUAAAUGAGUUUCUUGCAUGAUUUGUAAGUUUUACAUACUUUGUUUGUCUUUGAUUAAGACUCCCACGGGCUUUUUAAGCUCAUCCCGUUAGUUUUAGAUUUUUCAAGUUGUCCACAAGGUUAAGGCUCAAAUUCGGCAAUUUGGAGGUCUCAUCUCGGUUUUUAUUAAAUAAAUUAUUUUAUUUUUGUAUUUAAUUGGUUUGUAAUAAUUAAUUUUUAUGAAUUGUGGCAUGAGUUUAGAUUUUGGGAUAUAUUUAGUUAUUGCAUGCAUGAACGUUAAGACUUUGAUAAGUUAAAUAAUUGACUGUAUUAAUAAUUGGUCAUUAAAGUUAGUAAUUAUGGUUUUAUUAACAAAUUGUGAACACUGAUUUUUCCAUUGCAAAACUGGAUUUUUGGAAACUUUGAAUAACAAAUAAUGGUUAAAUAUGUAAUAUGUUUUUAAACUUAAAGUGAAUCUUUUAAUUGGAAUUUUAAUUGAACUUGGCAAAAAGAAAUGCCCACUACGAUCUUCUGAAAAAUGAGCGAAUGCUUUGAAAAUAAGUUAAUGAGAGUUCACUUGAUUCUUCUGGGCCAUUUCGACAAUCGAUGUGACCUUCAAAAUCCGGUCAUAACUUUUGGGCCAGGCUGGGGAAGUUAUAUUAAUUUUACUGGUGAUUUUAAAUUAUUUGUUAUCUUAAUUUGUUUAUUUGCUCAAAAUGAAAAUUUAAUGGAAGUGUUAGUAUGUACUGAUCACUACGGUUUAACAUCACAAAAAACUAUGCAAACAAAACAGAAAUAACACAGAGGUUUGUUUGCGCAGUUUGAUUUCCCUAAGUCUAUAGAGCCUAGCUAGCUUAGUGAGUAAUUUCACUAUUUUAUCACAAAUACAACAAGUAAAUCAUACUUUAUCACUCCCCAAGUAUUGAGAUCUCACCUUUGUACCUAAAAACUAAAACACUCACCUUCAGAUCAUUCCUUUACAAACUUAGGCAGUAAACACUUCACCAACAUUUUGCACUCUCUUACAAAAAUGCUCCUCAAUAAACAAAUUAGAAUGCACUCAAUAAGCUCUCAUCACAUAACCUAGACAAGCCUCAAAGCAUAUAUCAAUUUUGGCUUGCUAACAUAGAAUCUAGUUGAAUACAAAGUAACUCAUUGAAAAUAACUAAUACAUCAAGAAUAAUCAAAACAAAAUCACUUGAAGAUAUGCUCUCUAAAAUCAACAGCACUAUCUCAAUCAAGUCUUCACAUUCAAAGGAUUUAAUUGAUUCACUCGAAUCCAAUAUUCAAACUUCAAGUAUUAGUUUUCAUAGAUGAACCAAAGUAUCUUGAAAAUAAUAGCACAUAACCAAGUUCAAAGAACCAAAUAAAGCAAGUUUUAAAGCAUUUCAGUGAUGGUAUGCAAUUGACACUACCAAGUGCUACUCAACUAUUUUCCGCUCAUUUUGCCUCAACAGAAAUUUAAAUUAAUUAUUUCAAAUUUUGAAAUGUUUCUAUUUUAUUCACAAAUAAGGUGUAGUUUCAAUAAGAAUUUUCUAUUAAUUUAAUCUUCAUCAAUUUAAAUAUAAUAUUUAGAUCUUAAUUUAUAAUUUAAUCCAUAAUUUUGAAAAUUAUGGCAACUUUAAAUAUUAAAUUUAUUAAAUAUCAUCAUUUAAAAAUAAUUAUAUAAAGAAAUUCAAUUUAAAUUUUUUUAUCCAUAUUUUAAUUAUCAAAUUUUUAUUUGGUUAAUAUAUAAAGAAAUUUAAUUUAAAGUUUUUUAUCCCUAUUUUAAUUAUCGAAUUUUUAUUUGGUUAAUUUAGUCAUUCCAAUUGAAUUAAUUUCAUAUUCUAGUCACUUAAACAAGAAUGACUAAAUUAAUUAAAAAAAUGAUAACCAAAAACAUGCUAAAACUUGAUUAUCCAAAUAGUAUACCUUUCUUUUAUUAUUAUUUAUAAAAGGAAAAUUUAGAUAAAAGGAGGAAAUGAGUUCAUAAGUCUAGGAUUCGGCUCCUGAGUUUGGCUGGGCUGUAUCAUGUCUUUUAGAUUUUUUGAAUUGUUUAUAAAAAUUUUAUUUGAUUCAGUAUGAUUCUGCAUUGUUUCAUAUUAAUUUUAGAUUUUGAGGUUUAAUUUAGAUUUUAUUUUGAUAAAAUAGGGUUGUUUUAUAAUUUUUGAAUAUUAAUUGAUAAGUUUUAAAAAUUUUCAUAAAUAUUUCUAUAAAAACCAUAAAAUUUUAAGUAAAUAAAAUAUAAUCAGCUUAGCAAAAAAAUAAAUAAAAAUAAUCAAUAACUAUUAUGUAAUAUCUUGAAAAAUAAAUUUUUUAUAAAAUACUGUUAUGUUACUUUUAUUAUUUUAAAUAUAAAACAUUUAUCUUAUUAUAAUUAAAAAAAUUAAUUAUAAAUUAAAUAAAGUAUAGAAAGCAGUUUUUUAAUUUAUAAAAUAUAACCACCCAAAUAGUAUCAUUUCGGAUCGAUUUUUAAUCUCUAGUAUUUUCUAAAUCCUCCCCCAGGACUUGAAAAACUGUGAAGGUGGUCUAGUUCAUACUUGGGUCAAGGCAGUUGAUUUUAACAAACCGACUUUAUUGUCGUUUAAGCAUUUGGGGUAGAGUAGCUUACUUUCUUUGUGUACCAUCCCUUUCUUUUAACUUUUCUUUAUCCCUACAGGAACAGAAAAGAUCCAUACCAUAUUGUGGAAAAGGAAAGGGCCUUUCUAAUGCCUCCAAGGGCCUUGCAUCUCGUGUUUUUUCUUUUCUUAAUUAACCAUAAUGACACCAGUUUUAUUAUCAAAUUUGUUGCCAAAUUAUUUCUUUAUGCAAACUAAGAUGAUGAAUCAGAAAACUGAGUCACCAAAUCAAUGCAUGCAGUGAUUGUUGUAAUACUUGAAUUCUGAUUUGAGAAACCCGACAUUGGUGUAAAUGUGAUAUAUAUAUAUACACAGGCUGAUUGUGUUAAUACGUCGAUUAAAUACUACAAUGAAGCGAAAUGAGCAGUUUGCUUGAGCAAUGAAGAAGAUGAUGCUCGAUCUAAGAGGGACGCAAGUAGAGCUUCACAAAACGAGGGGAAAAAUGGAGGUUAAGUCUAAAACAAGGGGAGGUGGAAAAAUGUUGCAUGUGUUUUGAUCCUUUCUCGAUACAAAAUGCAUCAGUCGUCGUGUUCUUUUGCUGCCAUGCUUAUCACACGACUUGUUUGAUGGAUUCUACUGAAACUAAUAGCACCAACAAAAAAGGGACUGGAGUCACCUUUGAGGGGUUAUAUGAGUACGAGCACGAUGAGGAGGAGGAUGACAAUGGUAGCGAGGCCAGAGAUCCUCGGAUGCGAUGUAUUCUAUGUACUACAGUUACGAGUUAAAUUUGGUUUGCAGGCCUUUAUAUGUGCGUGUGGUGUUUGGGUGUGCGUGCUUUUUGCUGGCAAAUUUUUUUCCGGUCGUGGUUUAGGUUUUGCUUACCUUGUGCUCCAGCCUGUUGACAUUCAUCAUUCUUUCUUUCUUUCUUUUGCCACCUUCUUCUUAUUCUCUUGAAUGCUGUUGUGCCUCAAUCAGUGGCAACUUUUGUAUUAUAUAGAUCCCUCAUCCAUGUAACUAUUGGAAUGUGUAAUUAAUCCUUCUUGGCGGUUGAUGAUUUAUGUAGUGUAUCUUGCACUCUAAACAAAGUUUUCAAUGACAUAAUAUGCUAUGAUUUGCAGCGAGAGCUUGACCACUAUCACAAUCCGUUUUUCAUACACUGAGAAAGUUGUGGAUAAAAAGAUCAUUGUUGGCACGAGUUGGAUCAAAGCUUAGGGUAAUUUUUUAUUAUUUUGGUUGACUUUUGUUGAUACAUCUUUGCUUCUCGCUUUAAAGGUCUGCUUCAAUAGAUAGAGGUCUUUAUGUCAUUAAUUACUAUUAUUAUAUGAACCUUAUUCAUGGUUGGGACGUAUAUCAUUGGAAUACUCGGGAAAAAGUUGAUGAUAUGAUUAUACAUUAAAGGAGAAUUGAGUAUAUCUUAUGUAUAUUUGUAUUCAAUAUUUAUUUUAUAGUGUUAUUUUUGUCACUGACUAAUUCUUUCGCUCCGGCUUUACUUUGAAAAGAUAGACAGGUUGAUAAAAUAUGUGCUUCAUUCUUGUAAACAAGAUCAAACUUCUAACCACAUAGUUAAGAAAUAAAGUGAACAAUCUCCACACCUAAACUUUUUAUUACCAUACGUGUUUUAGCUGUAUUUUGCAUCAUGGGAUCCUUAAUUAGGAACAUGAAAAUAGAGAAUACCAAGUAUAGCAUGCACUUAGGGUAAAAUGGGCGCUGCUAAAGCAUUAAUGAUUAGUGAAGCUCAGUUGAUAUUGGAUUCAUCGAUGCCUGAAAGUUCCUCCGAAAAGGAAAGAGUGAGAAAUCUUAUAAUCACAUCACAUCCCUUUCUUAACUUCUUGUUGUUGGAUUGUCAACAGUACCUUUUUCUUAAAGUGUAGGUGUUUAGCCAGCAUUGUGGAGACUUGGAUUCCAUUUGUGUUAGAGUUAAGCAUCCAUUUGAACCUAACUGCAGCUGAGCAUUAAAAAAAGGAAGAACCAGUUAAGCCAUUGAGCAAGAGGGAAAUACCAACUUUAUACAUUGGUAUUCUGGACUGGGCUUGGGAUUGCCCUUAGAUUCUAAAGGGUGACUACAGUCUUCGUGAGUAAUAUCACAUCGUCCUUUUGGGAGGUUCAGAAGGAUUGUCGAUAUCUGUAUCCUUGUAAAAAGGAGUAGGUUGGGGAAGAGAAAGGGUUUUGUUCAAUUUGAGUUUUUUUUCCAGGUAAACAGAGCAGUGAUAAACCUUAAUGGCCAUACAGACGGAGUUCAAGGUUAGUAACUAGGCCUACUGAUAAUGGGCCAUCAGACCCAAGGAAAACCAAAUUGGAAUUGAGGUUUGAAUCCAAAUCGAUUACUAGAUUCAAAACUGUAGAAAUGGUUGGCAGUGAAGAAGAUGAGAACAUUAGUCGAAAUUGAAUCUGGGGUUAGAUAUAUAUAAUUGGAAUUAGCUGAGAUUGUGUUUGGCAAAUAAUGGGUAGGGAGGCGGAACAAAAGGGAAUUUCCAGAAACGGCUUGUUUAUCUUAUUCUAUUUUACUGAGCUUUCUUUCUUAUCCUGAUUUUUGCUCACUUGCCAUUUUACUCUUAGGAAUUACUUGUGUUAUGCUUUCUUAUUGAUUUUUUUUUAUUUGUUGCUUCUGUGAGCAUUAGUAGUUUUUUUUAUUCAUGUUAAAGUUGGAUCAAAUUGACCAACUGAAUCGAUCAGAUUAGAAAUAGACAGAUUUGAAGAUUGAAUUAUCCCACCAAACCAAAAAAUAUUCAGAGCACUAAAAACCAAUUGAAUCAGGUAAGAAACCAAGUUCAUCAAGCUUCAUCUUCCUAUGCUGCUUUCAUCAGGCUCCAAAAAUUUAUAUAUUAUUAUUAAUUUAAAAUUAGGAUUAAAUUGAAAUAAUUUAUAAUGUUGAGGGUUAAUUCUUUUAAAAUUAUGAUCAAAUUGAUAUAAUAUGUAAAAAUUAAGGUCUAAAUUUAUAUCAAAAGCUUAACGAGAAUAGACCAAAAACAAAUUUGAUUAGAUAGGUAAUUAUUUUGAAAAUUUUAAAAGUUAAGCAACUAAGAAAAAACUUAAACAUAGGUGAAUAACUUAUAAUGUGAUUUAUCCAAAAAUUUAUACACAAGCUUCUAUGCUAUACAAAAUUCAUGGAUACGCACAUAUGACGACAUAAGGAUUAUAUAUUAAGAGAAAAUAAAAGUUGAAAAAAUAUACGCAAUUUCAUUUACAUAUUCUGAAGUUGCUAUCACAGGAUAAAUUUUACAAUGAUUCUGGUCCCCUUCGGCCCUCUCCCAUCAUUUCAUGAUCUCGCUCGUGAAUGAGAUAAAUGGAGACAAUCAAGUAUAAGCCCAAAACCAUUUAGCUGAAAAAGAUUGUGUGCUUCAAAGAAUAUUCUUUCCAAGUUUUCUACGUAAGCAACCCACUGUAAACAUAAUUUCAUUUUAUAUAUUUGUAUAAUUUUUUAAAUGAUUUAUAAUUUAAUUUAGCUAUAAAUUAUAUAAAAUUUUAAAUCAAUCGGACAUUUUUGGAUGUUAUUAAUUUUAAUAUAUACUUAUGGUUGAAACUUCUUUUAUCGAAUAAAUAGUUAUAGCCUUAUAACUUUUUUAAAACUCGACUUAUGCAAUCUAAGUUUAAUAAAAUAUGAAAUAAAAUAAAUAUAAAUGUAUAAAAAGUUUUGCAAUUAUGUAAAAUUAAGUUAAGUUUACACUAAUGGAAGUUAAUUCCUCCUCCGUAUAAUACAUAUAUUACGCAUGCAGAUGAGCAAUAGUUGGGAUUGUGGGCAUGAAAUGAGAUACGCGUUCUGGUAGCUAGCGUUGUUGGGAAGGAAUUAUAAAAGUUCAAAACAUCAUUAAAAUAUAAUAUAUAAUCAUAUGUAUACGAGUUUAUGAAAGCUAUUUUAAUAGCUUAGGAUCAAAUUAGGACUAAAAUGUAAGCAUUUCAAACUAUCGAGUUGACUUGUGACUUCGGGGGUUUAAGGUCGUGACGCAACUCACCAACUUGCCCUCGUUGUGACAUUGCGAGCUUGACAUCGCGACAUCACUCGUUGUUUCCAAAAGGUCCAUAUAGUACCAAUUCAGAACACUUAAAACAAUUGCAUAUUUGAUUCAUUUCAACUAAUAUGCCAACUCUAGUCACACAAAAUAAGUCAUAUCCCAAGUUUAAUUUAACAUUUACAAUCAAAACUUCUAAAUUGACCAUUUACUAUAUCAAGCUGACUCAAAACCUAGGUAUAUGUCGUUUAUCGAAGACAAAAAUAACUAUAAAAACAUUGUUAAGUUGAAGGCUGCAUAUUAGAUGUUGAUUCACUUCUUGGAACUUCGAGAUCCACCUAUACUUGCACACAAAAUAAACAAAUCGGAUGCUGAACAGUAAACUUUAGUGGUACUUUUAUGAUUUAAGACAAUAUAACAAUAGCUUUAACCAUAUAAAUACAACUAAUUCAUGAUUCAUUUGAUUCAAAUAUAUAGGGAAAUUUUUUUUAUAGUACAUUUUUUUUAUACAUGCUAAAAAAAUGCUUAUUUUUAUUUAUAUAUAUUGGUGUAAGUUAUAACUACAUGCUACACCACCAGGCGUAACUUAAGAAAAAAGUUGACAGGACAUAUAACUUAUCUUAUCUGUUAGCAUGUUUGACCAACAUGUCUUGAUUAUUUACUUAUUUAUUAUUGGGGAUUUUGAGUAGUGGAUCUUCCAAGGAGAAUGGAUCAAGUAAGAUUAGUUUUCAUGAAUCCUAGUGUAUUCUACUUAUUAGAUAAUGAUUUUAAUAUAAAGUCAAGCAAAGACUCUUUUGCAAACAUUCAAUGUGAUCAUGUUUCUUUAUAUGAAGAUAUGGCUUACUAUAACAUUUAGCACUAGAACUUGACAAUUUUUCUCAAUUUGGUACCUAAGUUUUUUUUUUGUCCAAUUCAACACAUAAGCUUGAUACUUUUUCCCUAAUCUGGUACUUGAGUUUUUUUUUUGUCUAAUUUGGUACCCUAAACUUGACACUUUGUCUUAAUUUGGUACCUAAACUUUUUUUUAUCCAAUUUGGUACCUAAACUUGUCAAAUGUUAUACAAAGUACCUUAAAACACCUAAGGUGUUAAUUAUUUUUAUGAGCAACAAAAAUAGCUAAUGUAUAACUGAUAUGUAGCAGAAGACAUUGAAUUUAAUGGCAAGAAUGAUUACAUUUAUUUGGAUUUUCCUCUAUUCUAUUAAACAAUAUGUAACAGUCCGAUUUAAGGCCUAGUCGGAACAGUGGUCUCGGGACCACAAAUCUGAAGUUAGAAAAUUUAUUUCAUUACAAUUAUGAGGUUAUAACAUGUUUAUAAUAGUGCAUGAAAAAUUUGGUUAGUCAAUUUUAACGUUUGUGAGCCCAAUUGCGAAAAAGAACUAAAUCACAUAAAAGGUAAAAGUUACUUUUUAGCACCCAAAAGAGUUAAAUACCUAGAGAACUAAAAUUAGGGGAUUUUAAAGAGUAAUUUGACCCCUAUAAGCAAGGUGGCCGGCCAUAGGAAGCAAAUUUAGUCAAAAAGUCAAUGUUAGGUGACUUGAUGACAUAAUCCUAUGAUAAAAUAAUACCUAAGUUGCCUAGCCUUCAUCUCUUUCAUCCCAUUUCUUCUUCUUUGGCCGAUUAUAUCAGCAAAAAUAGGGGUUUCAAGCUCUCAAAAUUUCAUAAAUUUAUUCCUCUCAUAAUGUAAGUGAUCUUCAUGACUUUCUUGAUGAUUUUUACAUUUUUGGCAUGCUUGUUUCAUGGGCUUUCAUAUGAGAGGAAUAUUUUGAAAAGUGGUGAUAAGUCUAGGGAUUUUACAUGAGAGAGUUUAUGUUGUUUCAUGAAAUUUUAUGAAAGAAAAUAAUUCUUAGAAGAGUUCUAAACAACUUUUGUGAAAGGUGUUGGCAUGAAAACACCUAAAGGGACAAUUUUGCAUAAGUUGCAAAAUAAGUUGCAAGUGUGUGAAAUAGUGAGGUUUUGGGGCUGCUAUAAGAGUAAAAAGAGUUUGGCUAGACUUGAAAUAUGAAGAAAUUUGAUAAAAAUCGAUUUUUGAGCAUAGGGGUAAAAUGGUCAUUUUGUAAAGUUUUAGGGGUAAAAUGGUCAGUUUACCAAAGAUGUGAAAUUAUGAAUGACUAAUUGUAAUUAAUGACUAAAUGAGUACAUUUUUGCUAUUAUAGAUCAAGAUUUAUGAAAACCGAGCCUAGAUCGGGGCAAAGCCAAGCAAUCCGAUUAAGCCGUCUAGUCAAGUACUUUUUGUAAAUCGAGGUAAGUUGUAUGUAAAUAAUACAACUAUAUUGUUAAAUGCAUGUAUUCGAUUGUUAUUUAUUUUGAUAUAUUAUGAAUUUCUAGAUUUUGAACUGAGUAUGCAUAUUUAUGAUUGAGAAAGUAGAAAGAUCCAGUGAGAACCCCAGGGAACAAAUCGGAUGUUCAUGCCAUAACAUUGGGUUAUGUGAGAGCCAGUGUAAGACGUGUCCGGGACAUGCAUCGGCUAAGCUUCGUGCUAGUGUAAGACAUGUCUGGGACAUGCAUCCGCACUUACACACGAGAGCUAGUGUAAGACCAUGUCUAGGACAUGGCAUCAGCCUCAAUGAAGAUACCCAGUGUAAGACCAUGUCUUGGACAUGGCAUCGGCAACUUAACCCAUGUUUGAGGCUUAUAGAAUAUCCGGUAGCAUUCCAACCUUAAGAGUUAAGAAAGAGAUUUAAUCAGAAAAGUAUGAUAAUGUUUUGAGUGUUACAGGUACCUAUUUUGGUAUACAUGUGUAAUGAUCUUAAUUAGAAAAUGUGACUUGAAUGGACGGUAAUGAGUAAGUCAAGUUAUGCUUACUUUCUUUCCUUUCUCUUUUCUUUCAGUACUGCCAAAUUUCUUAAGGAUCCCUUGAAGUCAGAGAUAUCGAUCACACUAUCAGCCGUAAUACUCGGUAUAGUUGGAUUUAUAUUUUUUAUUAUGGCAUGUAUAGGGCUAGAAUAGGAAGUUGUAUUAAUGAGAAAUUAUUUAUGUAUAUUGGCUUAAGAUAAAAGCAUUUUAUUUUGUAUUAAGCCUAGAUAAUGGCUAUUAUUUAUUUUGGUAAAUGUAUGUGAUGUUCCUUCUAUGAAUGAAUUGAUGUCUUUUGGGAUGGAAUUAGUAUAUUGAAAUGAUCUUGUGUAGGUUGUGCAAAAUGGCUUGGAAGAUAGCCUAGUUUGUCCACACGGGCAAGACACACGGGCAUGUGUCUAGGCCGUGUAUGACACACGGCUCACCCCAUUAAGUGUGUGCUAUGGCCGUGUGUCCCCUGCACUUAAACUUUUAAGUCAGUAUUGUCCACGGGUAGGCCACACGAGCAUGUGCCAUAGCUGUGUCUAUAAGUCAGUAUUGUCCACGGGUAGGCUACACGGACGUGUGUCAUGGCCGUGCCCUAAAGUCAGUGUUGCACACGGGCUAAGGGCAUGGGCGUGUCUCGAGUCACACGAGCGUGUGGAACCCUAAGGCAUGAACUUUUCCAAGUUUUUCUUAAGUUCUCAGUUUAAACUUCAACCAUCUUGAAUGUAUGUUUUGGGUCUUGUAAGUCCUAUUAAGGGACAGAUUAAGUAUGAAAUGAGAAGUUUUAAAUUGAUAAAAAUUUUAUAGCCCAGUUUUACAUGCGUAUGCUUGAGUUAAGUUAGGUGACACCUCGAACCCUGUCCCGGCAUCGGAUACAAGCGAGGGGUGUUACACAAUAUGUUUGAAUUUUACUUUUCUGUGGAGUUGAGACUUCUUUGAUUGUUAAUAGUAGGAAUGAUUCAAGAGGGACUACAUACUUAAAGCAUGACAUGGUAUUCGCAAAGCCCUCAAUUCCACAAAAAUCGUUAGUAUUAAAGGAAAUCCAUGAUCAAAAUUUGUAUUUUGACGUAUGCUUAACAAAUGGAUGUUGAAGAAGAAAACAAGAGUUUUAAAAACCCAAAAUAAAAUAGGUUCAUUAUAUUAAAUUUAAAAAAAUUGAAAUAAAUUAAAUUGAAAGUAAUUGAACAUAAAAAAAAUAAAAAAAAAUCCAUGUAAGUUGUCACAUGUUGAUCAUACAAUAGUCAUUUUUGCUACCUCAUUAAAAAAUAACAAUGUUAAUAUAUUAGAGUAGUUUUAGCUUGACAAGUUUAGAUACCAAAUUGGACCCAAAAGGCUCAUGUACCAAAUUAGGAAAAGUGUCUAGUUCAAGUGCUAAAUUGGAUAAAAAAAAGUUUAGGCAUCAUAUUAGGAAAAAAGUGUGAAGUUUAGGUAUCAAACUAAAAAAAUAAAAAGAAAAGCUUAGGUACCAAAUUAAGAAAAUGUGUGCAGCUUAGUAACAAAUGUUAUAUUAAGCCAUGAAUAUAUGCGUUUUCCUUAGAAGACUACAUCAAGAAGAUCGUUGCCUCUUUAUUCCAUGUUGGCCUAUAUCGAAGGCUAUUUUUAGGAGAUAAUGAUUCGCACCGAUUGUACUUUAUCAAGUCAAUAAACAUCUUAAUUCAGUGAAGACUUGUAAUUAUUUUUAUGCAUGAUAUUGAGAGAGUAUUUAUAUGUUCUUAUGAGGAACUUGUUUUUAAUACAAAGUUGUUGUAAGCAAGUUGUUUGUGUUGUUCAAUUUGCAACUAAGCUUUCAAGGGAGAACGUCUUAGUAGAAGAGUGAUCUAGAUUAUGUAUAGGAGUGAGGUUGCAACUCAAUGAGUAAGUUGGACUUAAAUCAUGUCUUGUAAUUGUUGAUUUAUAGUGGAUGAUUACUUUUUGGGUAAGACAUUGUAGACGUAAGAAGUUCUCGAACUCCAUGAACAAUUUUUUGUGUUUAUCUCUAAUUUAUAUUAGUAGUUACUUCAUCUCUUUACAAUUGAAUAAAUAUCUGACGGUCUAUGAACUUCAAUAUAUAUAAGACCAAAAUCAAUUAUUCUAACAAAUGCUUGUUGGGUUGAGUGAUAAGGAACUCAAUGCCCCUUAAAUAUAGUUUAAGUAGGGGAUUAAUUAGAAAGUUUUUUGAAAGAGAGGGUUUGAAUUAUAGAUUUUUGAAAGGACUAAAAUGUAAUUUUUAUCACCAUCUUAUCAUAAAAAAUUACAAUUUCUCUAGGGAUUAAAUAAUAAAAUUUUCAUUUUUAGAGGGACAAAUAUUAAAUUUUAAAUUUUAAAGAGUCAAAAUGCAAUUUUACUAUUUGAUUAACAUAAAUUUCUGUAUUUUUAAAAGGGACUAAAUAAAUAACUUUCCAUUUUGCUGUCAAAACAUAUGGUUGCUCCCUAACGCCUAGAGGUGUUCAUGGGUCGGGUCGGGUCGAGUUCGAUUCGGGCCUAAGCAUGAUAUUAACAUACUUUAUGCUUGCCAAAGCCCGGUUUGACCGAAAAUAUGGGCCUAAAAUUUUCCCUAAACCCACCCAUAUUUGUAAAAGACUAACCCAAGCCCAUUUUAAGCGCCCAUAUAAUUUUUUAAUAUUUUUUUAAAAAUAUUUUUAUUUUAUUUUAAUAUUUAAUAUUUUUAUUUAUUUUUUAUUUAUUGAAAGUUUUAAUAUAGUUAUCUUAACAUUACUUUAAUGUUUAUAUUAGAGUUUAAUGUUUAUAUUAGAGUAGUAUUAUAUAUUUAGUACAAAUUUAAUUUUAUGUGUUUUAAAUUACAUAAUAUAUAAAAAUAACAUAAUAUAAAGUAUUAUAAACAUAAAAAAGGAUCGAGCCGGACUACAGCCUUGAAUGUUCAAAUCUGAGCCCGACCCAUAUUUUAAACGGGCCUAAUAUUUUUGCCUAAACCUUCUCAAAUUUCGAACAAACCUUCAAAUCUAUACGAGCAUCCCAACCCAUGAAUCGGUCUACUAGCACCACCCAUAAAUCUAAGGUUUGAGUCUUGUCAAUAUUUAAAAAUUCAAGCACAUUCAAUUUUAAAUUUAAUCAAAUUAGAUAUAACUACCAAAUACAAAACAUCUCAUAUAAAAAAAAUAAAUUACUAUAACAAAAAUAUUCAUACGAAUAGUAAUUUCCUUAUUUUAUAUUUGCUAUCUGGAGAGCGCAGAGAAAAUGGUCAAAUAUUUCAACCAAAAUGAUGGUCUUGGGAUUAUUCAAUUUCAUAACAAUUAAUGCAGGAAGUAAUUACUUUAAUUACGACAUCAAUGAGCGUUACAUCAAAGUUUUGAUUUUGACAUUUAAAUCCAAACAAUGAGAAUCAAUUCCCAAAACUGAAAAGGCCAUUUUUUUUUGGAGGGGGAUAGUGGGAAAAUGUUGGUAAAAAUUUGGGAAGAUAUACUUGAUCAUGUAAAAUAUGUCUAUGUUUCUUUUUUUCUUUUUCUUUUUUAAAUAUCUCUGAGUUAAGGAAAAUCAAAGAAGAAAUAGGUCCUAUCGUUAAAAACAAAAUAAUAUAUUUCAUCAAUAUUUAUACAUUAAAUUUUAAGUUUUUUACCCAUACCAUUGGUUGAAGUGAAAUUAUAAAGAAUGUUGUUUCAUUGUUAUAUUAGUGUUUAUAAAGGUAGAUACUUAAAUGCGCAAGAGACAUUUAUAAAUUUGGCGAAUCACCUUUAUCUUCAACCUCUUAUUUAGUAUUGAAUACACUAACAAGUCUUAAUAGAUAAAACUAUCGUAGAGUCUCCUAUAUUAAGAAUCAUAUUACAUUUGGCUCGAUUUAUUUAAAAUGGACAAAUUCUCUCUUUUAUAUUAGAUAAAAGAACAAUUUGGUUCUUUCUGUUAAAAAAAGUAUAAAUUUCUGCUGUUAAAAUUUGGUGUGUUUGAUGGAAUAACUAGAUAGUUAUACGUGAAAUGUCACGAGUAGCUCAUGUUGAUGUACAGGGACCAAUUUUUAAUAGGAGAAAUGUAUGAAAAUUUUAACAGAAGGAUUAGUUUGCUCUUUGAUCUAACUUGCAGAGGCUAAUUUGCUCAUUGUUUGAGUAGGGGGCAAAAUGUAAUCUGACUCUUAGUACAAUAAUCUCAAUGUGCUUUUACUGUCUUAGUACAAGCACUAAAUUCAAUUCAACCAAUCCAAGGAUUUUUGUGCCCUCAGUCUCGCAUACUUUUAGCAAAUUCUCUUAGCACUUUAACAUCUCCUAUUAAAGGUUAUGGAACAAAUCAAAGGUUGAUAAUAAGCUCUCAAACCAUUAUAACGUUUAUAAGAGAAUUGAAAUGUGCUCUCUCAAUUCCUACAAGAACAAAGGAUUAUACAUGAAUUACCCUCCUUGAAAUGGGGGUUAAAUUGUUGAAAGGUCAAUCCUUAUUAUACAAUAUUAAUCAUAUAUUCUUUUCUAUCAAUCUCCUUUAAUUAAGGAAAGUAUAAAUCUCGUUAGUAUUAAUAUAACACCCCCAACCUGGCCGAUGAGUUUUGGCUGAGUCGAAGGCGUUACGUUGAUCAUUGAGCCAGUACUCAGCCACCGUAAGAGCGACUCUAGUAACGCUCCUGAACAAUUUAGCGCUGUUCGCUUGGAGCCAUUCAGGAACCAACCCUCAAACUCCAGGCACAAUGCAGGUCUCAGUGACCCUCUCCAGAACUCGUAACAUCACUUGGAAUAUAGGGUCGUCCUCGAUUGGCGUAGUCUGAGACCCUAUCUCAGUAGUGAGAUUACCAACGAUCUCGUUGGUCUCCAAAAUGGGUAUGCUACCCUUGGAGGAUGAUUCAACUCGAGCUCCCCCAUGAUGCCCCUAUCGCCCACGCAACCCUCGUCCAUGACUUCCUCAUGAACUCAUACUUUUCAGUGUCUAUAAUGUCAGAAACGCACAGAUCAAUUCAUAUUCCCAUAACAGUUCAUUUCAGUGUGCAAAAUUAACCAACAGGAUUAGUUAUCACUGUAGAAUAUGCACGCAACACAUUAGAAGGGAUACUUAUAGGCGACGUCAGAGACUCAGUCAUUUACUAAGCUUAGUUGUUUAGCUCAAGUCAUAAAAUACUUUAUUUUUAAACAUCUUGUAUUAAAUAGAGGCCCAAUUACACAGUCUGGGUUUUGAUGAACCUGCCUCUGAUACCGCUAAAUGUAACACCCUAAACCCGACCUAGACGAGAAGAUUUAGUUUAGAAUGUCAUAUUGUCUUACCAGAACACAAUCAUACUUAAAUCAUUAUUAAGUUAUAAAAACAUCCAAUAUCUGAAACACAGUCAAAUCCUAGAAGUUAAAAAAACAAAGUUAAAACAUAGAUUCACAUACACAUAUAAGUUUGAUUGAUGACUGAGUCUCACGUCCGCUAGCUGCUUAUUCCUGAGAGUCCCUUGAAAUUCAUUCAAGUAGUUAGUGUGUUACAAUGUAGAACUUAACUUAAAUAUACUAGCCUAUGCAUAAGAAAUCAGAUAUUAAUGAUUAUUCAUAUAACAAUUCAGUCUCCUCAAACAGAUCAACAACCUAAAUGGAUACAGAUACAAUAGUCAUGAUACGUAGCAGAUUAAUAUAAAUGCACGUAUAGCACAAAAAUGAUUAAGUGCACAUGACACACAAUACAAAUACAGAUGCAAUUUCCUAUUUCAUCUGCUACACACCAUCUUUACCCACCCUACACACCAAUAGGUAUAUAACACACAUCCAUCCCUACACACCUUAUAGUGCCAAUAUGACACGUUGCAGUGUUUAUAGUCUCACUGCUAGAUCAGAUAAUAUCAUGGGUGGUUUGACCAUCAAUUCAUUACAGAAUACUUCCUUCAAACCAAACUUUCGCCCCAUACAGAUACAAAACAUAUAGUAGAUAUCAAUAUGUAUUUCAAAUGCAGAUACUAUCACACGUUCUAGUAUACAAGUGUAUAAAUAGAACCAGUUUAUAGUUACAAUAAAGUAUAUCAUACAACUUAAUAUAGUGGUACCUAUCUUACAAGUAGUCUACACUCGCCCCGUACAAUAAUUACGGUAUUACCAAAGUUGGCGAUUUGGGCUCACACACCCAAACGAUGGCCCGUCUCACUCUAUACGGCCUGGUACAAGGCCGUGUGGUCACUUGUGUACACUAUUUAUCAAUUAGUGAGUCACGCGGCCUGGUCACGCACCCGUGUGCUAGCCCAUGUGCCUCACAUGGCUUGGCACGCACCCGUGUCCCCUGCCUGUGUGACUCCAAAUUUGAACUCAAUGAGUUACAUAGCCUAGACACACACACACGUGUAUAUUGUCUGUGUGACUUCAAAUCCUAACUUAAGGAGUUACAUGGCCUGGACACACGCCGUGUGUUUUGCCUGUGUGACCCUGCACCUAGCUUAUUACACACGGUCUAACACACGCCCGUGUGACUUACCUGUGUGACCCCAAAUGGUAGUGUAACCCAUAUAGCCUGUACACACCCUCGUAUGCCAUUGAUAACCCCAUUUGUAAUAGAGAAAAACAUAGAGAAAGGAAGGGUUUCAGUACCCAUCUGCUGAAACUUUAACGUAGAAGCAACAAAGAACACUCCGAAACCUAAAAACAACCAAAAAUUGUCUAGUUAUACAAUUUAAUCGAACUUACAAGACUAAUUAAACAAUCAAUCGAACAUGUCGAAAACCUCAAUGCAAACCCCCAACUCAAAACAACCGUUACCUUCGCACGAUACGACAAUUUCACGAGCCUAAGGCGCUUGGGAAUAGUUUUCCUCGAGAUCUUCUCCUAAUGAACACCAAUUGAACAUUUAGACAGAGAAAUCGAGUAAUUUACUUAGGAAACCAAUUUUGACAAAAAAAUGAACGACAACGAACGUUAGCAGAAUUUUAACACAGCACUUAUCGAAUUGACUUCCAGUAAAAGAACAACAGGAAACAAAACUCUUUCGACCAUAGUAGCAAAAUUUAACAAGUAGAAUUUGAGAACUAAGUGACAAAAAUUACAAAGAAGAAAAAGAAAAUAAAAGAAAACGAUGGAGGGAAGAAGAGAGUUACAUUAACGUAAAAAUAAAAAAAAUAAGAAUUUAUUUCAAUAUCAAAACUAAAUAAUCUCGUGAAGUAACAAAAACAUAUCUCCGUUUUGCUUACACAAGGACUCAAACUCAAGACCACAGAGCAAACAGAAACUUAACCAUUAAACCAACAGACUCAUUCUUGACACAAAUUGUCACUGAAUUCAACUUAAACAAAGAAUCCUAAGCUAAGGGUUUAAGUAAGGAAAUUAACAAAAUUUUAAAAUUUAUGCUACUCGAACCUUAGAUCUUAGGUGAGCAAACAAAACAUACAACCAUAGAAGCAGAACCGUAUUCACUGACACGACUUAUUAAUGAAAACUCAAAUUUUGGGGUGUUACAGAGUUAAUAAGCUAAACAAUCUCAAACCUAAGAUAUAAAAGUAAGAAAUAAUUAAUAAUGGCAACCCUAAAACUGAUUAAGGAAAACUUUAAAUGGAAACUUUAAAAAAAAAAAAAGCUUCUAGUUUGACAUUCCUCCUAUGUCGUACCGAGUCUGAGUUUCCUGCGUUAUCUGAGAGGUAAAGAAAAAGGGGGAGUGAGCUUAUGACUGCUCAGUGUGAGUCUAAUUUUUAAACCACUACAUAUGAUUGUACAAACAGUCAUUCAAUUUUAUAGCAAUAUAGCAAUUAAGCGUAAUGUAAGGAACAUUAAGUAAAUCAGUGCAUAUACAUGUUAUGUUCAUGAUAUAAUGAAAUUUUAGUUUUAAGUUCCCACCCAUCCAUCCUAUCUGCCCUCAAGCAUCGCUCGACACACCAAAACACAUAUAAAAAACUGACCAUUCUGGAUUUCUCGGUGACGAUAGUCAUUCACUUGUCAUCUGUGACGAUAACUUUUACUAUAAUAACUUACCAUCUAAGUUGCCCGAUUUUGACGGCUUUUUAAACUAUCAUCCUGAUUUACCCGGUGUCGAUGAUAUUGCUGCCUACUUCAUGCAGUACUGACUUUCAGUAUGGACUUAAAUUGCCACUUUCUCUUACGAAGCUCCUCUGUCCUCCAUACCCAAUUUCAUGUAACCAUAUAUAUAAAUUCAGCAUGUCAUGCUAGUUAUCAAAAUAUAAUCGAUUACAAUACUUAUCAAGCACAUUUUCCUUUUAAUACGAUGUAUGAAAUUUAAUGCUAACAAUCAUUAGCAUGUAUUUAUGCAAUUAAUUCAUAUCAAUUACACACAUGCAAUUGCUUUAUGUAAACUAAAACAAUUUCAAAAAUUCAGUUUCUUCAUGCGAAUUAACAUUGGGAUAUUAACAUGAUUAGUUCGGCUAACACAUACAUAACAAGUUCUCAUGUAUGACUGGCUGCGCGCGUGCGCUUUAAAACAAAAAAAAUAUAAGACUAUUUUAAAGCCCGGUUUUUGUAAUACCCUAAAAAUUUUUACAGUAAGAUAUUAUCCUUGAUAUAGUAAAAUAAGGAAAUAAAGUGACAAAAAGGGAAAUUUUGAGUUAUGUCAAUAUUGAGAAGUACAUUAUGAUAUAUUAAUUCAAGAAAGGACUAAAUUGUAAAAGUGAGAAAAGUUUUGUUGCACAAGAGUAAAUACUCAAAAUUUGAGGGGAUAAAGUGUAAAUAUGAAAAAGUUGAAGGACCAAUAGUGUAAAUAUUUUAAGAGUGGAAUGAUCUAGAAACUAUAGAAAAUGGAUGAAUUAGGACCAAAUUGAAUAGGUGAAGAACUAUGAGGGACUAAAUUGUAAUUUUACCAAAUUAAAUGAUGACUCAAGGAUGGAAUUUUAAAAGAUAAUAAAGGACAAAAUGGUUAAUUGGAAGAAAGAGAAAUCUAGAAAGUAAUGAUGAUGUUGAUGAUAUUUUAUGAUUAUUUAAUUAGAUAUAUAUUAUUUUAAUGAGAUAUUUUAUUAUUUUAUUAUUAUUUCAUUAUUAUUUUAUUAUUAAUUAUUUAGUAUAAAAGGAAGGAAAGAUGAAGAAUUUUCAUCAUCUUUCCAUGCAUGCAACCAACGUUAGAAGAAAAGGAAAAGAAAGAAAUUUUCUUUUCUUUACAAUUUGGUCCCUCCACCAAAAAUUCACCAUUUUCACCUAGAAAUCAAAAGAAUUUCCAUAGCUACUAAGAGAGAAAAAUGUUAAGGAGACCAUGGGGAGUUAGAAUGUCAAGUUGGAUUUAAGAAAUAGAAGCUGGAGGAGAGAGAAAAUCAAGUUAAAGAUUGGUAUCAAUAGAACAAGGUAAGUACAUCAAGAUUUCAAUAUGUUUUUAAGUUUGUUAUUAUUGACAAAGCAUGGAAAUAAUGUUAUAGUAGAGUUUUCUUACAUAAGGUUCUAUGUUCUUGAUAUGUUAGUGAAGAGAAAGUAAGAGAAAGUGAUGAGAAAUGGUGUAGAAAAAGAAAAUAAGGGUGUUAUAGCAUGGUAAUUAAUAUCUUGCACUAAAACAAUAUUGGAUAGCAGCAGUAGACUAAAUUUGAAAAAUUACCAUAAAUUUCAGAAAUCGAAAUAGAGGAUGAAAAAAAUAUGAAAUUAAAUCUUAUUGAGUCUAGUUUCUCAUAGAGAAACGGUGUAAGCAAUGGAUUUGUAAAUCAUGAGAUAUAAUGAAUUUUGUGAGACAAGGUCAGAAUGAAUUCGGGUUCCCCUGUUCUGACUUUGUAAAAUCAUAAAAAAUUGGAUAAAAAUAAUUAGGGGCUUAAAUUUAUGUGUUAAGAAUCCUGAAUGAGUCUAUUUUCAAGAGAAAUAAACGAGAAUAUCAUUAAAAUUCUGUACGAUGAGAUAAUUAAUUUUUAGUGAAGAAGGGCCAAAACUCUCAGACAUCAGAACAAGGGUAACUUUAAAGAAUAAACUGUACUUAUUGGCUAAACCAAAAAUUCUGAAAAUUUUAUAGUAAGAAUAUAUAUGAGUAUAGUUUCAGGGAAAAUUAGUGGAUAUUAAUUUGGAGUUCUAUAGCUCCAGAUAUAAAUAAUUUAGUGACUAUGACACAGAUGGACAGCUUGAAUAUUCAUAAAAGUAAAUAAUAAAAAUUAUAGAUGAUGUUACUUACAAGUGUGUUAUAUACAUUAAGGAUGUGGAAUGGAGAGGAGGAGGAGGAAAAAGAAUAUGUAUGAAUAUUCAUUUAGCAUGGCUAAUUUGCAUGUUUUAGGCUCAAGGACUAAAUUGAAUAAAAGUGAAACUUUAUGGGUAAUUUUAUAAAAAUGUCAGAUAUGACCAAAUUGCAUGAAAUGGAUUAUUUUAUUAUUUAAAUUACAAAAUUUAAUGAAAUUAUUAAUUUAGUUCAAGAUCGAGGGAAAACAUGUUUUAGGGAUUAAAUUGAAAAGUGUUGAAAUUAUGGAAAAAUUCUGAUAUUUUAUAGAAUUCAUGGACUUUUAUCGAUAGGUAUUAUAAUAAUAGCUGGAAAUAAGGAUUAAAUUGCAAGAAUUUUAUUUUCCUGACCCUAAUGAUGAAAUCGUCAUUAAUUAAAAAUUUAGGGGCAAAAUGGUAAUUUUGCCUAGAGCAUUAAUUAAAUGCAUUAGAAUAUGAAAUGAAUGAAAAUGAUGAUCAAAUUUAUUUAGAUCCGGACGACACAGAUACGAGACUUGAUCGUGGAAAAGAAAAGAUAUCGGAUUAAUGAAAUUAUAAACACACACAAUCAAUGAGGUAAGUUUGUGUAACUUGAAUUGUAUUUUUAAACACUUGAAAUAUGUGGUUAUGUGAUGAAAAUAUGAUUUGAAUGUUCAAUUCAUGAUAAUUGAUGAAAUAUUGAUAAUACUCGAUAUAAAUUGAAAAUAAUCCCGGUUGAAUGGAAUGGAAUUCAUGAUUAUACUUGUGAAUUGUAUUUUUGUCAUGCAUAUGAAAUUGAUAUGGAUAUAUUUGAUACUGCCCGAUAAAAUUAUAAAUCCCGUUGAAUAAAGGAAAAUCGAUGGAUGUAAGUUUCCCGAAUUGGUUGUAGUUCUGCAUAUGUUGUAGACACACCAUAGCUAGAAAGAGUGUCCCGAUAUUAGCCCUCUCGAGCUUCCCGUUAUAUGGUUCUUGCGAGCUUCCUAUUAUAGCUCUUCAGAGCAUCCCGAUAGAUUGUGAUCCGCAUGUGUUGUGGACACACCGUAGCUCUUAAGAGCGUCCCGAUAUAUGGCUCUUCGUGAGCUUCCCGAUAGGCUCUUUGUGAGCUUCCCGAUAGUGCUUGCUUGAACUUCCCUAUAUAUGGCUAUCCGGAGCUUCCCGAUAGGCUCUUCAUGAGCUUCCCAAUAUGGUUCUUUGUGAACUACCUGAUUUCGGCUCUAUUGAGCUUCCCGUUAUAGCCCGGAUUAGCUUCCCGAUAUUGCUCUUUAUGAGCUUCCCUUUAAAUAGCUCGAGACGGUAAAAAGGAUCUAUCCCGGACGGGUGAUCCUAUCCUGAUAUAGCCCUCUCGAAGAAUAUGUGGAAAAUGGAUUUAGCCCAGACAGGUAAAUCUGAAUUAGGGGCUAAAUUUAGCCUGGACUAGUAAUUCAGAUCCAAGCUCAUUAGAGUAAUUAUCGUUGCAGGGGAUUUGGCCUGGACUGGUAAUCCUGACAAUACUCUAUGAGUUUAUAUUACAGGGGAUUUAGCCUAGACUGGUAAUCCCGCUGUAAGGAUGAGGUUCGCGGGAGUGUGCUCUCUGGAAAAAGGGGUAUAUCCAUAUGUGUACAAAUUAACAGACCCGAAAUUGUACACUAAAAGUGUACCUCUGAAAAUCCAUCGAAAUUUCGAGAAAUUCAACGGGAUAAAUAUGAGAAAUGGAAGAACAUGAAAAUUAUGGAAUUAAUGAGCUCAUCAAUCAUUUAUCUUUGUAUUGAAUUUAUAUUAUGAUUUGUACAUGUUAUAUGGACACAUGGUGUGGAAAGUAUAUGGUACAUGAAAUGUUAAUAUAAUGAAAUGAAUGAUAUAUGUUAUUAAAGAAAUGGUAAGAGAAUGAUAUGUAUCAUGACAAUUACAUAUGAGAUUAUCUUUUAUAUGUUAAUAUAAGGAAAAUAUGUAAGUUAAGACGAGUAUUAAAUUCAAACAUGACAUAUUGAGAAAAUAAGAAUUUAUAUUAAAUAUGUGUAAGUACGCUAACAAGUGUUGUUGUUGAUACUUAGGCAAGUGCCAAGCCAUUGAUUGAAUGGUGAUAUAUUUAUUGAUGCAUUGAAUCGGUAAGUAUUUAAGUGAAUUUUUUUAAGUGAUCUGCAAAUGGUAGUAAUGCUCCGAAACCCUGUUCUGGCAGCAGAUACAGGUUAGGGGUGUUACAGUUUUACUACAGGCGUACAGACUAGCUGUAAUAUUUGUGGUGUUAUAAUAGAACACCGGAGUAUUCCAAGGAUCAAACCCAAAGGAGUUGGUGAUUCAACAAUUUCUAUUGAAAAAUGUAUACAAGAAAGGAAUUUAGCUAGCUACUCACUAAUUACUAUAAUAUGACAAACCAUUAAUGAAGUUAAUUAAAACUAAUUACUUAUCUAAAACAAAAAAAUGACUAAAUUGUAAAGAACACAAAACUAAGAAAUUAUUCAAUAAAUAACUAAUGGUGGUUCGUUGAUUUUGAUAUGGUUCAUCUGUCCUUGAAUAAGUGACUUAAAUCACUUAAAUUACUAAGUGGCUCUAUUUUAUCUUCUGAUCUCAAUUUUAUUGACUUAGCUCUAUUCAAUUUAGUUAAAUUUAUUACGUUUUAGUCCUUGGUCCAAAGAUUUCAGUUUACCCAUAUCUUCAUCAACCAACCCCCUAAGGUUUAGUUACCCAUUACCUUAUUAAAGCUAACAAAUAUGAAAGAAACAACUAAGAUAUCCACAAGCAUCAAAUGCAAGAAAAUAAAGAUAAAAGAUUGGAUUUUUAAUAGAGAAAACUAAAAGCAAAGUGAAGAUGAACAACUAGCAUCAAGGUAAGAAGCAAGAAACAUUAGAGGUAGAAUGUUUAACAACUAAAACUAAAGAAAACUAAAAUAACAUUAAGCAAAGAUUAAAGAGUGAUUACAAGAAAGUUUAAAGUCUUUAACAUGUAAAUAAAACUAAAUUAAAGUAAAAACUAACUUACUAAUAACUAUGAAACUAAGUAAAACCAGAAAGAAACAUAAACUAAAACCCAAGAACUAUAGAGAAGAAAAUCACCUUACUCUUAAGCUAAAAGCUAAAAGAAACCCUAAAACUAAAAAGCUUUUUAACUUAAAACUACAACCUCUUCUUGUUCUUAGCCAAAAAUGGCUUUAAAUAGCUGAUUACAACCCAAUUUUUAGUGACCAAAAUGCCCUUAGAUGUUGUAUUUUAGUUGGUGUUGGUGUUGGACAAAAACUAUCCCCUACAGUCAUUUUUCUCCACAUCAGAUAACAAUAUCGCUAUACCUAGUCUUGGGUAUCGCAAUACCAACAAUAGUUUACAAGUGGGGGUCUUUUGGGGUGGAUAUCGUGAUACCCAAAGGUAGGUAUCGUGACACCACUGUAGAUGGAUCUUUUUCUUCUUCAUUUCAGACCUCUAUAGGCUUCUAAUUUUCUUUCAAGUCAACCCAUGUGAACCUUGAGAAACCAUAAACUCAAACAAAAACAUAUAUUUUCCCUCAAAGCUCUAAGCUUGUUCACAACAUAUGAUCAAUGAAAAGCUUGUUCACCAAAAGCUUGUUCACUAUAUUCUUUUGGUUCUGUCUCUAAGCUUGUUGCAACUUUGGACAUAACAACUUUUGACCUAACAAUGAAAACAACAUAAUUGCUUACAUGUUCUUCAUGUUCUCCUUCCUCAUUCCAACAUCCUUGUCAGUCCAAGUAACGUUAAGGACUUUAUGUUCUUAAGAGUAUUUACUCAUUCUACAUGAAUGUGACCAAAUCUCUCACAUUUAUGGCAUUGGGUUCUCUAGUUUUUUUCCCCAGACUUUUCUAUUAUAACCUUAUUUUAAUUAAUUAAGUAUAUUAUAAUCCCUUUGUUUUUUUCCCUUACAAAUCAACCACCAUAUGCAAUUUUAUUCUUCCUAUAAAAAUUUCUAAAUGCUUUCUUGAAGUAUUUUUUUUAUGAAAAGUUCCAAUUGUUCUCAUAGCUUUUCUAUUGAAGCAAAUGUUGGAAUAUCUAUAACAAUAAUAGCUUAUCAUUAAGUCAAACAUUUUUUUUUGUUUUUUCAUUUUCCCUUUUAUUUUUCUUGUAUUAAUUUCAAAGGUUUGUAAUGAGCCAAUCAAUGCAUCCACCCUUAUGGUGAAGAUGUCUUUGACUUCAAUUAUCAUUGUGACUUUUAUGAUAAAAUAUUUUGGUAAGAAUCUUAUCACCUUUUGAACCAGCUUGACCUCAUAAUACACCUCAUUAAAAGCAUAACCUUCAUUAUUAAUGUUACAUAAUUUUGCAUAAAAUUUAGAAAUAUUUCAUUACCUAGAUAUGUGAAUUUGUAACGUUGAUGUUUUGACUUCUUAAGUCCCUUCAAGAGUCAUACUUCUGUAUUCGAAACACAUUAAAACUUGCUUGGAUUCUUGAUAAUCUACUCUAUUGAAUAUUACAUUGAGUGCCUUGGAGUUGAUGUUUGUUUUUUUUCUUCCUUUAUUGUUUGAGCUUCCUCAGAUUUAGCAAGUUAUGGGUCAUAUGCAUUGGUUGUAGUAGAGAGUUCCCAGCUUGCCAAGAUUGCAUUUAUGCUUUGUUAUUAAUAGCCUAAAUGAAAACUCUCAAACAAACCUUUUGAUAUGAAUAAUUUGAGUCAUUUAAUAAAACUGGUCAUGAGAUAGAGUUUUCUUCCAUUGUGGAAUCAGUGAUUACCUGCUAAGCAUAAGAUCACACCAAGUAUGUUUGUGGUAGGAUCUAAUACCAAUUAAAAAUAUCUAACUAAAAUGAUAUUAAAAGGAAUGUUAUAUUGAUAUUUAUAACAAAUGUUCUAACUAUGUAAAACAAGCAGAAAGUAGAAACUUAAAUGCACCAAAGAUGUUUACAUAAUUCAAUGAACCACCUACAGCUAUAGGGCCUUAUUGAGUUUAAUCCACUAACAUGCCAAAGAAUUUUUAAUCUUAGUCUUACUUAUUGUUAAUUAAUUCUCUGAGCACUUUAGCCUCUCCUACUAAAGGUUAUAAAACAAGUCAAUGGUUGAUAAAAACUUCUCAAAUGUACCAAAAUAAGGAUCCUAGAUGAACUAAAAUAUGCUCUCUCAAUUUGUACAACAAAUGAUUAUGCUGUUAUAAAAUAAAGAGAGAUGGAGAGAAUAAAGAAUAAAGAAAAUAUUAAAGCAACAGAGAAUGUACUUUAUUGACCAAAAGGAGUGGUUACAAUGCUUCAUCAGAAUCUCUAUUUAUAGGCAUAAGAAGUAUAAAAGAAGUAGAGAUCUAAUUCUAAUAACUAUUAGAAUUUAAAGUAUACCAAAACUUUAUCUUGAUCAUGAUGGACAUCCACUUAAUAAGAUAUCUAUACACUCCCCCUUAGAUGUCUAUUGGUAGAUAAUGUGCCUCAUUAAAACCUUAUUACGAAAAAUCCUGUGGGAUAAAAACCUAACAAGAGAAAAAGAGUACACAAUCUAUAAUACGCAUAAUAUGUUGCCUUAUUAAAAACCUUACUAGGAAAAUCCAAAAGGACAAAACCUCGGUUAAGGGAAAAAGAGUACAAUGCGUAUUUACUCCCCCUCAUGAAAACAUCACAUAUUUUCUCAUAUUCUACGUAUUCAAUCUUGAAUAUUGGUUUUUCAAAUGACUAUUUGAGUGUGUUUGAUAAGCAUUUAUAUUACCAUUCUUUUAAAAAUCAUGAGUGAGGAAAAAUUUUGGAUAAUAUAUUUUGAUCUCUUCAGAAGAUUCAACAAUAAUCAUAACAAACUUUAAUCAUGAUCCUUAUAUAAAACACAAAUAGUUAUUUUGGAUCAUUUUAUAAUCCUCAUUCAACUACUCAAAUUUACCACAUAUAUUCAAAUUAUUUCAAUUCAUAUAAAUGAAUAAUUUCCCGAGAAUUUCAAUAUGCUUUUAGCAUUCUAAAUCCUUCAAGGAUUUUAAUAUAAACUUUACUAUAUAGUGAUUUAUAAAGGUUGUAACAACAACCAUUAGACGCAAGUUAAAUCUUUUAUGAAUUGUCAAUUUAAUAAUAUAUCUAAAGGUUAUUGCAUCCACCAUAAAAGAAUAUUAUAUCUUUCAUAAUCAAUAUCAGUACUUAGCAAAAAACUUCAUAUUUUUAUUUCGCUUUUGCAAAACUACUUCAUUUGCACCCUCAUUGGCUUUAUACCUUUAGAUAUUUGGACUACUAGUCCAAAAACUCUUCGAAUUUAAUUAUACUUGAGUUGCGUCUUUCUAUUUUGAUCAAUUUAUUUCAUAUCUAUAUUUCUCAAUAGAUUUAUUUAAUAUCAUCCUUUUAUUUUAUUAUUUCAAUAAUAAUAUUGCAUGCAAAAUCAUUGUCGACCACUUUUAUUAUUCGGUUCCACAUUUUCUCUAAUUGACAUAACUUAUCGAGAUAUCUUAUUUUCAUUAUUUUAAAAUUUAGUUUCAGGUACUUGAAUCUCUUCUGAAGUUUUACUUAUUAGUUAUGUCUUAGAUCUCUUCUGGAGCACUCGCCUCCACUAUAUGACCAUCUAGAAGAAUUUUUCAUCUUUGGAACAGAUCAAUUUAUAUAACAUUUGGUUAUUUUUAUUAAGUUUGUAAAUACAUCUAAUAGUUAACUUGUAAUGAGUUAUCCUUUUUGAACUUCUGGUUCAAAUUACUCUCUCCCUAAUAAGUUAUUAUUUCUCUCCCCCUAAUGUUGGGAAAACUGACAACUCAUGUCAUAAUUAAAUCUCAAAUUAAUAGCUCAAAAAUAUUAUAAGGAGACUCAUAUAAAUAUACAUUCCCAAUCUCUUAUUAUGAACCAUCUUUGUGCAUUGUAGUGGAGUAGUUGGAACAUAUAUCGUACAUCUAAAAAUUUUAAGAUGGGAAAUAUUUGGCUCUUGACCAAAAAUAAAUUGUAAUGGGGAGUAUUUAUAAUUUAUUGGCUUGAUGCGUACAACAUGUAAAUUAUUACAAUCUCAUGUUGAAAUAGAAAGUUUUGUUCUCAUAAGUAAUGAUUUAGCUAUUAGUUGGAGGCAUUUGAUAAACAAUUCAGCUAAAUCAUUUUGUGUGUGAAUAUAAGCUACAGGAUGUUCAACUUUUAUCCCAAUUGACAUGCAAUAAUCAUUGAAAAGUUGGGAUGUAAACUCACCAACAUUAGCAAGAUGAAUUGUUUUAUUGCAUAAUCUGAAAUUAAUCAUUUAAACAAGCAAUCUCGCAAAUGACAGGUUGCGAGUUGAUAAAGCAUGUGAUUAUUUUGUUUAUGCAUGUACCAAAAUCAUAUAAUAUCAAAACCAUCCACAGGGUGGAUGAAUGGGCCCAUAUUCAUUUUAGAAAUGCAAGACAUUAAAUCUCAACUUUAGCUAGUGAGUUUCUAAGAACCAAUUUUCAUUGAGAACAAGCAACAAAUGAGAAUUCUUUAAAUUAAAGAAUAUUCUAGUUCUUUAAUGGAUAUCCAUAUGAAUUCUCAAUUAAUUUUCAUAUCAUAUACGAUCCACGAUAGUCUAACUGGUCACGCCAAGUAGUAAACGCUUUUGUAUUAGUAAACUUAUUGUUUAUUUUAACAUGUGUUUCAAUUGUACUAAAUUGUAACAAAUUGAUAAUUUUAUUGUCAUUCUUUUUAUUUUGUAUCCAUAUUAAAUACUAUUGUGACAUUUACUACUGGAAAUGUCUAAACCACUGUGAAUUCUAUAAUGCCACUAAGUCAAUAAAUAUAAUUUCCAAAUAAUUAUAUACAGUAUUCGCUUCAGGGAAUAUGCCAAAAUCUUCAAAUGCCCAAAAAUCUAUUAAUAGCAAACUUUGAGAGUUGAUCUUAUUUUCCAUGUGUAUAACAGGUACACAACUAAUGACUUUUCAUACAUAAGUUUUCUCUCUUACAAGUUCUCAUUAGUAAUAUUUUACCACGUAAUUUUAAUUGAGAACUUAUUCUGAAUACUGUAAAGUUAUACUUACAAUUUUUAAAAAAAUACUUGCAACUUUAGAUGCAUCCAACCAUAAUAAGCUUUAGAUAGAAUUAUCAUAAUCUAUUGCUCAUAAAUAGAUCUUUCACCGUCAAAUAUUUUGCUUUCAACUCUUUAAUAGGGAUGAUGACAAAAGAAUAUCAUAAAUAUUAUAAAUUAAUAACUCAAUCCAUUUUUUUUAUUCAUAUGAAAUAGAAUCUUUUCUUCAUUCACAAUCUCAUUAUGAGAUUCAUUACAAAUAACUUUUAAAAGUAAUGCAUUAACCAUCACAAAUUUUGUGCUUUUUAGAUAGUGAUAUAUUAGCUCUUCUGGAGCUUUCAACUAAUUUUGUACUAUCAAAUAUUAGAAUAAUAUUUGUUUGUUUCAAUACCAAAUAAGAUAAAUAUUUUCUAUCUAUAAUGAUAGAAUUCAUUCCUACAUUUUCAUAUCCUUCCUCAAAGAAUAUUAACAGAAAUAAAAUAUUUGGGCAUACGCCACAUAUGUGGCCAAUAAUAUUUCAUAUCACAUAUAUUGAUAACAUAAGUUAUAUUUACCCUUUAAAGAGCUAUCUUGAGAACUCUCAUUGUUCUCUCUUUUAUUACUAUGCCCACUUUUAGUGGUCCAUUAAUAUAUAUUUUAUUUUCUUUAUGUUUACAUUCACUUCGGGGAAUGCAACAAAUCUAGUAGGACAGACUUAUAAACAUCUGAAUAGAUUAUUUAUUUCAUAAUUACCAUCACAAACAUGUGUGAGAUUUCAAAUCAAAAUCUAUCUAUGCAUGUUGUCAUGGUUAGUCUCCAAUUAUAAUAAACAAUAAAUAAAACAUAGUAAAAUAUAUCUGAAAAUCUUUAACAUCAUCGUCAUCACUAGAAGGUAUGAGAUAAUUCGAAAAUAUUCUUGAUUUCAUAUGGAUAACGAUAUCAAAUCUUUCACCAUCCUUAAGAACAAAAAGUAAAAUAAGUUAAUCAGAACAAUGAUAACAUAUGAUGAAAGAAGAAUGAAAAAUAAUAAUCAGAUAUGAAACAUUAAAUAAAAGAAAUUUCCUGUAAAAACUUUACAUCUUUUUUUUUUACUGAUAAGUUGAAAAUGAGUUUGGAUUUGAAAAAAAAAUGGAAUCGAGAUGCAAUCAACCCCCCUAUGGACAGAUCUACUCUCUACUAUGUUCAAAUUUAAAAUUUAAUUUUUUCACUUUAAUUUGACAUAGUGAUUUUUUAUCCUGUAAAAUCAUUAGAUAGUAACAUUAGUUAAAAUAUUUACAUGGAAUUUUUUAUAAUUAGAGUUGGUGUUUUUAGAAAAAAAAAUUCAGGUGCUUUAACCAUAAUAGUUAGUGAUAAUUAUUUAGAUUAAGUAAUUAUAGUAUAUAUAUCAAAUUAAAGUAAAGAUAUUAAAAUUUAAAUCAUAUAUAUUAUCUUACAAGAUCUUAAGUUAACCGUUAACGUAGACGACUUAUUUUAAUGACAGGUGACAAUUUUUUUUAAUUUAUGAAUAUCAACUUAAUUAAAUUAUAAUUUUAAAAAAUUUAAUAAAAUAACAUAAUAAAAAGAAAAGAAAAAUGAUAAUUUUAUACGUAAUGAUUUAUGUUAUUAAGUUAAGUUUUAAAGUUUUAUUAUAUUAUGAUAUUAUAUGAUAUUCAUUGAGUACUAUAUUACGUCAUUUUAAAAAAUCUAUUAUAUUAAACAUAUUACCAAUUAAGCAUAAGUUUAUACAAUAUUUAUAAAUAAAAUAAGAUAAAACCAUAAAGUUUUGCGUUUUUUUUAAAGAAUAAAGCUUUAUGUUAUUAAAUUAAAUUUUAAAGUUUUAUUAUAUUACGAUAUUAUACAAUAUUAAUUGAGUACUAUAUUAUGUAUUUUUAAAAAUGUUUAUUGUAUUACAAUAUUAAUAAUUAAGCAUAAAAUUAUACUACAUCUAAACAAUUGUUGUGUCAUCUACAAUAACAUAUUUUAAUAAGAUAAAUCAUAAAUUUAAAUAUAAAUAUAUUGUGGUGUGUAAUUCAGACAUGCAGUGAAAUGGUGAUACCCAUGGGCAUCGGGAAAAGGACGAUGUUCCAACCUGAGUCAUUCAACCUAAACGACUUUAUACAAGAAUGCAAGUCACUCUAUGGCGUUCCUCCUCGCCCUCAUUGGGUCACUUCUUACUACGGUGGCCAUGUACUUUCAAUCUUUUCUUCACUAUAUUUAUUUUUCUUACACUUAUUUUACUAUACAUAAAUCUUUAAUUUUUACUCUUAUUAUUUGUAAAUGCAAAAUUUUGCAGGAUAUAAAACUUAUUCUCCACAGAUUUGGUAGCAACAUCAUUUUUUCAAAUGGAUUGCGAGAUCCCUACAGUCGGGGAGGGUAAUUGUUACGAAAAAUACUUCAAUAAAAAUGUUAUAUUUAUACUCACGUUUUCAAUAUUUUUUAAAUAAUAUUUUAAAUUUGAAUGUUGUGAAUAAAUAAAACAAAAUUGAGAAAGUUUUAUUUUUUUAAAGGUUCAACUUAAUUUUACUCCCCAUAUGAAAAGUCAAGAUUAAAAAAGUGCGGACAAAAAGAAAAAGUCAAAUUUAUAUCUAAUAUUAUUAUAUUUUAAUUUAAUGUAGGGUUUUGGAAAACAUUUCGGAGAGUGUUCUUGCCGUACAUACUAUAAAUGGUAAGCAUAACUAUAUAGGAAAAUGAUUAUAUGAAACAGUGACGCCACAUCAUCUGUAUUAUUUUUCAAUAGUUUUAUGCCACAUCAGUAUUCUUAUCCUGAAUUUCAGGAUUUUAUCCUAAAAAAAUUAAAUCCAAAUUAAAAUAGUAAAAUUUAAGAUAAAAUCUUAAAAUUCAGGAUAAGAAUACCGAUGUGACAUAAAACUAUUGGAAAGGGAUACAGAUGACGUGGUGUCACUGUUUCAUACAAUCCUUUCUCAACUAUAUAUAUCUCCAUAAAAAAAAAAGAAUGAAAAUGAUAAUAAUAUGUAUAAAAUGCAUGAUCUCAUUGCUUGGAUAUACUUCCAGAAAUGAAAAGCGAUCCAGAAUGGUUGGUGAAGCAACGAGAAACAGAGGUGAAGAUUAUAAAAGGAUGGAUGGCUCAGUACUAUGCUGAUCUCAAAGCCAUUCAAAUUAAACCAUAGGAAUUAAUUAAUUAGUUUCCCAGAUGGAAAUUAAAUCAAUUUGGUUCUCUUCAUUAAUUAAUUACCCAGACUUGCUCUUCUCUUAUCAAUGUUUAAAAAUACACAUUUGUAUCCUUUCUCCAUGUUGCGUUUAAUUCACUUAUUCAUAUUUCACUAUAGGUUCAAAUCACAAAUGAUAUAUGUACCUUGUCUAAAUCACACUACAAUUAGCAAUAAUGUGAAAUUGAAGAUGUGUUGAUUGAGAUUUCCUAGAAUUUGUUUGGGUGAAGACGGGUUGGGUUUUGUACCUCAUCCCUUUCUAAGUCUGUACUGGUUAAUGGAUCUUCGACGAAAAGCCUUCAAUAGGGGUAUUAUAGUUAGCAAUUUGGGACAAUAUGCAGACGAUUGGAUUGUUUUUUAGGAGGCGGAUGAGGCACAGAUCAGAGCAUUAAUUACUGUCGAUUCAUCUUUGAGUUGUGGUGAAAUCUGGUAAUCAGAAAAUGUGAACAGAAAGGCUUGAAUAUGAAAAAACAAAGAAUCAGACACAUCAUUACUUUAGCCUCUAAUAGUACGUAGGGGUGAGUCCGUACUUUCUCUCAAUUUUAUAAUGGACUUUAGACUUGGGUUUAGAAACAGGUUAGACAUGUUCUAUAAAGUAAUGGUAUAUAGGGGUUAGUUGAAUUCAAUUUUAUUUUUUUUGGUUUUUUAAAUUGUUUGUGAUAAUUUGAUUUUUUAUUUUUUAUAUUUAUAAAAAAAUUAUAAAAGUUCUAGUUAAACACGAAAAAAUAAAAUGAUAAUAUUUUAAUAGAAAAUACAUGUAAUCCUAAUAAGAUUAUUAGGUGGGCAAUGCAAACCCUUUUGUGGAAACCCAUAUAUUAUGUUUUUUUUAUAUAAAAAUAACUUUAAAAUUUUAAUUAAUUAUUUAAAUAAUUUAUUUUUAUAAAAUACGAAAAUAACUCAAAAUUUAUAGUAAAAGUUGGUGGAACCAGCCAGAGUGUUUGGCGCCACUAACAUGCUACGUCAGCAAUCUAUAUUAAAAAAUAUUUUUUUGUGGAGCCUUGUAGUAUGACGCCACUUAUAUAAAUACUAAGAAAAUACUGUAACUUUUAAAAGUAUAAAAGGAAUUUUAGCAAUUUUACCUUUCUCUAGUGGAGCCAAAUAUAUUGGGUCCACUAGAUUUCAAAAUAUUUCCUAACAUCCUAUCUGCUAUUUCCCUAUUCAAAGUUUCAAAAUGUUUUGAGUCAAAUUUUUUAUAUUUUUUCCUGUCGAAUUCUUUGUUUUGGUUUUUUACUUUUUUUUUCUUUCUUUUUAUUUAUUUACUUUUUUUUAAGUUUUUUUAUUUGUCCUUAUUUUAUUUUAUUUUAUUUAUUUGUUUAUUAUUGAUUUUAAAAAACUUGAAAUGUAUAUUUGAAAUGUUUUAUAAUAUUUUUUUAAAAUUUUAAAUAUAUUUUUUAAAAUUAUUUUUUAAAAUUUUAAAUAUUUUUUAAUAAUAUAAAAUAUUUAAAUAUUUUAAAGAUAUGACCUUUCAAAUUUAUUAUUAGUUUUAUAAUAUUUUAAAUUUUAAAUAUAUUUAAUUUGUUUUAAAAUAUUUUUAAUAUUUUUAAUUUGUUUUAUAAUAUUUUUAAUUUGUUUAAAAUAUAUUAUUUUUAAAGAUAUGACCUUUCAAAUUUAUUAUUUGUUUUAUAAUAUUUUAGAUGUAUAUUUUAAAUAUUUUUAAAAUUUUAAAUAUAAUUUUUUAAAAAAAAUUAUUAAUUUUAAAAUUUAAUAUUUUAUUUGGUGGAACCAUUCUAAAUGACUCCAUCACUUUAUAGUGUACUUUUUAUAUUUUUUUAAUAUAAAAAAUUUAAUAUUUAAUAUUUUGUUUUGGUGGAGUCAUUCUUUAUGGCUCCACCUCUUAGUUCUCUAGCAUAUAUAAAAUGGUGAAAUUGUUGUGUUCAGUAGGAGAGUUCAAAAAAUCUAUUGAAGAUGAAUAAUGAGGUGUUUUUGGUGUAUGUUCUUUUUUAUGAUGAAAUUGUAAAAGGUGAUGUUGGUUCUGUAUUUCAAGGUCAGCAAAGAGUAGGUUUGUGAUUCAAAAAAAAUGUGAAGUUAGCAGAAAUGAAAAGGAAAAUCAGUGCGAAAAUAGCUAUCCAUUGUGGAAGGGUGUUGUCCAAAUUAUUUUACAAGUUUCCAAUCUCUACAGAUCCAUUCAAAUUUUGUGAGAUGCAGCUGUUAGAUGAUGAUGACUUAGGCACUAUAAUGGAAAUAUGGUGGUCGACUAGGAGUGAGAACCCCCAACCAAUUGAAUUAUUUGCUGAGUUAACAGACUUAGAGCCUGUUGAGAAUGUUAGUCCAAUAAGUAAACAUCGCGAAUUUGACUUUAAUCUUAAUGUUGGAUGGACAGACCAAUUAGAAUGUGAAGGGACGUCGCAGAUACCCAAAAAUCCUAAUUAUGGUGGGAGUUCGUAUAACAACCCUACGCCCGGUCUCCGUCUACAAAUACAUUCGGAGGUGAUAAUAAGCACAGAGGCAAAUGUUAGAGAAAUGACCAAUAAUGGUGAAGAUUCUAAUCAAGACGUUGAAGAUUUUAGUGACCUCGAUGUUGAUGAGGUUCCUGACGAUAUCGAUGAUGAAGGCCCGAAAGAGGUUGAAUAUGUUCACGGCCCUUCAUUUAGUAACCCGAGUCGUGGCAUUAUUUUACAAAAUGAACCUGGGGGCGACAUGUUGAACAUAGAUCCAGAUAUAGCGCGUGCAUCUGAGUUCCUUGAGUACGUUGAUAUAGUACCUGCUCAUAGAUUGGCAUCAAAUUCAUAGUUCAAGGAGUUGUUCGCUAGGCAACAGUUCAAGAAUAAGGCGGACUGUGUGUUUGCCAUCAAAUAAUAUAACAUGAAGUUGUCGAUUGAUUGUAAGGUUGCCAAAUCUACACCGACAUUAUAUGUUAGGGAAUGUUAGAGAGCUGGUGAUGGGUGUGGUUGGCAAGUUCGAGCUGCAUUUAUACAGAGGACUCAACAGUGGCAAAUAAGAAAAUUAAAAAGGCGUCAUACAUGUACUAUCGCACAUAUGUCUCAAGAACACCAGAAAUUAGAUGCAAAAAUUAUUUGUAACUGCAUCAUGCCACUAGUGAAAGAUAGCCCAAUCAUUCAUGUGUCGACAUUGAUCACAGACAUGCAAGCUCAAUUUCAGUAUAAAGUGUUAUAAAGGAAAGCGUGGUGGACAAAACAAAUGGCCAUGCAACAAUUGUACGGCAACUGGGAUGAGUCAUACAAUGAACUUUAAGAUUGGAUUUCAGCGAUGGUGGAGUACAUCUCAGGAAUUGUCGUGGACUUGCAAACGUUGCCUUAUAGAGGCCCUAAUGGACAAUUGGAACUGGGGAGAAGAGCUUUUCGUUGACUGUUCUGGGCUUUUGAUCUAUGUGUUAGGGUCUUUUCCCACUGCAAACCGCUAGUGCAAGUUGAUAGAACAUGGCUUUAUGGAAAAUACACGCAGAUACUUCUUAUUGCGGUUGCACGAGACAGUAACAAAAAUGUACUACCAAUCGCUUUUGUCAUCGUGUCGGAAAACUCCGAAUCGUGGGCAUAUUUCAUCUAGAACUUGCGGAGACAUGUUGUCAAGCAAGACAACAUUUGCAUUAUCUCUGACAAAUCGAAGGGUCUUGUUGCUACAAUUCAACAAUCCGAGGUUCCGUGGAGGUUCAUCUAUUGUAUUCGUCACAUCACUGUCAACUUCCACAAUGAGUAUAAGAACAAAGACUGACGCAAACGAAUUGUGAACAUGGGUAAAAAUAUUGUAUUUAAAUUCAUAUUUGUAAAUAUUCUGAGUCCAUUUCCUAAUUCGGAUGGUAAUGAAUUUUAUCAAAAUACAUACGUAGGAUAUGAGCUGGAAGCACCCCAAUUCAGACAUAAGUUGGCGAGGUUAGAGACUGAUAUGGUGAGGUCCAAACCUUCUUUCAGACAGUGGUUGGGUAGCAUGGAGCUGUAGCAAUGGGCUCAAUAUUUUGACGAAAGGUAUCAAUAUGAUCAUAUGACAACUAACCUCGUUGAGGCUAUUAACUCCGUCUAAAGACGUAUGCGUCACUUCCUAAUUUCAGCGGUUUUUUUAGCCACAUUUUACAGGCUAGUAACCUUAAUGCCAAAAAUGGGGUUGAAACAAGCAAAACAGUUAGAGGCAGGACACGUGCACGUUGAAAAAAUCAGGGAUGCCAUGAAAGAGAAUGCUCAAAGGGCUAGGUCGAUGAAUGCAGAACUACAUUCCCAAUAUUUGGAAACUUUUCAAGUGACAGAGUAUAUCAGUCUCAGCCGAGGAUCCCGCCACGGUCCUGCGGAGUUGAUCUCCAAAACAGGCAGUGUGAGUGCGGGAUGUUUCAAACACUACGGUACUCGUGUGCGCAUGUGAUUGCAGCGUGUGCUACCUACAGUUUGAAUGUCGAACAAUAUAUUGACGAUGUGUACACAUUUGAACAUACGUUGCGUAUUUGGGGUAACGAGUUCCCCAUAUUAAGGGAUGUAUCGAUAUGAGAAGUGCAACUGCAUGCAUUCAAGAUGUUGCUAGAUCGGUCACUUCGUAGGAGAGUCAAAGGUAGACCGACAACAAUGAGGAUUUGGAAUGACAUAGAUAUAAGAGAACAAGUCAAUCCAAAGCGUUGCACCAUAUGUAGAACGGUUGGCCACAAUCGGAGCAAAUGUCCUCAUGGAAACGUCUACACUAGUCAAUCUUCACAGUCUGAAAGAAAUUAAAUGUUGUACCUGAUGUUUGCAUUUUAUGAUCUUUUAGAAAUAAAGUUUGUAUUAUUUAGUGUUAAGCUUUUAUUUGAAAUUAACAGUUGCAACUUUUAAUACUUUAAAAGAUAUUAUAAAUUAUACAAAAAAAAGACUAAUAUAUAAGUUGUGGAACCCUAAACCAAUAAAACAAAUAUUAUAUAACACUUGAAAUUUACAUAACUCAAAAUUGGAAAAAACCGGGAGUGGUAUCGUCGUUCUAGGUAUAGCAGUUUAAGGGCCUUCGUUGACAGGGUGGACGUUGAGGUGUACUGUACACAUUAGGAGGAUCGACAACUGAAUCGAACGUGGCCAGAGAUGGGGUGGAGUACAUGUUAUUACCAAACAUAUCAAAUGAUAUCGGUGGUUACUCUAGGUGAAAUUAACUCAAACUACCUAUGUCCGGAUAAUAUGAACUCAAACCACCCAUAUCUGGGUUAUAUGAACUCGAACCGCCAAUAUUCAAAUGAUAUGAACUGCUCUAUGACUCAUCACAAAAAGUAUCAACCUAUUGGUCCUAUAUGUUCAAAAUUCGGUCCUCCGAGUCGGGCUCCACCAUAUGUUGAUCCUCUAGCUCCCUCAUAGAUUGAUUUUCACGUCUGUAGCUAUGACCCGGUACUAUCAUAAGUUGUCCACCAUAUGAAUAAACGUACCAUCGAGUCAUGUACCACUACAUGUAUUCAGCCGAGGGACUGAAGUCAAACAUACAGGAGUGCAUCUUAAGCCGCCUGUCGUGCCGAGCAUUCCAUAGUGCUACAUAACAUUGAUGUUCCACGCUUUAAUCUGUUGUAUGUUUCCUCCUCAUAGUGUUACCAUGGAUAUCAGCAAAUUCUUGUGGCUCAACUGGUAAAAAUUGUCUAAACCCAAAUUUUUGCAUAACUCGAUCAUCGUUGUACCACUCAAUAGUUGAGAAGUUGAGCACCAACGUGUUAAUACACCACAUAUGGACUUCAGCGUGGACCCACUAAGGAAUAAGGGUUGCAAUGUUUAGUACAGAAUACGGCAUCCACAAGAACUGCACAAUAUAACAUAAUAAGUCAAGUCACAUCACAUACUGAAAGUGGAUAAGUUAAAUCAAUAUUACUUAAAACCAUAUAAAUAUAUAUUACUUUCUGUCCAGCGUAUGCCUCUAUCAUUUAGAGGUAAAUGAUUAAUGUUUGGCUCGCACCAAUUUUCGGAGACAUGGCCCAUCUGAAACCGAAACAAACACGUUAGCAGUUAAACUUUGGAAAAUAUUAUCCACACUUAUGAGUCAUUAAAUGUUAAGUAUAAUUUUGUUUUUACCUAUUUAUAAGUGGCCAUGAAUAUGGUUGGUGCCUAACAGCCGCUAGAAACGCCAUCCUGUAUAAAGCCCAAGACUGCAGUAGACCCAGACAACCAGCUAUGUUACUAACCCCAUGUUUUGUUGCUCGGUAAAGCUCAUAGUACAAUAAGGCCAACACUGCCGAUCCCCAGCUGUAACUAUCGGCACGAGAAAAAUCCUUCAAUAGAGGCAAGUACUUUAAGUGGACCCUAUUAGACGUAUUGUUCGGCAUAAGUACCCCCGAUCACCUGCAUAAUAUAGGCUCGAGCAGCACACAUCAUCUCGUACUCAGUGGCAUUGCUCAAUAACUCCUUAAAAUUUGCUCUCAACUAUGCCAAUGUCAAGCAUGUGAAAUUUUGCUCCCCAUCACUAGGGAACCGUCCAAGCAAUCUGUGGCAUAGUACUGAAGGUUCCAACACUUUGCUUCGACCCGUGACCACAUCACCUUCAACUCGUAACCCAAGUUGCAUAGCGACGUCUUUCAAUGUGAUUGUGCACUCCCCAUACGACAUAAUGAAGGUAUGGGUCUCCGUACACCACCGCUCAACCAAGACGAAUAUUAAGUUCACCCUCAGGUUAAACCUCCGGAUCAAUGCGACAUCCCCAAAUCAUGCCAACUAUAAGUAUGGCAUGACCCGCUCGUCCGGAUCAUACUUGGGAAAAUGAAACUGCAACUUCAAAACCAGAUACCCAUCCUGUAUGGUAAAUUUUUUAUAAAAAUAUGAUAAAUCAAUUAUCUAUAUAAUCUAAACAUAAAAUUAUAUAUUGAAGAGUAAAAUUGAAAGUUUGAGAAAACAAAAACAUCACAAUUAUACUAUCCCAACGUAGCCAUUCUAAGUAUUUUUUUUUAUUUAAGUUAAAUUAAAUAAGUAAUAAUAUAUUAAUAAUAGAAUGAAGAUUUGUCAUAAAAUAUUAAUAAUAACACUUAGAAAUCAAAUGUGAUUAUUAUAUCCUAAUCAUAGUUAAGCAUCAAAACUAAAUGCAACUAUAUAACUACAAAAAGUACAUAAAAAUAAUAAUAAUAAUAAAGUCCUAAAAAACUAUAGGUGGUAUGGGUAAAUAUAAAAAUAAAUUUUUUUUAUUGAAUUGAUAUCUAUAAUAAUAUAUAGAGUUUUAUAUAUAAUAUAAACUAGACAUAUUCAAACUCGAAAAUUUAUCUUACAUACGAGAACUUUUAUAAAAAAAAGUUCACUCGUUAAAGACAAAUAUAACUUUUUUGUACCCCACAAAUGAAACCAAACACAGUAAACAGUAAAAUCAAGCAGAAAGGUCGUCAUAUUAAAAAAUUAAUAUAUAAAUUUAUGAAUGUUUACUAAAAUUAAAAAAUUAUAACUAACAAGUAAAGAUUAAUUUCAUGCAAGAAAAUAGUUAAAAAGGAAUAAUAACAACUAAAUAGAGAUCAGUUUCAUGCAAUCAAAACACGUUGAGCAGAGUAGUGAUUAGCAAGAAAAGACGAGAAACUAAAACGAUUUUUUAUUUAAUUUAUAAUUAAUUUUACUGUUUCGUUGAUCCUAGAUGAAGUGUGAUCCAUAUUUGCUCCAUAAGACAUUUUAAUAUUUGCGGUGAUCCAUAUUUGCUCCAAAAGACAUUUUAAUAUUUGCAUAAUUUGAGAAAAACAUAAAUACAAUAUAAUUAAUUAUUAUAUUACAAUUACUAUAAAAUAUGUAAAUACAAAAUAAAAAUUUUAAAGAACUUACCUUUUUUUUCUUUUUUCUUCCUUCCUUCCAAGGGGGUACCAAACCCCACCUUAUAUAACAUUCAUUCUUUUGUUUUUUUAAUUAAUAUUUAGGUUUAUAACUAGUCACAUUGUUGAUAUCACUGAUGCGAUGUGGCCGAUUAUAAUUUUUUAAAAUUUUUAAUUUAAAUUUUUACUUUUUAAUAUAUAUUUUUUAAAUAAAUAUUUUUAAAAUAAAGUCAUAUUUUUUUAAUAAAUAAAUCCUUUUUUAACAAUUUUUUUAUUUUUUUCUAAUUAAUUCAAAUUUUACUUUUUUAAAUAAAAUAUUAUUUUUUAAAUUUUAAAUAGAAUUUAAAAAAGGUUUGAAUAUCUUUAAAAAUAAUUAAAAAUCAUAAUUUAAAAAAUUAUAUGUAAAAUUAAAAAAUAUUUAAAAUUUAAAAUAUACGUUUAAAAUAUUAUAAAACUAAUAAUAAAUUUGAAAGGUCAUAUCUUUAAAAUAUUUAAAUGUUUUAUAUUAUUAAAAAAUAUAUUUAAAAUUAAAAAAUAUUUUCAAAAAUAUAUAUUUAAAAUUUUAAAAUAUAUUAUAAAUCAUUUCAAAUAUACAUUUCAAGUUUUUUAAAAUCAAUAAUAAACAAAUAAAUAAAAUAAAUAAAUAAAGACAAUAAAGACAAUAAAAAACUUAAAAAAGUAAAUAAAUAAAUAAAUAAAUAAAUAAAUAAGAAAGAAAAAAAAAGUAAUAAAACAAAACAAAGAAUCUGACAAAAAAAAAAAACAAAAUUUACCUCAAAACUGUUUGAAACUUUGAAUAGGGAAAUAGCCAAUAGGGUGUCAGGAAAUUUUUUGAAAUCUGGUGGCGCCAAUAUAUUUGGCUCCACCAGAAAAAGGUAAAUUUGUUAAGGUUCCCCUUAUACUUUUAAAAAUCAUAGUAGUUUCUUAGUAUUUAUACAAGUGACGCCAUUCUACAUAGUUUCACUAAAAAAUUAAUUUUUUAAUAUAAAUUGCUGACGUGACAUAUUGGUGGCGCCAAACACUUUGGCUCCACCAACUUUUACUGUUGAUUUUGGAUUAUUUUCGUAUUUUAUAAAAAAAGGUUAUUUAAGUAAUUAAUUAAUUUUUUAAGGUUAUUUUUAUAAAAAAGCUCAUAUAUUGGGUACAAUUAUAUGUGUUAUUUGAACCUUUAACCAACUCAUAUAAUUUAUUCACUAUCAAUAAUAAAAUUUCUAUUCCCAAAAUAUUAUUUAUUUAUAAUAAAGUUAAUUAAUUUACUCAAUUAAAUUAUUUUCUCAACCCGAUUCUAAUUUUGUUAAAGUCAUAACAAUUUUAUCGUACUAGAAUCUAUGAGUAAAUAAAUUUAAUUGUCUUAUUCAAUCGAACGGCGAUGGCUAAUUAGUUUAAUUUCUACUUUGAAUUUCAAUUAUUUAUUUACAACCAAUUAAACUAUAAUUCGAAGAAAAUAAUUUAAUCUCUAAGUUAUCUCUUGUUCAUAACGAGAGAAUGCAUUUGUUGUGGAUAAUGAUACAUGCGAUCUGUUUUUCUAAUUUGUUGUUUUCAUUUAUUCAUUGUAUCGAUUUCAAAUGCAAACCAUAAAAGUUGUACCGAGCUAGCCGAGGGUCCUAUUAAAUAUAUAUAUAAUUAGGGCUAAAAUAAUUUAUAAUUAAGUUUCGAAUCGUCAUAUAUUAAUUACAAUAUUAUUUAGUCAAGGAGUCAAUCUACGUUCAAAAUCCUUGGUUUUUGGAUUUUCAAAUAUUUUCUCUUUUUUUUUUAUCUUUCCAUUUUUGCUACAUUUAGUUGAAGUAUUAUUUUUUUCAACAUGUUUUGGUGUAUGAGUUAGCAAUAAAGUAACUUUGCUCUGUAAUUUUUAGCCACUCUCGGGAAGGGAAUUCUUUUACUUAUUUUGAAGUGAUUUUUUUUUACAAGAGUUUUAUUCACCCUUCUAAUUUCAAGUAUAAACUUAUACUAAUUAUUCUUUUAUCUUUUAACUAACUAUUUUAAUACUUAUGUGAUAAUUAGGUGAUUUGUUAAGUUAAAUACACUAGAUAACCAAAUGAGGCAUUAAAGUGUAAAUGAGAAUAGGAAAUGGAAAAUGUUUUCUAUAACUAAGGAUUGUUCAAUAGGUAUAUCAUACUUGCAUAUCAAAUAGAAGUAUGAUAAUUGUUUUAGGGUUUGCUAAACUUUUGGUUGCUCGUGCUUUAGGAUAUGGUAUUUCGCAAGUCUAUCUUAAAUGAAUUUGUGGUGAAGAUAAAUCUAGAAACGCCAACAUACAAUAAAAUACUAUUCUUUCAGGAGGAGUGCUUCCCCUUUUCGUGUCUACUUUAGUUUUCAAUGGUGCGACUUAUAGAAGGGAAACUAGUAGAAAUAAGGAGGCUGAACAAUUAGCUGCACGUGUUAUCAUACAAUCACUUCUUGGUAUCUUUCUUGUCCUAUUUAAAAAUUUUCAAACAUAUAUAUGUGCGUGCACACGUGUAAACAUACCCUGAUUUUAAGCCACUUAUUAGCUUGAUAAGUUCUCAUCUCAUUGUUGGAUCAUUCAUAUAGCUGAUGAUAGGUAUGAGACUAUUGUUUCAGAGAUCAUAAAAUCCAAAGCUAAACUUUAUGAUGCCUUGAACUAGUUUUCACAAUACACCUGUUGGGACAAACAGACUGAAUCAUAGUAAAACAAACGUUGCCGUCACUAACCAUGUUCCAAAUACUACACACCUAAGCUGUGGAGCAAAACAUCCACGCCUUGAGUUCGAGACUCCAGAAUCAGGAGAAGGUACUGAUUGUAGGUCAUGAGUUCAUGACUGCAGGCACAAUUGGAAGAUCAAUGCAAUCAGUACCUUCUCCUAAUUUUAGAGUCAGUUUAAGAUAACAAUUUAAAAACAAGAAUGAGUUUAAAAUUUCAUGUCAAGCAGCUAUAGUAUUGAUUCCAUAAGAAUUAAAUCUGAAACCGAUUCAAAAUCUUAAACAUAAUUAGAGUUUUUUUUUUAUGGAAAUUUAUGAGCUAGUUAAUAACAUUGGACAUGACUAAAAUUACAAAUUAGAAAAAUUUAUACAUUUUAUUUAUUAUGAAUUAUUGACAUAUGAGACUAUUUAUGAUAGGAAAUAUUAAUUUGUUUUCCUAUAAAUAAUUCAAGUAAAAAAGAAAGAAAGAAGUCUUGCCCUUUCAAUUCUAUAUAGCAGAGCAGUGGCAUUUACUCCUUUAGCUAGCAGCAAUAUUUUAUAUGUUCCACAAAAAAUAUAUAUACUUUUUAUAUGAUGCUGUACCUAUAAUUAUAUGAAUAGCAUUGAGUGCAAAAUGCUUCAUUGUAUUCAAUAUAGGUGAAGAGUUUACAUAAAAUAGAAGGAUUUUUAUUAUUUUUACAUAAUAUAGCAGCAAUAUUAUUUUUGGGAAAAAAAUUGAAAAACUAAAAACCGAUUCAAAUUAAGGUGUAUGUACAAUUUAUGAAAUGCAAGUUUAGAAGUUAUGGUUAUCCGAAAUUGAAUAGAAUUUUAUUUUUUAUUUAAUAUAUAAUUAAUUCUAAUUGUUUAUGAUAUAAAAAUAAAUAUUUUAUAUUUACAAUAGUGAAAAUAAUUCAAAAGUUCUUAAAAAUUUAUUUUUUUAAAUAUUUAUGAAAAAAAAUAUUUGAAAUUGGGUCAAAUAAAAUUCAAAACUCAUAAAACAAAUUUUAUUUUAGCAAAAUUAAUCUAAAAAUUUAAAAAUUAACAUACAAAAACUGAAAACUAAACUGAACGACGUGUAGGGAACGGCAAGGGGCUAUACUAAAUGUUGGGUUGGCCUGUUGGGAUGUUAGAUUGCGUGCAGAAUAUAGUUAUUUUGUUGUUUCUUGUCAUUUUUGCGUUGCAGUGAAGACCCUCUCAGAGUCUCCCCUAACGUCCUUUCUCUUAUCUCUAGGGAUUUGGGUAUAUUUCUUAGGACCCGGCACUGCACAGUCUAAGAUUUACUCUGUCAAAAUUCAUGAUCCCAACAUAUAUAUAUAGGAAUUUUAGCUUCUUGUAUCAGUGCACCAUGCAUGCAUAUAUAUAGAACCAAGUUAAUUGCUUUAAUACAUAUAAAUAAUUUAGAUUUAAAUCUAUGUAAAGUUAUAAGUUAAUAUAAAUUCUCAAAAUAUUAUAAUUUAAUUUUCGCUUAUAUCAUAAAUAUCUAAAAAUCAAUUUUUUUAUGUCAAAGGAAUUCACUUAUUUUCUUUUUUUUUUCUUCUCCUGUAAAUGAUAAUUACAACUUGGAGCAGAGCAACAUAAUAGCAUCAAUAAUCUACCUGCUUCUGUUUAAUAAUUGCUUUACGUGUAGUCUCUCAGCUUCUGAACUACUAAUUCUGAAGAUAAGAUAAGCCAAUCCCUCUGUUUCCUUGUCGUUUUUACCCUUUUUUUAUUAUUUUUCAUUGUUAUUGAAAUGUCAAUAAAUCCCAUCAAUUCUUUCUUUCUUUCUUUCUUGUUUUGGGUCUAUGAAGUUGAUGCAGCUGGGGAUUGCGUGAUUGCCGCAGCCAUGUUUAAAGCUACACAGGGUUGCUCAACAGGCACCUGCACUCAAUAAUUCAUUAAAUUUUAAUUAUUAGUCUUAAUAAUAAUAUUAACAUACUUAAAUUCACCUCCAUAAUGCAUAUAUCUUCUAAUACCUUUUUUCAGCAAUACAUGACUAAUUUUUAUUUUAUUUUUGGAUAUAUAUACAUAUAUAAAUUGUCAGAUAAGACAUAUCGAUUGACUGACAGUGUCCAGUGCUUUGUCUUUCCUUCACCAUAAAUUUUUCAUUGACAAAUUUCAUUUUAUUAUAUACAUAUAUUGACAUUCUGCAACUAUUUUUUUUUCUUUUGAUCAAUUUUUUUUAUAUAUAUGAUGAGUCUAUGACCUUUUUUCUCCCUCUAAUAAUAGCAUGCAUUAUGAUCAUAUAUAUAUGAAGGUGACGGAUGGAGACAUGACAAUCAUAGUAUUUCUUGAGAUUGAAAAGAUGGGGUUUGAUAAAUAAUGAUUUAGAAGACUUACAAAGUGUCCAGCCCCAAGAAUCCAGAAAAAUUGCAGGUUUUUGUAUGAUUUGAUGAACCCUUUGGUGGCUUGAUCCUCUUUACAGUAAAGAGGAUUUCGAUCCUUGCUUAAAAACUCUUUCAAUCCUUCCCACCUAAAGACAUUAAUACAUAAAUAUAUAUAUAUGAACUAUAUAACUCCAAGAGUCCAUAUGUUUAUAUAAUCCUCAUUUCUUCCCAAUGUCAAAUAUUGCAUAUAUUCAAAUAUUAAAAAGGCUUAAGUUUUUUUUAAUGCAUGUGCUCCAACAUAUAAGUACUGAGUGUAGAUGUCUAAAUUACUUAAUCUUAAACAUUUAUAAAUGCAUAACCUUAGAAUUUGCUAAUAGAAGUAAUUAAAGAAAGAAACAGACAAAAUGCAUUAAAGGUAGGUGUGUUUUUGGAGGGCCAAUAAGGCAUAGAUAGAAAGGGAAAAUAAGAGUCAUACUUGAGCUUAUCAAGCCAAGCUUCAGUUCCCUUUGUUGCACAUAUCACAUCAAGCUGCAAUAACCCAUCCAUCCAACAAUACCAUCGUUAAUUAAUGGUAAAAAUUCAAACCACAAAAAGAAACCCUAAAAAACAGGUAAAAGCUGCCCUAAAUUCAGCUACUUCAUGGAAUUAUUUUGGGUAGCAUUUGACUCAAAUAGCAGUAAAAGUAGCAUAUACUUGUUUAUUAUAAGUUAGUUUUGACUUAAAGGAAAAAAGAUAUUUAGGGUGUAAAAAGUUGUUUAUGGUAGCUGAGAAAGUUUGGAACAGUAUUACCUGCCCACUGUAUAUAGUGACAUUUACUCCUUUUGAAAGGAGUUCAUCAACCUGAAGGGGAAAAAUCAACAAAAUAUAGAAAUUAGAGACACUUAACAUCCCUCUUGAAGUCAAACGAGAAACACAAGCAAAAGGUCAAGAUUAAUUUAGGUUAAGCAAUUUUAACUACUGGUUGUUAAAAAACUUUUUAACUUUUUACCUCAGCAAUUCUUGGCCUCAUAAAAUCACCUGACAAAUAUGAGAAAACAAAGUCUGACUGCCCUCCCCAUCUGUUAAAACACAUGAAUAUUGGUGCUUUUGGAUCAAAAUGUUAAAAGAGUACAUUUGCAGAAAUUAUAUUUCAAAAAACAGAGGAAUUAAAAUCCUUACGUGACAUUAUCAGGGAUAAUCUUAAGCUUCUUCUUGAUGACCCCAUUCAUCAAAGUAUCAAGAUCAGGUCCAUCAUUGCCUGGUGAAACCCUUAAGGAACUCAAAUAUCUUGAGUAUCUAUUGACUGAAAAAACUCCAUUGGAAAAUGCUGAAGUUGUUAAAGCUACAGGUCCCAUCCCUGAAUCCAGAAGGAAAUUGUAGAAAUCCUGCAAAUUUACUCAUAAUUAGGUGGAGAAAAGAAAAAGAAACAAUUUUUGUGGCCAAAUGUGAUAAAAAGAAAUGAAAAAUUAGAAUACCACUGAAUUGCUGUUGGCACCAAUUGUAGAUUCAAGUCGACUCCAUGUGUCAGUUGCAUCAGUAUAUUGACCAUCUUUGAGUUGCUGGCUAAUCUUCUCAGCUAGACUGGUUUUUCCAAAUGGGAUUUUAUCAGAUAACACAAAUACAUUUGCUUUUUGGCAAAAGAAAAGGGGAAAAAAUAAAAAAUCUGUAGACCUGUUUGAUUUUUCCAAGCCAUUGUUAUCUAGCCUUGAAACAUCAUUAAGAAGAGGCCCCCAAGAAAACUGUAAUCAUCCAUAUUUUAAAUAAUACCCAAAUGCAGGCAUUGAAUGCUGCAAAUUGCCCUGGGAAUUUAACAAUUUACAUGAAGAUACUUACUGCAAAAUCCUCUGGUGAGAUCCAGCUAUUCCCCAAGGCAACUCCUACAUUUGUUUUAAGACAAAUUAUUUGGUGGAUUAUUAAUGGCAACAAAGGGGUGUUUGGUGUUUACCUCCAAGUUUGAGCUUCAAUUUACCAGCAUCAAUGGCAUUUAGAAUUGAUAAUCCGGCAGUGACAGCAAAUUUUCCUCCAUAAGACUCUGCCACAAUGUACAAUGGACUCUUUUGGAGGCUUUCAUUUCUAUUAAAUAAUUGCAUCAACAAAGUAGUUAAAUCACUUGCUGCUUCAUUAUCAGUUUUCACCAACAUCUCUGUAUCUUCCACAUAGCUGUACCCUGUUCCAACUGGGUUGUCCUAUAUCGCAUUAAAAUCAUUAAAUUUGCGAUAAAAGAAAAACACACACAUCUUUUUUUCUUUUUUUUCUUUGUGAAUUAUGCAUGACUAACCACAAAUAAAAGAUCAGCUUUUUUCAACCAAGUGGUAUUCCUUGGCUUCAAAUCCGUAUUUAAUGGCCCAAUCUCCUCAAAAUUUCCAAUUCCAACUCCUGAGGCACCCUUUAGAAAAACACAAUUUCAGAUUUCAGAACAUGAAGGGAAAAAAAAGAAGUCAAAACUAUUCUCUGAAUAUUUUAUUCAUAUAGAUUACUUACAGGUCCACCUUGCAACCAAAGAAUGAUUGGCCAUGGCUUUGAAGGCUGUUCAACUCUGUAAGGACUUCUGUAAAGCCACCAAAACAUAUGUGCCUCUAUUUAUAAUAAAAAAAGGAAACAAAACAAUUCAGAUUGAAUUACAUUAAGCCAAAAUGAAUGAGGAUUAUGGAAAUUAUAAAGGUAAUUAUUUUGUUUCUUACUUGGUCUGACUUCAACAUAACCCCAUACUUCUUCUGAUUCACCUAGGGAUUUAACAGCUCUGGAGAUUCCUCCAUGGAACAAACAAGAAAAAGAGAAGAAAACCAAGAGAAGAAGAAAAUGGAAAUUUCCCAUUUUUUCUGUUAAAAUGGAAAGUUUGCAGAUAACCCACUUUACAGUUCUCAGCUUUGAAGCAAAGGAUGUGAGGUAAAUCAGGCUUUAUAUAACCAUCCAAUCUCACAAGGUGAUAGGAUAUGAACUUUUUGUAUCUGUCAUGCAAUAAAAACAAUAUUACUAUGUGAAAACUUCAAAGGCUGCUAUUUCUGUUUAUGGAAUUUAAAAAAAAAAAUUAUUGAUUUGAAAUCUAAAUUCAGUUCCAAUUACAGCCUGCAGUGCAGGGCCAAAAAAGUUUUCUUUAAAAAUAUUAAUUUAAAUUACAUUAUACCAUACUCUUUUAAUUUAAUAUUAGAAAAGAGUGAUUAAUGCAAUAAUGAUGAUUCUUUCAUAGUUUCACAUGAUGAGGAAAUAUUUUUGGAGGACCAAAACUAAUUUUAAUCUUUUUUAUCUUUUACUUAAAGAAGAAGCACAUUAACUUCAAAGGAAUUUAUUUAAGAAGUGAUGGGCCUAUAAAUGGAUGUGUGAUUGAGUGCAGGAAGGUAGCCAGCCAUGUUCUUGUUUGUUUGUUUGUCUUCUGCUGUAAUGAAAUAGACUCUUCGAUAAGUUAUAUUUCGUUUAAAAACUAUAUGGGAGUUCUGCUUUUUUUUUUUAUCUUUUAUUAUCUCAGCCAUUUUUGUAGGGAUUUGGGAUAAGACUCCAAACAAACAAUCAAAGUACUGACCCUUCUUUCUUCUUUCACACAGGUUUCAUUCAAGAAUCAAAGCUCCCAUAAAAACAUUGGAAACUUGAGAUUUUUAUUGGGUCAAAUUUUACAGAGGCUCCAAUACCGGACGAAAUCAGAAAAACUUUGAAAUUAAAUUAUAUAUUUUUAUAAGAGUUAAAAUGUAAUUUUAUAAUUUUAAUAGUUUAUAUAUUUAUAAUUUUUAAAAAAUUAAAUUAAUUAAAAUAUAAUUUUAUAUUUUACUGAAUUAAUUCUUAUAAAAUUUAAAAAGAAAUUUUAGGCGAAACCACAUCGGACGGGCUCCCCCUCCUCUCCCCACGCCACCCUACCACUAUACAAUGAGUUUUUGAUAGAUUCAAUCCUUCUACUAUUACAAUUUGAUUAUUUCUGAUCUGUGUGAAUUUUAGUUACGAUGCCGACUUGCUUACAUUAAUUUCGUCAACUAAUGUUUAAAAUAUAUGGUGAUGGAGCACAUGCGUUUUUUUUUUUUUUUUUUUUUUACAAUUUGAUAAAUAUUUUACAUCUUUCUUUCACAUUCAAAUAAUAUGUUUAGUCUUUUUCUUUAAAAAAAUAUGUUUAAUUAAAAAAAGUUUCAGUGUAUUAUAUAUUUAAAAAAAUAAACCAUAUCAAAUUAUUUAACCAAAUUAAUGGAUAAUAGAUAAAAAUACCAUAAAACCCGUUGUUUUAUAUCUUAGAUUGUAAUUUAGCUCCACCUUCUUUAUUGAGAAAAUAAAUAAAUUAGCCUAUGUGUAUUAGAUAAGUAAGCAAAGCAACUCGUCGCUAAAAUGUGGUAUUUAUAUUCAAUAUAUAAUAAAAAAUUUAGUCCUCAAUAAUUAUACAUUUAUUCAAUUUAAUCCCUAUUGUUUUAUUGGAGUAAAUUAGAAGUUUUUAAAACUAAUAAGGCUAAAGGAUCAAAAAGGCCUUAGUAACAUAUUUUUAAAAAAAAAAAAUCAAUUAAGCCCUUUUAAAGUUUGAAAAAUUAUUAAAAAAUAAUAAAAAUUAUAAACAAAUUUUAUAAAAAAAAAUUAUAAAAAUUUUUAAUUAUAAUUUUUAGUUAAAAAUAACAAUACCAACUCAGUAAAAGAGGAAGGGCCAAAUUGAAUAAAUUUGUAAAAAUUGAGGGCUAAAUUUUUAUUAUACCUUAAAUAUAAACUCCAAAUUUUAACAUAAGAGCUAUUUUGUUCACUCAUCUAACAUACAAGGGCUAAUUUUCUCUUCUUCUUUUUUUUUUUUUGGUAGAGAAGCUAAAAUGCAAUUCAGAAUAUAAUACAAGAGAUUUUAUGGAACUUUUACCAUAGGACUUAAAAUGUAUAUUUCGAAGAGUAGAAAGACGAGAAGUAAUCAAAUUGUAGUAGAAUGACUAAAUACUUAAAAGAAAAAAGAAUAUGUUACAGUGACCUUUUUGAAGAAUUUGACCAUUUUAUUACAAAUUUUUAAUUUAUUGAUGAUAUUUAGAGAAAAAAGGUAGCGUUGCAGUUUGGGAUCCACAUUUGGGUCCCUUCACAGUUCACAUUGCUAAACUUAGCUGUAAACAAUGGAACUUGAGGUGGAUAUUUUGACAAGCUGUUCUCAGAUUUUAUAAUAUCAUACCUAUCAAUCAUCGAGAUAAUAAAACCAAGUAUUAAUUGCUUAAUGUGUGAUCAAUUAUAAUUUAAGUUUUAAAACUUUUAGGAAAUUAAUAUAAGAAAAACCUUAACCAAUAUGUUAUAUGCAUAUAUUUAUGAGCUUUUCAUCGAGAAUUUUGUUUUCUCUUUUACCAUUAUUGGAGGAAAAAGAGGAGAACAAAUGGAGGAGAUGGGCUGGCAUGCUGGACAACAAGAAGUAAAGCUUAAAAGUCGCCCAUGUACUGUAUUGUGGGGAUAUGGACAUUGAAGAUGAUAAGAGUAAUCAUAAAUUCCGAAAACAUCAAUCUUUCAAAUUGAAAUAGAUUUUAACAUGGUAAGAAAUCAACUUGAUUAGGCUCAAUUACAGUAAAAGUAUAAUGGAAGUUCUUAUACCAGAAGUUAGAUUGUAUUUCGUUUUCUCUAUUAAAAAAUGGAUAAAUUAAUUCAUAUACAUUAGAUUAAAAAGUAAAUUGGUCAUUUAUGUUAAAAAUUCUAUUCACUUGUACUGUUAAAAACUGAUGUGGUUAACAAAAUAAUUAAAUAAUGACAUAUGUUGUGCCAUGUGUAUCUCAUAUUGAUGUACAAUGAUAAAUUUUUAACAGCAAAAAAAUAGAUAAUUUUUUUAACAAAAAUGAUCAAUUUACUUUUUGAUCUAAUCUUAUAAAAGUUGAUUUACCUUUUUUUUUAAUAAAUGAAUAAAAUGCAAUUUAACUUCAAACUCCAUAAUAUUUUUACCCUUUAAUUACACUCUUAUUAAUUUUUUCGCAACUAAUAAUAAUAAUAUUUAUCCCACAAAUAAAAAUCUAAAACUUCACAUAAUAAAAUUCGAGUUUGAAUCUGGAAUCAAAAGGAAAAUGAAAUUUUAUAUAUUAUACUUAGUUUCAAAGCCUUGAAUUUAUCAUCAAAGAUUGAAAAGAAAAAAAAACAAUGCUUAAAUUUCCACGAUUAAAGACCCAAGAUUGUCCUUUGCUAAGAAUUUUUCUUUGGAAUUUAUUGCCACUUUUUGCAAUCAGUCAAAACUACAAACACAUCUUUGCUUUAUUUUCUUCUCCGCUUUUGAUUAAAUUUAAAUUUGAGUAAAAUUCGAUUUUAAAAUCAAAGAAAACUCUUUUAACUCUGUUUUCUUCUUUCAUUAUAUUUGAAUUUAAAAUUUUAUUUUAAAAAAAAUUUUAAAAAUAUAAAAAAAAACAAAAGGAGAAGCCAAAAAUCCUUUUUAUUCUUAAUAAAUAAUGCAAAAAACUUAUGUUUCUAAAGAUUUGUAAUGGCUGUAAUGUUAAUAUAAUUUUAUUAGCUAUUUUUUUCCCAAAAACUUAAGUCUUGCACUCUUCUUUUCAUAAUUUUAUUUUUCAUGCAAAAUUAAUAAUUUAAUAACUUAUCCAACUUAUCAAAUUAUUUUUUAAUGAAAAUACUAAUUAAAAUAUUAAUUUUUAACAAUAUUGUUGUGGCAACCAUACCUAUCGCAUGCCAAUGUGGCAUUAAUUGUCUUACAUAUCACAUCAACAAAUAAUUUUAAAAAUAUAAAAUAUUAAAAAACUACAAUUCAAAAUUUACAAAAUUAUAAAUUAUUAAGGAAAAUUAGUACGAAUUAUACGUAAAUUACCAUGUGGGCUACCAUGUUUAGAAAUCACCAUAAUAUCAAAUUUAGCACUUAAUGUUUACAUUUUUUUGUUAAUUUGGUUGAUAUUCUUUUUUUUUUUAUAAUUAAAUUUGAUUCUCACCUUUUUACAAAAGUCAAAGUGAGAGUCAAACUUAAUCAUAAACUUUUCCAAAAGAGUCAAAUUGUUAUUUUUUAAUGGAAAUAUUGAUUGAAACAUUAAGUUUUAAACAUGAUAGUUCACAUGACAAUUUACGUAUAUUUACACCAUUUUUACAAACUUUUUAUUUAUUUUUUUAUUUAUUGAAUAUUUGUAUAAUAUUAAAUUAUUUAAUGACAUGUCAUAUACAUAUAGUGUCUUGUCAAUAUGAAAUAUACAAAAACCGCCACACAUAUUAUCAUGUCAACAUUGUUAAAAAAAUAAUAUUUUAGUCAACAUUUUUGUUUUCUUUUUUUUUAAAGCGAUUUAACUAUUUUUUAAAAAGUUAAUGACCAAAUUUAGCUCAAAAAAUAUAUGGACUAAAUUGACAAAAUAUGUAAACUUUGAGGGCUAAUUUUGGCUUUAUGCCUUAGAAGUUUACCAAUAUUUCUGUUAAAAAGGGAAAAACAACAAUUUAACUAUUUCUAAAAGGCUGAUGGUCAAAGUUGACUCUUUUUAAAAUAUUAAAAACCAAAUUUAACUAUAAAAAAUCAAAUUAAUAAAGAUGUAAACAUUAAUGACCAAAUUAAUCAUUAUAUCUUUAAAUUAUAUUAAAAUGUUAAAAGAAAAAGUAAUUGAAUUUUUUCUAUUAAUUUAAAAUUUUAAAACCAUGAUCCCUUCGAGAUUCCCCCCCCCCCCCUACAAUUUAGUAUUUACAUUUAAGAUGUAUUUAGCAUGAGAGGUAAUAAUUAUCUGACACGAUUUGUUUCUUUUAAAAUUUAUAUGUCACAUUCACCUAAAACAGAAUGAAUAUUGUCUUUCCUUUUUUAACAAAAAAAUAAUUAAAAUUGCUUAUCUUUUUUGAAAGUACUGAAAAUAAAAUCCACAUUUUAGUCCUCACAAAGGUCUGAUUCGUAAGCGAUAAGAUUUCCAUUUUUAUACCAAAAUUUGGCUUCAUAAGAUUAAUCAUGGGGUAUGAGUAUUAUCUUCAAACACAUAAUUAAUAUUACCAUUAAAAUUAAGAUAAUUAUUUAGUAAAGGUUAAACUACUAAAAUAGUCACUUUUGUUUACCUCACGUUAUAUUUUAGUCACUUAUAUUUGAAAUAUUACGUUUUAGUUACUUACAUAAUCGUGUUGUAAUAUUUUUGUCACUGAGCCGUUAACGGUGUAACGGUAAACUGACGUGGCACGUUAAAUCAUCAUUUUAAACAAAAAUUUUAGAUUAAUUUAUACAAUCGGUCCACAUUUUUUCGUUUUGAUCAAUUUAAUUUUUUUCUUUUAUGUUCUUUUAACUUUUUUUCCUUUUUUGCAUUCUCUUCUGCUUCUCCCUCUAUUUUCCUCCCUUCUCUGUAGCACCCCAAACCCGGCCCAAACGUUAUGGCUGGAUCCGACAUGCCAUAUCGAAGCGUUAAAAACAUUUUAUAUUGUUGAUCCAGAAAAACCUACUUAGUGUUUUAAAAGAUAAUUUCAUUAUAGGUUAAAGUGAAUGGAAGCUGUGCACCAGGUAGGAAACCGGAAAAGAGGUGGUGAGUCCAUCGGACUGCUUAAGUACCAAGCUCCCUUCAGAUCCAAUCCUAGACAUGCAUACCGCCAUUGCCACACCUUAACGUCAUGGAUAUUUCUAGGAAACCGAUUUGAUUAAGUCAUUUUUAGGAAAAGUGAUUAAUUUUGGAAAAUACUUUCAUUGCGGAAGCUUUGCUUGUUGUCGUGUUAUUUUGAAAUCAACUGUUGUUUUUGAAAACGCGCCCUAAAGCUAUCCAAUUUCAACAGUUAAAAUAAGUAAUACCUAUCUUAGUAAUACAUAUUAAAACCAUUAAAAAUAAUUAAGCGGCCUUAUUACAUUUAAAAACCCAAAACUUCAAACGUAAAUAAAAGGAUGUCCAGUUCACCAGAAGAAAAUCAAACUUUCAGAACGGGUGGCCACUCCGAAUUCCCUCACAGCUCCAAGCCCACUAUGGUUGGGGAUUUCCUGCGUGGAUGAAAAUAAAAGGGGUGAGUUUGGGGAAACUCAGUGUGUAAGGAAAACCCAUUCAAAGCCCAAGUCAGCUCAAGCCUAUUGGGCUUAAGCCCAUUCAGGUAACAGUGGUACUGGGCUAGAGCCCUUUUCAGAUUACAAUAAACUGGGCCUUAGCCCCUUAUUCAGAUAACAGUAUGGUCCAUAGGCCCAUUUCAAAAUACAUGCAACAUCAGUAAACAUAUGCAAGCCCAUUUGGGGAGACUACUCAACCCACCAACCACUACACUCCACCCGUACCAGCCAUACACUCCAUGUGGGGAAUAGCUCAACCCACCCAGCCCAACACUCCACAGUUGUAGCCUUGCUGCUCAGUUAACAGUAAAUUGAGGCAAAGCCUCCAGUACGUGGACAAGCCACUUUCAGUACUUCCUCCGUCAAUAUCCCAGUCCCAUGCAUCAGAUAAUAACAACAUGGCAUGCAGUAAAUAACAACAGUCAAACAUGCAUUUAGGUCAAUUUAACCCUAGGGGUAUUUCGGUAAUUUAUCUCCUAGGGGUAAAACUGUAAAUUUUCUACUUUUAAAGAUAUUUCAGUAAUUUAAUCUAUUUUAGGGUUUUUCAUGCAUAUUCCUACCUUUCACGUACUAACAGAAUCACUACCGAGGGUUCUUACCGAAUUGGGCCCGUUGGCUCAUCAUUCCAAUUUUGGCCCAUUAAGCCCAAAAAUAUCGAGGGCACAGAAAUCAUGCACUUUGCAAUCCAAAUUUUGCAGUUUACCAAAAACAUUAAUCGAUUUACCUCACGAGCAUUCGCACACUCGCAAAUCUACAAAAUACCGGUUUUCGGCAUUUCGGCUUUUCGACUUUUGUCGAUCCAGACUAAGAAAGAGGGUGUUAGUUACACACCUGUUUGCAACGAUAUGCUGACGAGAUCCACACACGAACCGCCUACAAUUGGAUUACUAACACGUUAAUCUAACUAUUCAAAUACAAACUACGUAUUAACCCCUUACAAUAUUCGGCCAACCACACCUACAUAUCAUAGUAAGUUUAUAAGAAAUCAAUAAGCAACUCAUUAACAAAUUUUUGUCAAUGUUUACCACAUAAUCAUAAUUUCACUGCAAGCUGUCUUCCUGAGAAACAGUCACUAAAUUAUUUAUAACUGGAGCUAAGAAACUCCAAAUCAAGUUCCGUUAAUUUUCCCUAAAAAUAGACUCAUAUAUCUUCUAUCCAUAAAAUUUUCAGAAUUUUUGGUUUAGCCAAUCAAUACCAGAUUUUUCUCAAAGUUUCCCAUGUUUCACUGUUUGACUAAUCUGACCACUCUUCAUUACGAAUCAAAUUUCUCCUUGUACAGAAUUCAAAAUAUGUUCUUGUUUAUUUCAUUAGAAACUAGACUCAAUAAGCUUUAAUUACAUAAUUUAUUCAGCUUCUAAUUCAUCUCCCACAAUUUAUGGUGAUUUUCCAAAGUCAUGUUACUGCUGCUGUCCCAAGCAAAUUUAUUACCAAAUCACUUUUUCACACAUACCUUGCAUGCAUGUUAUUUAAACAUGUAUAUCACCAAUCAAUCAUCACAUAUCUAUGAUUUUACUUAAGAAUAAUCUCCAUUUCAUCAUUUUAAAGCACAACAUGUUAGCUGAUUUUUCCCUUUAACAUCUAAGGCACAUGCAUGCUCAUUUGUUUGGCUCAACUUCACCUAUCUUCCAUUUUUUUCAUCAAAAGAACAUGAAACAACAACCAUUUCCUUCAUUUUAAUUCAUGACUAAAUGCUCACAACACAACUAAAAACCAAAAUAUGCUUCAAGAGUUAAGGUAGAAUCAAGAAGAACUCAUGAAAGAUAGAAGCCAACUACCAUGAACUUACCUUCAAUUUUCUUCCCCAAGUGACCGAACACUCAAGGGCUUUCUCCUCUCCUUUCUCUUCUUUAACUUUCAGCUAUGAUGAACAAAGAUGGACAAAACUUUGUUCUUUUCACCCCUUUUUCUUUUAAUAAAACUUCAUAUUUCAUCCAUUUAAUUCUUUAAUACAAAAGACAUGAAAUUCUUAUCAUGAAACAUUUACCUAACCCAUUAUCAUGAAACAUUUACCUAACCCAUUAUCAUGGAACAUUUACCUAACCCAUUAUCAAUUUGUAUCAAUUUGUACCAUAAAUUAUGGAUAUCAAGUGUACAUUUUGUCUACAACAACAUGAUGGCUGGCCACUUCAUGUAAAAUAGGAGGUUUGUCAUGCAAAUCCUCCUAUUUUGCACUCCUAUUUAUUUGGUCACUUCAAUUUAGCCUAUAGCAUUUUCAAACAUUUUCACAUAGGUCCUAUUUCAUAAUUUCACUCACAAAUGACAAAAUUAAAGCAUGAAAUUUUGCCAACAUUCACAGAAUUCUCGAAAAUUGGGGCGUUACAUUCUCCAUUUCUUUUAACGUAGUUUUUUUAUGUUUUUCAUUUGUUAAAACUAAUAAUUAUACUUUUAUUUCUUUGAACAAUUUAAUUUUUUUCAAGUGAGGCGAGCUUGUAGACUAAUUUUAACAAAUGAAAAACAUAGAAAAACUACAUUAAAAGAAAUGAAGAAGAGAGGAAAACAGAGGGAGGAGUAGAAGAGAAUGAAAAAGAAAGAAAAAAAAAAGAAAGUUAAAAUAACAUAAAAAAGAAUUAAAUUGCUCAAGAUGAAAAAAAAAUAUAUGGACCAAUUGAAUAAUUUAACCUAAUUUUUUUUUUUGAAAUGAUGAUUUAACGUGUCACGUUAGCUUUCUGUUACACCAUUAAUAGCAAUUAACGAUUCAGUGACUAAAAUGUUACAACACAAUAACAAAGUGACUAAAACGUAAUAUUUCAAACAUAAAUAACUAAAAUGUAAUCUGAGGCAAAUAAAAGUGACUAUUUUAAUAGUUUACCUUUUAGUAAAUUAUUAUAAAUUUUUUUAACUUUCACAAGUAGAAUUAAGAAGUUAUUAUUUGUUGUUAGUUAAUAUUAUAAAAUAAUAAUAAAUAAAUGAAUAUAUAACUACUUUUUAAUCUCAUUUGUCAAAUUAAAAAUCUCCACCGUCAUUGCAUCAUAUAAUAAUUCUUAAAAUUAAUACUAGAAAUAUUAUCAAAGGCGUAUACAUGUGGAAAUCACAAAUUUGAAACACAAUAUGUGUUUAAAUAACACAUGAAAUCUAUAUGAUAUUAAAAUAAAAAAAAAUAGAUUAACUUGUAAGUAAAACAAAUUUAAAUACAGAAAUACAUCAAAUUAAUAUUACUAAAUGAAUACAGUUAUUGAUCAUGGUGUUGUCAUCAAUCCUUAGUUGGUGUUGAGUUAAUUUAUGAUACCAUCUCAAUCAACAACAUUAUUAUUAUUAUAUACAAUUGAUGGAGAUAAUAAAAUGUACAUAAUAAAAUUAAAAUGUAUAGAUAUAUUAAUAUGAAACUUUAGUUGAGCAGUAGAUUUAAUGUUUUACUAAUUUAAUUGGCAUGAGUUCAAAUCUUAUUAUUAUUGAAUAAAAAUAUUAAAGUACUCUCAAAUAAUAUAAUAUAUUUUAAAUGUGAAGUGAUAUUAAAGUAAUUUCCUUUAUUAAGUUGGUAGAAGCGAAUUUAGGGAGACUGACAAGACCUCGGUCCAUUUUAGCCCUUUAAAAUUUUAAACUAGUAACAGUAAAAUUGCUCUUUAGCUCCCUAAAAAUGAUAAAAUUUUGAUUUAAUUCUUUAAAAAUUACAUUUUUAUUAUCAUAAAAAUUACAAUUUAAUUUCGGCCCCCUAAAAAUUUUUUUUUGACUUCGCCCCUGUAAGUUGAGAUGCGGUUGAUGAAUGACACCAACUCGGUAAAAAAUUUUAUAACUAGUAUAGAUACUAAAAAAAAAUCCCUACACAUUGUUUAAAUAAAUCUUUGUACUUUUCUUUUAAUAAUUAGAUAAGUCUUUAUUUUCUAAUUUUAAUUUAUAAAAAAUUUUAAUUUAUCUAUAUCUAUAACUUAUUUAAAAUUCAUAAUAAUAUAAAAAAACGAGUUUGGAAACUUUUAAACAGAUCAAUAUAGCCUUUAUUGUUUAUAUAUUACUGAAUUUGUUAUUUAAAAUAUUUUUAUUAUUUAUAAGAUUUAUCAUACUUAUAAAUAAAAAUUUUAAUUUUUACUAAAUUAUUUGGUUAAAUAAAUCUGCUUGAUAAAAAAAAUUACUAUACUUAUAAAUAAGAAAUCUAAUUCUAUUAAAAAAAUUAUAAAAUGAAUUUAUAGGUUACUAAAUAAAAUUUAAAUUUUAUAUUAAAUUACUUUAUAUGCAUUAAAUAUAUUUAAAUUAUUAUGUUUCAAUUAACAAAAAAAGAAAAUAUCAAGAAUUAUACUAAUUUUAUUUUAAAUAGAAAAUUUUUAUUAUUUAUAAAAUAAGUAAUUAUAUAUAUAAUUUUAUAAAUUUUACAUUUAUAUAAUGUAAUCUAAUAUAUUAUAAUUAUAUUAGUUAUUUAUUAAAUACUAAUUGUUAUGGUCAAUUUAUUGGAUAUUAAGAAAAGAGAAAUUUUGAAUUGUGAAGAGCUUAAUUUACAAUAUAUUAAUUUUUUUUAUACUUUGUACAAAUGGUUUAAUAAUGAUUAGGAAAUUCUUAUUAGAACUAUAUUUGAAUGAUGAAAAUAAUUGAUAUACGUUAAUUAUAUUAAUUAAUUAUUAUUUUAAAUAAUAUUAAUUUGUGUUAAUUAUAUGAGGUAAAACUAUAAUCUACAUAGAAUAUGAUAAAAAUGUUUUACUUAAGAUUUGAUUUUUUAUAUAAUAUUUGAAAUGUUAAAUGAAUUAAUAUCUUUUAAUUAUGUUUAAUAAUUCGAAUGACUAAUAUCACUUUUGAUAAACAUAUUAAUUUGUAUAUUUUUUGUGUUUAAUUUGGUUUAUUGUUGAAUUGAACCUUGCUAAUUAAGUGCUUUUAUGAUCUAAUCUUGUCAGGGAUGCAAUUGGUCGAAAAUAAGCUAAAAAGGGCCAAAUUGAAAGACAAUCAUUAAAUUGGGGCGAAAUAAAAAAGAUGGAGAAAGCCAAGGAGUUAUCAAAUUUUGUUAACUUUGUAAAAACCCAAAAAUAGGAAGAUAUUAUUUUUAUUUUUAUUUUAUUAAAUUAGUUAAGUUAUUUUUAGUAAAUUGCAUGUAUAUAAAUAGGGGUAUUUUGUUCUUUGAAAAUCAUCCAUUCAUUUUGUAUUCCUACUUCACUUUGGAGUUGUAUUUUCCUCUUUGCCUUUUCCUACUUCAAUUGGGAAUUGAAUUACUUUUGUCUUGCUUUUACAAAGUUGGUCUAAUUCUCUUUUCAAAUACUUUUCCUUUUCAAUUUCUAUUACCUUUCAUACAAAUCCCAUCAUCUUCCACAACCUUCAAGCAUGAAUAAUUUCAUGCUACACUAAAUUUCAUCUACCUUUAUAGGCCGGUGUUCUUUCCGGUCAAGAAUAGUAAGAUACGAAUUCAUGCUAAAAUUUGUCCAAUCGAUAUUCAUUCUUGUUGCAGGUACGUUUGGCGUCAUGGGCACGACUCUUGACACGACAUUUGACGCGACGUAUAUUUUGUUCAUAAGUGAACACAGAAGUUGAUUACGACGUCCAAUCCCUGUGGAUUCGACCCUACUACCACUCUUACUACUGUUUAGAGUUAUUUAGUAGGAAUUAUUUUUGGUAGAUUAGACAAAAUUUGAUGAGCGUCGAAUCCACCAAAAAUAAUUCUUACUAAAUAACUCUAAAUAGUAGUAAGAGUGGUAGUAGGGUCGAAUCCACAGGGAUUGGACGUUGUAAUCAACUUCUGUGUUCACUUAUGAACAGAAUAUUCGUUGUGUCAAAUGUUGUGUCAAGAGUCGUGCUCACAAUGCCAAACGUACCUGCAACAAGAAUAAACAAUUAAAUCAGGGGAGUUUAUGAGUGUUUAAGAAAGUAAAACAAUCUAAUCAACUUAAAUAAACGAUUAACUACUAUUGAAAAUAAAUGUAAACUGGAAAUAAAUUUAGGCUUUUGUAAACAGAAUUGAUAAGCCUUAACCUUAGACUAGGUAAAUUCCGUGUUAAGAAUCGGUCCUUGAAAAUGAUCUUCUCCUCCAAACGAUAAGCUGUUUAUAGCAGUUAAGAAUGUCCUAACCACCAAUUCUUCCUCUUGUAGUUGGUUUCGGUACGACCUACAAACCAACCCUUAUCGAUUAUCUAAUCGAGAUACAAGUGUUCCCGAUUGAAGAUUCCGGUAGCCUUGCGUUCUGAAAAACCCAACUCGAAUUAACUGCCUCAACCGUGUGGGUCAUUUAAAUUCGAUCACUUAUUCCUAGAUUUGUUCUUGGAGAUUCGAAUACAACACGACUGACUCGUUCCUCCAAAUGUCAGCUAACACGACUCCAACCCAACAUGCAGUUUUUGACUUGUAAUUGAGUUAACCUUAAGGGAUGAGUUGUCAACCCCAAUACUUAGGAAAAGAAUGAAUACCGAUUGGACAAAUUUUAGCACGAAUUCGUAUCUUACAAUUCCCAACCGAAAAGAACACCGGCCUAAAGCUAAGAUGAAAUUUAGUGUAGCAUGAAAUUAUUCAUGCUUGAAGGUUGUGGAAGAUGAUGAGAUUUGUAUGAAAGUAAUAAAAAUUGAGAAGGAAAAGUAUUUGAAAAGAGAAUUAGACCAACUUUGUAAAAGCAAGACAAAAGUAAUUCAAUUCCCAAUUGAAGUAGGAAAAGGCAAAGAGGAAAAUACAACUCCAAAGUGAAGUAGGAAUACAAAAUGAAUGAAUGAUUUUCAAAGAACAAAAUAAUCUUAUUUAUAUACAUGGAGUUUACUAAAAAUAGUCUAACUAAUUUAAUAAAAUAAAAUAAAAUAAUAUCUUCCUAUUUUUGGCUUUUUACAAAGUCAACAAAAUUUGAUAACUCCUUGGCUUUUUCUAUCUUUUUGAUUUGGCCCCAAUUUAACGAUUGUCUUUCAAUUUGGCCCUUUUUAGCUUUUUUCAACCGAUUGUAUCCUUGAAAUGAUUAGAUCAUAAAAGCACAUAAUUAGCUGGGUUCAAUUCAACAAUAAACCAAAUUAAACACAAAAAAUAUGCAAAUUAAUAUAUUUAUCAAAUCCCCCUACUUAGCUCAUGAUUGCCCUCAAGUAUGUUGUUCUUUCAAACAUUAGAAUUCAUUCUAUAAUUUAUUAAAAAUCGAGCCUCUUUUCCACAUCCAAAAUCAAUGCAAACGACAUAGGCAAAAAUAAAUGAAUGUUCAGAAUAUAUAGUUUGAUCAACAAGUGUCAUAAAACUAAAAUAUGUGGACUAAACAAUUUCAUCAAAUUGAGUUUGAAUCUAAUAAUUUGCAAGGCAUUGUUAAUUAACUACGCAUAAGUAUAAAAAAUUUAGACAUGGUCAAACCUUUUUACGCGAACCAGGAUGACAACCCAAGCACCCUAUCCCAGUUACUCAGUUCAAACAGUCUUUAUUUAUUUAUUAUUUUUUUGAGGCUCGGUUAGUGGAAUAUUUGUAAGUUAUCGACUUGUCACUCGAACCUUUUGACGCUAGAUAAGAUGACAACCUAAGCACCUUACCCCAGUUACUAAAUUCGGUCACGUUUUCGAAACUUCACUCAUAACUCGAGCCUAAUUUUUUUAUUUUAUUAAUUUAUUUAUGCACAAGCAAAUAUUUUUCAAAAAAUCAAUUAAUAUGAAAAAUCUAGCUACAUAUAUCAACCUUAAAACAUAAAUGUCGACUAAUCCAUACACUUAAACAUUUAAAAUUAAAAAUUUGUCGAAUUGUCCAAAUUGACUAAGUAUGAGAUUAAAGGCUCAAUUUCAAAUAAACUAUCAAAUGAAUUCAACAUAAGUUUGAACACACGCAAAAGAAAAACAUGCAGCAAAAAUCGUGCAAAAAAGUAUGCAUAUUUGCCAUCAAUUUCAACCCUCCACUUAAACUGUGCUUGUCCUCAAGUAAGUGUUAAAUGAAACAAAAAAACAACAACUCAAAUAAUAAGUAAAAGAAAAGUUCAGAAUACUUCCCAUGUGUCUUUUAACGAUUUUGUUGAUGUUGGGGGUAACGACUUUGUAGGAUGUUAAGGAUUGUUGAGACUUGGUUUUCU
rnacentral:lncRNA from 1 species